UGUUCGUGUUAGCCAAUCCUUUGGUGUGUGGUAGAGCAGUAGCAUGACAUUUUUCUGAUAAAUCACACUUUCUAGAUGUCUAGGUCCUCCGACUCACAAACAUGGCAAAUUCUAUCAUAUGUGUGUGGCAACUUACAUCCACUGAGCCAUGGUUACUUUUUAUGUCAUUUUUGCCAUGUUUCAUCACAACUAUCCUUUUGAAAUUACUCCCACAACAUUAAAACUGUAUGAAAAUGGCAACCAUGAUUAAGCUCAGAUGUUGUUCAUCAAUUUCCAUGGCUACAAUCGUUAAGCUUAGAUGAUGUCUAUCUCUACUUUUUUUUGGCAUUUUUAUUUAUACUGACAAUGGCAAAUUAUUUUUUCACCGACCAUGCGAAAUUCACAAAUGGCCAGACGGCAAUAUGACCAUGCGUAGUUUUUCAGUGCUUCUUUUUUCAGUGAAAACUGAAAUGCUAUACAUUGUAAUAUGCUUUGACAUUGCAAUUUUAUUGGAUUUAGCACGGCAAAUUACCUUACGAAACAUGGCAUUUUUAUUACAUUGACCAUUGUGAACUUUAUUAGCUUUUUCUAAUUGCCGUGUGAGUAGUACUGACCAUGGCAAAUUUGAAACGGUUACUGAAGUUCGUCUUCAAUUACUACAAACUUCUUUUAGCUAUGUUUUCUGUUAUGGCAAUUGCAAGUAAGUUUUCCUGUUAGCUGUAAACUAUUCAUGGCAAUUCGUUUCUCAUGUUCUUGCCAUGCUUGUUUUUUUAAGUUAUCGCACUAUGUGUACAUAGCAUGCCAAUUUUCUGCACUUGAUCCCAUAGCAAGUUUAGAAAUUGUUCCCGUGACCCAUUUUUUCAAAGUUUGCCAUCGCAGAAAUGUCAUGUUUAUCUGCCAUGGCAAAUUUAGGUUUUUUAACAUGCCCACGACAAUCUUUUAUGCUUUUGUUUCUUACUUAACCACGGCAAAUUUAGUUUGUUGAUAAUGGCAAAUUUAGUUUAUUGCCAUGGCAAAUUUAGUUUAUUGGUCACUGCAAAACUGAUUUUAUUUGAUCAUGUCAGAUUUAGUUUAUUUGGUCCAUGGUCAAUUUAGUUUACUAGUCAUGGCAAUUUUUGUUUUCAAAUCAUGGCAAAUUUUAAUUUAUGUGAUUUUUGCCAUGGCAAGUUUUGAAACGAAUCUGCCAUGGCACUUUUUCUUGUUCAUACUUGAUUUUCAACUUUUUUUCACACACGACAAAUUCAUCAUUCAAACACACAGCAAUUCUUGAUACGAAUUUGCCAUGGCAAGUUUUGGUACGAAUCUAGCGUGGCAAAUUUAGUUUACAAAGUUCUUCUUCAUUUUUUUUGAUUUUCAACUUUUUGUGUUUUUUACACACACGGCAAAUUCAUCAUACCAAACACAUGGCAAUUCUUGAUACAAAUCUGCCAUGCCAAGUUCUGAUGCAAAUUUGGUUUAUUGAUCAUGGCAAAUUUUAGUUUCUUGGUUCAUGGCAAAUUUAGUUUACAAAUCAUGGCAAAUUCAGUUUAUUGAUCAUGGCAAAUUUAGUUUUCAAAUCAUGGCAAUCUAGUUUACAUAUGAAUCUGCCAUGGCAAUUUUUCUUGUUCAUGACGAAUUUAGUUAGUUUCGCCGUGGCAAGUUUUGAUGCGAAUCUGCCACGAAUUUUUUUCUUGUUUAUACUUGAUUUUUCAACUUUUUGUGUUUUUUUUUCUGAAAGUGCAACUAUCCCUAGGUGGUUUUGGUAAUUCAUAACAACAUAUAGCUCAUUGAGCUAAUGCUAUUCCAAGACUAUUAUUUCAAGAAAGCUCAAUGAAUGGCAUGGCAUGGAUGAUGAAAGUGGAUCCCUCAAAAUACCAAGGACAAAGGAUUGGCUCAAGCUCAAAAGCUCAAGACUCUUCAUUUUAUAUUUUAGUGAUCCAAGAUCACAUUGAGUCUAUAGGAAAAGCCAAUACUAUCAAGGAGGGAUGAGGUGUUGCUUAAUGAGCCUCUUGCUUCAUGUGCUUAGUGAUAUGCUCCAAAACCCUCAACUACUUUCCCACAUCCACAAAUGACCUAAACCCAUAGCCAAAAUCGGUCACACCUAAACUUCCUAUCCGGCGCCACCGAUUCCAAAAGUCAUAGCCACUGCCACAAACCCUAAGCAAAUCGGUCUUACCGAUAGGGAUCUCGGUCUCACCGAGAUGGGGUUUUAAUCUCUCUGUUUCCCUUCGUAACGUUUCGGUCUAACCAAAGUGAGCGAUCGGUCCCACCGAGAUUGCAAUGUAAACUCUCUAUUUCCUUUUUGUAACAUUUCGGUCUCACCGAAAAGAGCAAAUCGGUCCCACCGAGUUUACCUAACCAACUCUCUAGAAAGCUUAUUACCAAAUCAGUCUCACCGAGUUUGUGUAAUCGGUCUUACCGAGAUUACGUUAUGCCCUAACCCUAACCGAAUCGGUCUCACCGAGAUGCAUGUCAGUCCCACCGAAAAUCACUAACGGUCACUAGGUUUAUUAAAUCGGUCCGACCGAGUUUAACAAUUCGGUCCCACCGAGUUUGGUAAAUUGUGUGUAACGGUUAGAUUUUGUGUGGAGGUUAUAUAUACCCUUCCACCUCCUCUUCAUUCGUGAAGAGAGCCAUCAUAACGAACCUACACUUCCAACUUACCAUUUUUGAGAGAGAACCACCUACUCAUGUGUUGAGGCCAAGAUAUUCCAUUCCUACCAUAUGAAUCUUGAUCUCUAGCCUUCCCCAAGUUGCUUUCCACUCAAAUCUUCUUUCCACCAGAUCCAAAACCUAUGAGAGAGAGUUGAGUGUUGGGGAGACUAUCAUUUGAAGCACAAGAGCAAGGAGUUCAUCAUCAACGCACCAUUUGUUACUUCUUGGAGAGUGGUGUCUCCUAGAUUGGCUAGGUGUCACUUGGGAGCCUCCGUCAAGAUUGUGGAGUUGAACCAAGGAGUUUGUGAGGGCAAGGAGAUCGCCUACUUCGUGAAGAUCUACCGCUAGUGAGGCAAGUCCUUCGUGGGCGACGGCCAUGGUGGGAUAGACAAGGUUGCUUCUUCGUGGAGCCUUCGUGGGUGGAGCCCUCCGUGGACUCGCGCAGCCGUUACCCUUCGUGGGUUGAAGUCUCCAUCAACGUGGAUGUACGAUAGCACCACCUAUCGGAACCACGCCAAAAACAUCCGUGUCUCCAAUUGCGUUUGAAUCCUCCAAACCCUUCCCUUUUUUCUUGCAAGUUGCAUGCUUUAAUUUCCGCUGCCUAUAUACUCUUUGCAUGCUUGCUUGAAUUGUGUGAUGAUUGCUUGACUUAUCCUAAAGUAGCUAAAAUCUGCCAAACUCUAAAAAUGGGAAAAGGUUAAGUUUUUAUUGGUCAAGUAGUCUAAUCACCCCCCCCCCCUCUAGACAUACUUCAAGGUCCUACAUUUUCACACACAGCAAAUUCAUCAUUCAAACACAUGACAAUUCUUGAUACGAAUUUUGCCAUGGCAAGUUUUUGUACAAAUCUGCCAUGGCAAUUUUCUUGUUCAUUUUUUUAUUUUCAACUUUUGUUUGUUUUUUGCACACACGGCAAAUUCAUCAUACAGGAACACAACAAUUUUCUUGAUACAAAUCUGCCAUGCCAAGUUUUGAUACAAAUUUGGUUUAUUGAUCAUGGCAAAUUUUAGUUCAUUGCUUCAUGGCAAAUUUAGUUUAUUGAUCAUGGCAGAUUUAGUUUUCAAAUCAUGGAAAUUUAGUUUACAUGAUUUUUAUGUCAUGGCAAGUUUCUGCCAUGCCAAUUUAGCUUACGUGAAUUUCUCGGGGCGAGUUUUGAUAUGAACCUGUCAUGGCAUUUUUCUUGUUCAUACUUCAUUUUCAACUUUUUAUUUUUUUCACAGAUGGCAAAUUCAUCAUACAAAUACACGACAAUUCUUGAUACGAAUUUGCCAUGUCAAGUUUCUUGUUUCAUACUUGAAUCUCCAAUUUUUAUGUUUUUCACACACGAUAAAUUCAUCAUACAAAACAUGGCAAUUCUUUGAUACCAAUCUGCCAUGGAAAAUCUCUUUUGUUCAUACUUGAUUUUUCAACCUUUUAUGUUUUUUCUCACGCACGACAAAAAAUCUCCUUGAAAACACUACAAUGUUAAUUGCCAUUGUAUUUUUAUCUUUUUGUUGUCCUGUCAAUUUUUUUUUCACAUGAAUUUUUCAACUAUUUGUUUUUUUUUCACAUGGCAAUAUUGAUUUUUUUGUCAUGGCAGAUUUGCCACAUUUCAUUUGAGGGGAUUAAAUAUGUGUUUAUAUACCUUUUCCAUUGUUGAAAACAAUAUAAUGGCAAAUAGUUUCGUCAAACUUGAAUGUCAAUUUUUCUGCUUUUUUCAGUAGCUGAGAAAAAUAUGGGCUUUUUUUGUCAUUAAAAAAACAAAAUCUGGGCCUUUUCAUUUAAUUCGUUGUCAGUGGGAUUUUUGUUCUUUUUUCACAUGGAAAAGGGCCUGGUGUGAUCGAGGCGUGUGGGGCUGUGGGUUCAGCUUGACGAAUGAAUUCGUGCAGGGAAUCGAUCCCUCGUACUGAACGAGUUGUGUGGUAGGGUGCUCCUCCUGCCACACGUGUGGGCUGUUGUAAUAUUCGCCCACACAUGGUCGUGUGGGCUACCUGCUGGAUAUGCCACACACGGCCAUGUGGGCGGGUGUCCAUUGUGCCACACGUGUGGCAGUUAUCGACAUCCAUUAUUUAUUAGGACGCAGAUAAUGGCUGGGCAUCGAUCGAACAAAGUAGUAGUAUUUUUUAUUUUAUUUUUGAGGGGUGAAAGCCACUUAACUUAAAUAACAACAAGGUCUGGGAUACAAAUAAUGUCAGGUAAGAUAGAAAGCCAAAUAUGGCGGCCAAAAGCUAAAGUAGUCACUGCUUUUGAAAGCUUGUGAGCUUCAAGAUUCAUCUCCCGCUUCUCAUGGACGUAAUCAACUGACAUGAAAAAGGCUUGCAUCCUUUGCUUAAUAUCCUGGAUCAUUACUGCUGAGGGUCCAUUGUAUUCACCCUUUAGAUGUGUGAUCGUUGCCAUACAGUCUGUAUCAACAACAAUUCGCUGAUAGCCCAAAUCAGCAGCUAAAGGCAAGGCCUCCAAGCUUGCCAUUGCUUCUAGGAUUUCUGGAUCGACCAAAUCCUCAAAAGUUAUAGCAGAAGCGCCCACCCCCAUCUCGACAGAUUACUGCCAAAGCCCCCCUGUAGAUGUUUCUUGUAAGUGCAUCUAGUGCCCCUUAGUGAUUUUGGUGUAUUGAAUACUUAUAGGUUAAGGGACUAAUGCGUUUAUGAGUGUACACAGGUCUAUAAGUCUAUGAGGAGUUUGAUAUUUACAGAGAAAGUCGACCCCUAAAAAUGAAGUUCUUUGACUGAAGACUUUGCAUUUCUGAAGACUUUCUGAAGACUUUGAAAGUGAAGAAAUUGGUGUGACCUUGAAGACUUGGUAUUCAUUCGAGGAACAUGAAGUGUGAAGACUUUUGUUUUCGUAGUUUCAUUUUCUCUUUCUUGAGUCAUAUGAAACACCAUACUAUUAAAGGGGGUCGAGGAAAUACUAAGGAAAAAUUUCCAAGUGAUGCUCAACUCAAAAUCCUACACCUACCAAUCCCUUCGAGUGAAGUCAUUGGAAAUCUCAUACAGUUCAGUCAUAUUCUUUAGUGACAGAGACGAAGUUCUUCUGGUCUCUGAGGAAUUUGUUCUGACUAAGGAGUUAGGAAUUUGCUAGUGCGGAUUGCCUACACAGUGAGGAACAUGAUAGCCUUGAGGAAUUUGAACCUUAAAUUUCCGAUCGUUGAUGUGCUAUGCGCCAGCUGUCCCAAAAUAUCUACCCACCUAACGGUCAUAUCAUUGAAGGGCAUUUAUAUCUUAUCAUGUCGGGCUGCUCCCUAGGCUAUAAAUAGCCGCCCCCUACAACCACUAGCUGGUUGGCUGCUCUAAGAGAAACUGACGCGUAGCACCCAGCCACCCACCCCCCUCCCCCCCAAAAAAAGGACGACGACAAUAUAAGUUCGCGCUUCCACGUUUCGGAUUGAAAUAUCUGGCGGCCCCAAUUCCAGCCCUGCAAAAUCUAUCUUCUCCACCGUCCCCUUCUGCGCCCAGAUUGCUCAAAUCCCUAAUUCGCCGCCAACCCUCGAAUCGCCCCUCGUCUCGUCUCUUUCCCCACCGUUCCCCACCUCUGUGCCCCUCGUCCACCGCACCGGGUGGUCCACCGACAACGUCGGCCGCCGCAACCAACGUGCCUCACAGACACCGAGUUCACCGCAUCAGGUGCGCUUCACCGACGCCGUCUCCCAGCUCACCGGGGCUACUUCACCGAGCACAUCGUCGCACCUCCGCCCCCCCGAGGCCGUUGGGGCUUCACCAACGGUCUCGUCCACCGCAUCGUAGCGCUCCACUGCCACUCAAGAUCUGCAUCCGUGCGCGGCCAGCCAAUGCCAGCGAAUCACCCUCAACGGCUCUGAAGUGACCCGCACUCUAGCUAGGCGAGCAUGCCCAAACGCCGGCCCGAACUAGGUAUCCACACAUCACUCCCUUGUGCACUGUUCCGACAAUGUUUGGAUAUCCUUUCACUGCUCUCUUAGAUUACAUGCCUAUGCAACUCUGACUUUAACUCUUAUUUCUUCUGGAGAUAUCAUCUGAAACAAGCAAAUCCAUUUUUUAGCGAAGCAUGACGGUGCUACGGGAUCAGGUACACAUCCUGCACACCCGUAUACCCUUGUAAGUAUCUGUCCUCCGGUACAACAUCAAGGUCGAUUCCUCUUAUUUGAUCAACCAUUCGCCGUGUGAAAAAUGCAGAGGGGGAUGCAAGGAGCACAAGGCCUGCACAUCCAAGCAAGUGGUAACAUGGACUUGUACAUGGACCAUCCCAAGCGCAAGCAGAGCUGCAGUGAGCCUGUACAACGAGCUAGCGUAAGUCCUUGCAUUUCAUUUGAUUCAUACUGGCAUUCGUGUAUGAUUUGUGUGCAAUGGCUGAUCCACGAAUUCAAGUUACCAGGGGCGAACAUUUAACUUAAAAAAUACGAAGGCACUUGCACUCCGGAAAUCAACAUAACUUGAGAAAUGUGAAGCUACAUGCACUUUGAAAACCAGCUAAUGAUCCAAAGUAGUUCAGAUUAUAAACACUAAAUGAUGCAAGCACCAAAAAACACAAAAUGCAACAUGGUGUACAAGGACUACAAACAUGGUCAAUACCUGCUUGAAUUAUUUGUUCUGUGGCUGAAAAUAUCGAAGUGUAAUUGCACGUAUAACCAGUGCGCAAACUACAUAUCAAUAUAUCUAUCCUGCACAAGUAUGCCAAUAGUUUCAAACAACAGAUUAGAAAAGUAUUUAUGCUAUGUUGUCAUGAUACAGGGACUUUCUGGUAGAUGGCCUCGACGUUUCCUCAAGCUAUGAAAAUGCACUAUAAUUUGCUUGUCAUCAAUGCCUGCAAAUCUCUGUCUCUCUCAACAUAGUAGAUCAUCGUUAGACACUAAAUCCUUCAAUGAGCUUGCAAAAUGCUUGCAUUAGAUCCCUCAUUAGACACUAUAUGUUCAUCACCAGGAGCAUGUAAAAUGUUUGCAUCAAAUCCUUCAUUAGCAGUCUGUUCAUUAGACACUUCAGGCUCAAGAACAACACGAGCUUGUAUGUUUGCACCGGAAACUUGAUUAGAUACAUCAGAUUCAGUCAGUUCAGUAUUGAUUGGGGGAGUUGUAAAAUAAGUAGAAAUUGGUUUCAUUUUCUCAUAGAUUCCCUACAUACAAGCAGUUUUACAACACCGUCAGGUUUAAGUAUUGGCCAGAAAUUCAAGAGUUGAAUUAGAUAUAAUCAGGGAUAUGAUGUACCUGCUCGUUGCACAUGCUACUCUUGCAAGCAGCGACUGUUUGUUUGUGCAAGCUCGAUGCCAUGCCUGUGUUGCCGCCGCUGCCUCCCACGCAGGCUACACCCAGGGUUGGAUCUUCAUCUUCUUAUACUUCCGUUCGCUUGAAGCUCGGAGACCGCCCUCCAACGAGGGCGCGAGAAAGUGCUGUGUCGGUCUGUCCAGCGGCAGCUAGGUUAGGCGCAAACCAGAGUGGAGGCUCUAGCGAAUGAAUUGGGAUUUUUCCUACUGUCGAUCAAUAUGGGAGGCGCUCGUUUGGGCCGCGAGCCUGCUAUAGGGACUGCCUUGCACUUAUGUUAUUGGCCCAUCCAAAUUGAAACAUUUUUCUUCAUUUUUUACAUUGCCUGCUCGUGCGUUCGGACGAACAAAACUAGCAUGGGCCAACCUGGACGACUCAAACUAUGUGCACACUUUCCAGCCACCUGAGGUGGCGGCCCAUACCAGCCCCUAUGGUGGCGUCGCCCCUUUUUGCAUGUAUGAUUGGAUAGUGAAAAAUAUUCGAGUGGCGCUUUUGAUUUACCCACGAAAUGGUUGAAUUGCUUGUUUCUAUGAACUGAGUUCGCCAAUAAUGUGAAGGAUGCCAGUCUUUUCAUCCUAUUGUAGAUUGCUUAGAUCUCGAUAUGCCAAAAGUAAUCGCAUGAAAUAUAUAGUAAAAGCCAGUGUGAUGUGUUUGGCUACAACUAGUCUGACUACACGUCCUCAUAUAACAUAUCAAGGACGCACCAUCUUACCAGAUUAACCAUUCGACUUACCCGUGCAGUGUGGGAAGAAAGAAGUAUUGGGACUGUGUAUCCAAGCAAUUGAUGCCAUGGACUCCUUCGUACAACCUUGUAAGCGAAAAAGAAGUUGCAGUGUGCCUGUACAAAGAACUAGCGUAAGUUCAGUUACCUGCUUCUCAGAAUUUUAGUUAGCCACUUAUUGCAAAAUUGUUCAAUUAUGUUGCUUGGCUUAAUUUAGUUUGCUACUGAUUACAUAAUGGCAUAGCCUGUUAAUCAUAUUGUAGACUGCGCCUAUCUAUGUGUUUGAUACUUACUGUUAGGAAUUACCUGUUUUCCUUAACUUAAAUAUCUACUUGUUUGUUUAACUACUUUGCUGCUGCAACAACGGGUUACAAUGAUGUUAAUAACUACUUUUCAGCAUCCAACUGAAACUCUUUAAUUCCUUGUUUGUUUAACUGGUUUGCUGUUAUAACUCCCAGUUGAGAUGUUUUGCUAACUUCAACUUUUCUGAAUCCAAUCGGAACUUUAAUGGCAAAACAGGUUAGCCUAAGAUCAAAGAGCGAGGUCCCCAUGGACUUUGCAUCAUCCCACAGUAGUGGCCCCGGCCCAAUCGUGCAUUAUGAAUUGCCAACUACUGAUGCUCUAGAGGCUAAACUAGUGGUAGAAAGAUAUUCUGCUUCUGCACUUAGAGAUGAAGUUGACAUGUUGAGGAAGCAAACAGCACAAUCACAAGCAGUACUCAAGACAACCAUUAAAUAUUUGGUAGAUUUCAAAACGAAGCAAGCUGAGACUGACCAGAUUGUUAAGGUCCUGAAGGAAAAAAGGAAAUUAAAUUCCUACUUGGUAAAUCAUAGGUGAAAUGUUCUUUCCAUAGUUGAAUAACCUUUGUGUUGUCUAUUCAUGUAAUCAAUCAAACCAUUUGUUUUAGAGAUCAUGUAAUAAUUGUUUUUUUGUUUGUAAUUUUAUUUGAGCACAAGUAUGUAUUAAUUGAUAAGACUCGGAGACAUUUCAUUUGGAUUGCUAUGCUAGACCUACAAAUAUGCCAAUCGGGCUGAAUGUGCAUUUAGCAAUAGUAGUAGUAUAGAUGGACCAUAAGUGGCACGCAUCGGAAAGGGCCAAGAUGCUGGCUAAAAAAGGAUGUUGUUGUAGCCAAAAAAAAGUACAACGGCCUGGCUUAUAUAUGUUAGUUAAUAUUAUUGAUCCAUAUACUCUAUAAGUGUUUAUAUGUCUGUUAGUUCUAUACAUUCUUGGUUGAUUGACUCGGUAUUUGAAUCUUGAUACAUCGCUUGUGUACAUAUCUAAAUGGGAGUACACAUUAUGCUGCGUGUGACAUUUGAGUUGGACAUGAAGUGUUCCAAAUAUUUGAAUUCACCUUAAACUGGAUUCUAGUUUCUGAAUUUGAGUAUCGACAUUUGUAAACCAUAUUCGUAUAUGACAGUGGAAUACAUCUUUGUCGUCCUUUUGAAGAUAUAUAAAAACACAUAGAAUGAUUUAUAAAGAUUCAUAUAGGAAUACAAAAUGGAUUCGAAUUUAGUUGCCAGGGUAAAUGUGGAUGCUUAUUGUCCCAAAAUUCGAAAGAAGCAGCAAAAUGUCCACUCCCACGUCGGCUGCCCGAAGCCAAGUGUUUGGGAGAUGGAAAUUACUGUCUACCCAUUACACGGAAAAUCCAUCGGCCCGAUUUCCACUGCUCUAAAUAGGUGUAGGUUAGUAACUUCAAUUAGACGUGACACGACCGCCUCUGAGCCCAUUCCGACACGGUGGGUGUCAAACAUGGGCGGCAAAACUCAUUUGAUUCAAGCUCGUCCGAAAGACCUUUGUUUCUCCCUCCAUUCCCCAUUCAUACACGGUGGGCGGCAAAACAAACUCGACUCGGCCGAAAUCGAGGUAGGCAAAUAUUUUCAAUAGGGGCAGGUUUGUAACUUCACUCAGACGUGACACAAUCGCCCUACAUGUCAGCCCCAUUCAUACAUCGUGGGCGCCAACCAUGGGCGCCAACCACCCUCUCCUCGCCCGAAAUCGCUCUGGGCAAAUAUUAGCGAGAUGCGAAAUUACCAUCCUAUCCCCAACCGAGGAGACGUCCAAAUUUUAAACGGGGGCUAAGUUCGUAACUUUCCCAUAUUUUAGACAGGCGCGUCCCAAAAACAUGGUUCCCUGUACCUCUCCCUCCAUUUUCCCAUUCAUACACCGUCCGCACUAGAACACCCCAUCCCCACACCAGCCUCCGUCCGCCACCCCAUCCAUCGCCGCCGUCCUCCACCACAUCCAUCGCCACCGUCCUCCACCUUGCCGGAGCGCCUACCAAGACCACGUCGUCCACUGCUAGAGAUGGACAUUUCUCAUCCACGGCGACGGACCAAUAGCCUUGCAUCGCGUCCUCUCGCUUCAUCGGCGUCGUCGUCCUCUUUGCCGGGGCCGCUCACACGACCUUCUCUUCCACCGCAACCGGACUUAUCCCCCGAUGCACCCGUCUACCAUUGCAGAUCUGCUUCAACGCCACCGACAGCCAUCGCACCCCCGAUGCCUACACGGCGCCACAAGAGAGGUGGUACUUCAUAUCUCCUCAACUUUUUGAUCUCAACCAGAAAAUAGAUCUUAACUUGGUUACUCUACUUUCUUUUCAGCUCUUAGAAUUUAGUUCUUAGUUUGAAGCAAACAAUGGAUGCUAAAUAUCAUUUCUCCGGUUUCCAGCUUCAAAUCUGCCAUGGCACAGCCAUAAUAUGGUUUAAUUAAUCAUGCUUAGGGUUUAAUUGAUCAUGUUGGUUCCGUGGUGGUUCCUUUAAUAGAAAUCGGAGGGGAAACCCUCUUUUGCUAAAAAAAAUAUGCUUAGAGUUUCCCCCUUUUAUGAUCACUAUACGAUCAGAAUACGUGCUUCGUGUCAUAAUAACACUGCUCUACCCAUCAAACUAAACAAGCUUAGUUGUUCAAAUACGAAUCUGAUAUUAUUAAAACAAAGUUGUUUAAUUGGUUAGCUAAAUGUUCCUAAAUUAGUUUCGAAAAUGCAUGUUCGCCGCUCGGGUGUGUAUCUCUACAGGGUGCCCACGGUGGGCCGGCCCACCCUGGGUUUUUGGGUCAUCCCAGGACCGAUUCCCCUGUGUUCUGCUGCACGCUUCCGAUCUCUACUCGCCCCCAGCCGCCUGCCUCGCCGGCGACUUGCCGUCCCCGGACGGCAUGACUCUAAGAGGAGACGCCGGACUAACAGGAGGCCAGGAGCCGCUCGCCCAACAGCGUCACCGUUGCCCGGGCGCGCCACCGUGCCUACUGUCGGUGUCAAAACCGGCGGAUCUCGGGUAGGGGGUCCCGAACUGUGCGUCUAGGCGGAUGGUAACAGGAGACAAGGGACACGAUGUUUUACCCAGGUUCGGGCCCUCUCGAUGGAGGUAAAACCCUACGUCCUGCUUGAUUAAUAUUGAUGAUAUGGGUAGUACAAGAGUGGAUCUACCACGAGAUCAAGGAGGCUAAACCCUAAAGCUAGCCUAUGGUAUGAUUGUUGUAAUGUAUGUUGUGUCCUACGGACUAAAAGCCCUCCGGUUUAUAUAGACACCGAAGGAGGCUAGGGUUACACAAAGUCGGUUACAAUGGUAGGAGAUCUACAUAUCCGUAUCGCCAAGCUUGCCUUCCACGCCAAGGAAAGUCCCAUCCGGACACGGGACGGAGUCUUCAAUCUUGUAUUUUCGUAGUCUUGGAGUCCGGCGGACGAUGAUAGUCAGGCUGUCCGGACACCCCCUAGUCCAGGACUCCCUCAGUAGCCCCUGAACCAGGCUUCAAUGACGAUGAGUCCGGCGCGCAUAAUGUUCGGCAUUGCAAGGCGGGUUCCUCCCUUGAAUAAUCCAGAGAAGAUCAUGAACACCAGGAUAGUGUCCGGCUCUGCAAAAUAAAUUCCACAUUCCAUCGUAGAGAGAAUAAAAUGUACACUAUUCCAAUCUGCUGACGUAUUAUGCGGCAUGACAUCACACCGCUACCAGGCUUUUACUUGAAUCAUUUUUUAUUAUACCACCUCAGCACGUUUAGCGAAGCGGUUUCCUUGGCACGUCUUGUCGAAGCAGAGAUCAUGUUCCCCUUAUUCCGGGAUUCUCAUCAAUACGUGCGUGGGUAACCCAACCGUGCCCGUCGCCACACCUCCUCUAUCGAAGGUGAAUCCCAAACGGUCACGGAGACGACUCUUGGUAUUUUCCCCUUUAUAAGAGGACCAAGGCUCGUUCUUUUUCUUCAAUCUCGCAUCGAAUCUCCUUCUCGCUCCCAGUUCCAACACCCAGAGCCCCAGAUUCGAGCACUUCGGAUUCUCAACCAUGUCCGGCUCUGACCUCCAAGGUCGGUGGAUGCCCUCCUCCGUCACGGAGGAGGACGUGUUAAAGCUGCGUGAGGCCAAGUAUCUGUCCUACGAUAUUUCGCACAGGUUGCCUGCCCAAAGGCAGGCCGUGCCCGCCCCCGAGCCUGGUGAGUACGUUGUCUUCGUAUCCCACCUCCGUCGAGGUUUAGGCUUCCCGACGGACCCCUUCGUGAGAGGGCUCAUGUUCUACUACGGGCUGGAUUUUCACGACUUGGCUCCGGAGUCCACCCUCCAUAUCUCCUUAUUCAUUAUCGUCUGCGAAGCCUUCCUCCGCGUCACUCCCCACUUCGGCCUGUGGCUGAAGACCUUCAAUGUGGAGCCGAAUAUGAUCGGGGGGCGUCAAGCGGAGUGCGGCGGGGCGGCCAUAAGCAGAAGGGCCGAUGCCCCGUGGCCCGAGGGUUCCUUCCAAGAGGAACUCAGACUGUGGCAGCAGGAGUGGUUCUAUAUCACCGCUCCGAAGGGCAGCAAGCAAAAGCCGCCGCCUUCAUUCCGCCCGGGACCUCCAUGCCGACUGAUGUCGUGGGUCAACCAAGGGCUCAACUGGGGGCCGUCCGAAGACGUGCCCUUAUUGCAGGGCCGGAUUCGAGACCUCCAAGCGAGGGAGAUCAAUCUGGUCGUGGUGAUGCAGGUUAUGCUAAUCGGGCGUCUUCUGCCCUGCAAACGCCAUCCUCUCCGUCUAUGGGAGUUCAAUCCGGAGGGACCCCGAAUUCUCCAGCACUUCAUGGGUGCGACACCCGCGGAGAUGUACAGGUUGUUCUUCGGACCGCAGGUAGCGUGUCCGGAAUUGACCGAGGACGCAGGCCUAAGCCGCAAUCGCCCGGAUACUCAGGUAAAUAGCUCAGAGUCCGGACAUUCUGUUUAUCUGCUUUUCUAGAGUUCGCCUCCUGACCCAUUACUCUUCACAGGAGUGGGUAGCGCGAUCGAGGCUGAUAAGGUGUCCGGCUCCCCUCCCAGAGACCGCACUGGAGCCCGUGCUGGUCAGAAUGUUGGAGGUCGCGCCCAUAGAAGGGAGCGAUGGGGAAAAUAGAGGAGCUAUUAUUUCGCCCAGAGGGGCGUCUGAAGAGGGGGGAAUCAAAAACCCCUCCUUCCAGGGGGAGAAGAGGACCGCCUCCGAAGAUCCGGAGGCCAAAGCCCCUAAACGGGGGAAGAGAUCUUCACCGGGGGGUCCGGCGUCCGAGGAGAAUCCGGACGUACAAUCAUUGCCAAAGGAUCAGCCCUCCAGCGAGCCGUGAGUAUGAAAAGGGGAGUUCAUUAGUAGGAAAAUACCUCCAUUUGUGCUUCUGUGGGUAACCGAAAUUUUUGUCUUGCAGUUUGGAUUUGCAGCCUUCUCAGAUGAGUACAUCUUCGGGGGACCUUCUUCCGGAGAUGAUGGAGAGCGAAACGCCUCCGUCUGCUGCGCCGUCAGAUAAGGCAGACGAGCCUGAAGUAUCAUCACGUAGGGUAUCCCCGAGUCCGGAGGGGCCGGAGAGUUCGGCGCCUACUAGUAUCCGGCCGGGAGAACUGAAGAAUCUGCUUGAGAGGGCGUCCGUCUCAGAAGAUCACCGUGCUUUGAUGCGUAUGGUGAUUGGAAGGAUUUCGUCCGCCGAGAGCGGAUUGCAUAAUGUCGCUACGAGUUUGCUAGCGGGAUUUGAGGUACGCGAGAAUGACGCACCCUUCUCUUUUUUUUGACAGUUUUGCACAUAAAAGUGCGCCCUGUAUAGAUAGUAGCCCCUGAGACUCGGUAGGUUGUCCAAAACGACAGCGUGCCGAGGAUCAAAAUCGCAAGUAAGGAAUGUCGCCGUUCCUAUGCAGGUGGCGGAUAGUCCGAGGGCUAGCCGGACUAGUGGAGUUGCUGAGUUAAUGCGGCAACUUGACGUGGCGGAUGCGGACAUCGCACUUGUCAACCGGCGACUUGACAAGUCGCAAGGUAAAUGAGUUCUCCACAGUCGCUUUAUUAAGGGGGUCAAAGCCCUCCUCUGAUAAAUUAUAUGCUGUGAUACAGACGGUGCUGCUGUUGUGGAGAGCCUUCGGGCCGAACUUGCUCAAGCUAAGGAGCAAGCCCGAAGGAGUGACGCGGCUGCCUCGAGGGCGGCCGAGGAGUUGAAAGCCGAGAAGGCUGCACACUGCCUAAGCAGGGAAGAGAUGGCCGAAUUGGCCGUGAAAUUAAAAGAUGCUGCCGACCGCACUGAGGCUCUUGAAAAGGAGCGCUUAUCGGAGCGGGAAGACCUGGGGAAGGCCACCGCCGAGGCCAAGGAUGCCCGUUCUGCAAUGCGGGCCAUAAAGGAGGAGCUGCGCCAGGCCGGAGAUAUCGCGGCUGGCAAGCCUUUUCUGCUGCGUCACCGGUUUACGGAUCAAAAGUAUGCUCAACUUGGCCAGCUGUGGAGUCUGGAGGAUCCGUAUAUGGACUUAGUGUCAAGUGCUGCUGAUGCCGUUGAGAACUUCCGGAGCCAGAAGGAUCACAAGAUGGAAGAGCUAUUUUGGUCUCAAUUCCAUAGUCCGGAUCAUUCACUUCCGUUGACCGACCGGUUGGCCGAAUGGGCCGAGCUAAAUAGAUUGUCCGGACUUGCCAUGACUGACAUCGUGGCUCAUGUCUGGCCAGAGAGGCCCAAGGCGAUGAGCUAUUUCGGCUUACUGCAACAAUUUCUUGGAGCGGUGCCGCAUAUCAAGGAGAUGAAGCGGUCGGCCUGCAUCGAAGGCGCGCGGAUGGCUCUUGCCCGUGUGAAGACACAAUGGACAGAGAUGGAUGCCACCGCUAUUGCCGCCUAGGGUUUGGAUGAAAGCCGGUUACCUGCCAAGCACUAUUUUGGGGAAGUUAUGCGUGGCGCUCGUGUAAUAGAGUCGCAGUGCUCGAGAAAUGUCAUGUUCAAAUGAACGUUUUAGCUUGUAAAACGAUUAUUAUGCUAUAACUGCUUUUUAUACUUGUGCGUCCCAAGUAGUAAAAUUUCUCCUAUGCGGCCGUUUGCGUAUACAUUUGUAUAACCUGAAAGAUUGCAGUCUUCGGCUUCAGCCCCCACGCACAAGAUGCGGGGGUGUUCGCAAAAAUAGCGCGUUUUCACACUUAAUCCGACGUCUCGGUCCUGUUAAGGAGGUGGUAGCGUAGCAAACGAGGCAAUCCGGACUAUAAUGCUUUAUCACUUUCACUUAGCCAGUGGAGCUCGAGGGUGGGGCUACGAUAUAGCCCCUUGGGGCACCACACUUCUCCGAGUUCGGGGCGCGUGUGUGCCUGACCGGGAAACGGUCCUUCGUCAAAGCGGGGAAUUCUAAACAUUUCGGUAGUCGAUCGAGUGGUUGACCAGUCUCUCGCUAUAUCAUGACAGUCAGUUUUCGGCUUUCUCUACUGAGGUGCUCGCCCAGCCGAACUGGGGCACAAUCGUAGUAGUUCUCCUGGUGCCGCGUUAGCCGAUGAUACGGAACGUAAGGCAGCAAAACACAGGAGCCGGGCAAACCCAACAUUUGACCAAAGACAUGAUUCGGAGUUGAUGCAUAUAAUGCAUAACUCGAGACGCCGAACACUCCCUAAGGUGUUCGGUCUUUAUAAUAAUGGGCAGAACAAUGCCCUAAGCCCCUAGUGUCCAGGUACGGGCAUGGUUCUCUGACGCGGCCGAUGCCAAAACGUCAGGCUCCACUUUGGUUAUAGGAAGAAACCAAGGGAGAAUAACAAUAAGAGACAGUAAAAAAGGUUUACGUAGGGUCUUAAUCUGAAAAGAAUCCUCGCAACGGGUCCCUACUGCACGUUUGCGCCUGUGUCUCCGUUGUGCCGUUAUCCUGGACGGGUGUGCACGUUGUUCAUCUGUAAAAAGAGAGGAACACUUAGUUUGAAAACAAUUCGUGCGAAAAAGGUAUGUGUGAAAGAAGAAAUAUAAAUAAGUAAAGCGGGGUUUGUAUGAACUCGCGGUUAUUUGUGUGCGCAGCCCGCUGUGAAGGGGUGUGCGGCUAGGAAGCCCCUAGCCUACUGAAGCCGGACUCGUCUAUCCGCGUCUGGGGUCUUUAAGUGACCCUCGCACUGAAAUGAUGCCACGUGGACCGGGCAUCUUGAGUGUAAGAGACGCGUAAUGCGGUAUGGCGUUGAAACGGACAAAAGCCGUUCGUCCCAAGAGUGCUUGAUAUCCACUUUUAAAUGGGACGAUAUGAAAAAUUAGUUUUUUGCGUCGAAAGUUGUUCGAUGAUCCGAACACAACUUCUAGUAAUAGGGAGCCUGUGCACUUGGCGUAAGGGCCUGGCGUCACUCCUUUGAAGGAAGUGCGGCUGUGUCGAAUUUUAGUAGGGUGUAUCCCCAUGUUGCGAAUUGUGUUUGAAUACAGCAGGUUUAAGUCGCUGCCUCCGUCCAUUAGGACUUUAGUAAAUUGUAGUCCAUCGAUUAUGGGAUCUAAUACCAGGGCAGUCCGUCCUGCGUUUCGAACGCUUCUGGAAUAAUCCAGGUGGUCGAAAGUGAUUGGUUUUGAUAUCCAAUCUCUAUGGUCUGCUGGGUUGGACCGUGCGAGGCUCUUUUUAGGAAGUGCCGCACUAUUUUUCCGUGUUAUCACAUGAAGUGAGUUUACUGCUUUGACCUCUUGUGGGAAAGUCUUUUGUUUUCCGGUGCUCUGCUGGUGGGGUUUAUCGUCUUCGCUUGACGCGUCGAGCCCCUUGUGUUUGGCGUUUAGUCGGCCGGACUGUUUAAAAACCCAACAAUCUCGAUGGGUGUGGUUUGCAGGUCUUCCGGGGGUACUGUGGAUUUGACAUAUCCGACCCAAAAUCUUGUUUAAGUUGGACAGCUCAUCGUUGUCAUCCUUAAGAGGAGGUGUUUUGUUGUUUUGCCGCGAGCUUUUGAAUCCGGCGUUGACUGCCGUGCUCUUUGGGCUUUUCUCUUUAUUUCGGCGCUGCUCUUUCCUGCGCCGUGAUUUUCCGUUUCCAUCUCUUAUCUCGGAUGUACUUGGGUCGCUGGUGCUGCAUCUUGCUAGCCAGCUAUCCUCUCCCACACAGAAGCGGGUCAUGAGGCUUGUUAGCACGGACAUUGUCCUCGGUUUCUCUUGGCCGAGGUGUCUGGCAAGCCAUUCGUCUUGGACAUUGUGUUUAAAAGAUGCUAAGGCUUCGGCGUCCGGACAGUCGACUAUUUGGUUCUUUUUGGUGAAACCUGUUCCAGAAUUUGCGCGCUGACUCUCCGGGCUGUUGAGUUAUAUGACUUAGAUCAUCUGCAUCCGGAGGGCGGACAUAAGUCCCUUGAAAAUUUGCUCUAAACGCGUCCUCGAGCUCUUCCCAACUUCCCACAGUGUUUUCUGGGAGGCUUUUAAGCCAAUGACGGGCUGGCCCUUUGAGCUUGAGGGGUAGGUAUUUUAUGGCGUGGAGAUCAUCUCCUCUGGCCAUGUGUAUAUGUAGUAUAUAAUCUUCUAUCCAGACUCUAGGGUCUGUUGUUCCAUCGUAGGCCUCUAUGUUUAUGGGUUUAAAUCCUGCUGGGAAUUCAUGGUCCAGCACCUCAUUGGUGAAACAUAGUGGGUGUGCGGCGCCCCUGUAUUCGGGUGUGCCACUAUCUUCGGACACUUGACGUGUUGCCUUGCUUCCUGGGGCCUUCUUCUUUGGCCCGUAAAUGGACCUGGCUGGGCCAUCUGUCUUUCCAGGUUCAUUAGUUGGUUUAUGUGCGGCGCCGCUUUCAGAAUUUGGCCUAUCAUCUGGCCGUCUAUCCGACCAGGCAUCCUCUUUAUUUUUUGACUGUGGGGGCUCUAUGGCCUCCUCGUCGAAUUCUGGUAGCAGCUUGCGCUUCGGGUAGCUCUUUGAUUGGUGGCCAUUGCCGUAUUUAUCCGCGGUUUUGAGCACUUUGCUCCACCUCAUUCUGAGUGUGUCUUCCGCUGUUUUGAGCUUCCGCUUUUCCUUCUUCAAGCUUCUUGCAGUGUUGACGAGUCUUUUCCGAAGGUUUUUACUCUCCGGCGGCGUGUCCGGCAUGAGAUCAUCCGGACUGUCGUUUUCGUCGGGCCUGGACUGAUUAUCUGACUCGUCCUGUUCGGACGGUUGCUUAUCUGCGUGUUUGUCGUCCACUUGUGUGCCUUGCUGUAUUGCGGGGUCCUUAGGAGCGUUGUUGUUGUCGAGGCGGGACUUAGGGCGGCGUCUGCGCCGCCGUUUUGGUUGUUUAUCGGCGGGGUUAUCUUCUGCCGCGGCCCGUUGGUCCUCGUUAUCGCUCUCUUUUGGGGUAUCCACCAUGUAUAUGUCAUAUGACGAGGUGGUCCUCCCGUGCCCUAUGGGUGCUGUUUCUUGUUCGUCUCCGGCAUCGUCGUCUAUGCCGUCGAUGUCUUUGGAGUCAUAGUCUAGCAUGUCGGUUAGAUCGUCGACAGUGGCUACAAAGUGGGUGGUGGGUGGGCUCUGAAUUUCUUCGUCGUCCGUAUCCCGACCAUCCUGGCCAUAGUCCGGCCAGGGCUCUCCCGAUAACGAGAGAUGCUUUAGCGAAUUCAGGAUGUCGCCCAAAGGCGAGUAUUGGGAGAUGUUCGCGGCGGUGAAUUCCAUAACCGGCGCCCAAUGCGAUUCGGUUGGUAGGGGCGUGGGAGGUCUGGAGUCCGGCACCUCGGAAUCACGAGUUUCUCGAGGGACAAGAUUAGUGUUCGGCUCCAUCGCCGUGGAAGUUGAAGCCCCCAAGGCGGUGUCCAUCCACCGAUCCUCGGACUGGGCGAUCGGCUCUGGACUAAUGGCCGAAGCGGAUUCGUGCGCGGCCACCAAGGCACUGUCUGGCAGCAGAGCUAGAUCGUGCCCAUCGUAAUAGUGCGGCUCGCUUGGCUGUGGCUCGAGCCCGUCGAAGAUCAAGUCUCUGCGGACGUUGGCCGUGAAGUUUAGACUUCCGAAUCUGACCUGACGGCCGGGGGCGUAGCUUUCGAUCUGCUCCAGAUGGCCAAGCGAAUUAGCCCGCAGUGCGGAGCCGCCAAAUACGAAGAUCUGUCCGGGGAGAAAAGUCUCACCCUGGACAGCGUUGUUGGUUGAAGAUGCCAUCGGGCCUAUCGGUGACGACACAGAGGAACUCUCAAUGAAAGCACCAAUGUCGGUGUCAAAACCGGCGGAUCUCGGGUAGGGGGUCCCGAACUGUGCGUCUAGGCGGAUGGUAACAGGAGACGAGGGACAUGAUGUUUUACCCAGGUUCGGGCCCUCUCGAUGGAGGUAAAACCCUACGUCCUGCUUGAUUAAUAUUGAUGAUAUGGGUAGUACAAGAGUGGAUCUACCAUGAGAUCAAGGAGGCUAAACCCUAAAGCUAGCCUAUGGUAUGAUUGUUGUAAUGUAUGUUGUGUCCUACGGACUAAAAGCCCUCCGGUUUAUAUAGACACCAGAGGAGGCUAGGGUUACACAGAGUCGGUUACAAUGGUAGGAGAUCUACAUAUCCGUAUCGCCAAGCUUGCCUUCCACGCCAAGGAAAGUCCCAUCCGGACACAGGACGGAGUCUUCAAUCUUGUAUCUUCGUAGUCUUGGAGUCCGGCGGACGAUGAUAGUUCGGCUGUCCGGACACCCCCUAGUCCAGGACUCCCUCACCUACCUUCCCAAUCCGUUCAGGGCUCAGGCGUGCAGCACCCACCAAGCCAACCCGAUUUAUCCUGAGAUACAUCCUCAACACUCAGCAGCCACUCCUCAUCACCCAUUUUCUAUUUGAUUCAUUACUCAUUAGGCAGGACUGUCAUUAGGGUUUGUUGUGUGCUCAGUGCUACCUACACUUAAUGGUUCAGAUGUAUUUCGGUAAUCUUUAGUACCUCUAAAGUUCACAGGGUUUUCAAAAUUCCGGCCCUCGGAACAGAAACUAGUCAUUUUGGAUUUUUGGUCGUAGUGACAUUGACCCAGAUUACUACUGCAAGCCAGGUUUGUUGACAAUUUUACUUGUCUUUCUUACUCAUUCGAAUAAUAUCCAAUUAUUCACGUCGAUUAGUUGCAAACAAUAAGUGCUAGAUAAACUUCUUCAUUCAGAUUUUGGACGGUCUCUUACUGCAGUUACAAUUCUGCAUACUUGUCCUAGUAAGCUCACAAGUAAAUGAUUGAUUCACUACAUCUAUGCUUGCCUUGUCAUAUUUGUUGUCAAUAUUCUUUUAGGGUGGACCACCCUGUUUCUAAAUACUGGAAUCGUAGACAUGAGUGAAUAGUAUUUCUCUAUGUGAUCUCUUCCAUCAUGUGUGGGUAACGAACACUGCAUUCUAUAGAAAGAAAGUGUCAUUUCCAAUUUUUACAUAGGUUUCGAUGUUUUAGAUGGAAUACAAUCUGCCUACUUGCUUUGUGUCGCACUACCAACACUCCACCCUUGAAGCUAAACAUUACGCCACUCAUAAUUGCUUAGUUUAUUUGUUCAAAUACGAAUUUCAUAUGAUUCUAAUGUUCCUACUUCAGUUUUGAAAUGUGUGUCUGCCUGUUAUAGAGACAUAAGGGGUUUGUAUUUCUGUAUGUGGUCUGGUCAGCAUGGUUGGGGAGGUGAACUUUGCAUAUGUAGGGGUUUAUAGGGAGACACUCUCCGAGUUGAAUUCGCAAUGCAUUCCAUAGAUAAUCCGACUACUUUUUAUCUUUUCAUGAAUCUCAGAUUCUGAACAACAUCAUAAUGAUUAUGAUCUUGCGCGCAUGAAAAGAAUAAAGCAGAACAAUGCCAUGGUUGUCAAACUUGGCAUUAAGGGACUGAAAUCAAGUCUGGAUGCAAUGCAAUGCAAACGCUCUCACCUACAGAUUCAUGCUCAGAAUAUGAUCCUAACAGUGAUUCUGAGCUAGAGGGAGACCUAAGUGAAUGUAGCUCCCUAGUGGAGGAGUCAGAGGAAGAUGCCAUAUCUUAUUCACCCAUCAAGGUACUUGCUCUAACUUUCCAAGGUUACAUUGCUCGCACAUAUCUUGCAACUGAUGCUUUGCAUUGCUUCCACUUUGUGGAACUGCCAUUAGCCUAGUUUACACACCGUGUAUGUGAAUACGCCCUGCCUAUCCAUUUUCUGUACACAUUCCAUCUGUCAUCAUACCAUAUUUAUCCAUUCAAAUGUUGUUCUUGUGUAUCAGACGUUCAAAAGGAAGAGGGCGAUUGCUGAUCGUGGAGGAGCACAAGCAAAGUAUUUGGAAAAGGUAGUGGCACCUGAUAAAUCAAAUAGCCCAUUAGGUGUAGUUGCAAUAUCACCUGACCCACAAAAUACCCCAACUCUAGCAGACUCUAGCCCUACUACACUGGUCAUUUUUGAUGCCCCAACUCAGCAGACCCCAACUGCAGCAAACAGUAUGAUUAUGCGAGUUGACAUAGCACCAGCUGUACGAUGCAAAACCCCCAUUCCAGCAAAGAGUACACCAAAUCCAAUUGCCAAAUCCCUUUUCGAACCAGAGAGAGCCCCAAUUGCAGCAAAUAGGACCCCUAUUCCAUUUCUUCCUAGUUUAGAAGACGAAGCUUAUGUUGUUGUCAGGAACUUUGUGCGUAUCUUUCCUUCAUGGAAAGAUUACACCGCAGACACAGAAUAAUUUCCAGUCUUCCUCCACAACUUAUGCGUAAGUAAUGUACUAAUGUUAUUCAUGGUCAUUACUGCAUAUGUUUCUGCUGACAGAAGACACAAGAUUUCAUUCUUUUAAAUAGGCGAGGAGCAAACUGGAUUGUGAUGACGAGCAAGGGUUGGUUGCGCUUUUCAAGCACUCGUUGAUGAAGUAUCAUUCCUACCUGAGGCAAGCGCACUUCGAUGGCAAGCCUCUGAAUGAAAUUUCUGUAAAGUCUCCGGUGCUACAUUUAUCCGACGGUGACUGGAAUAAUCUUGUUACACAUUGGUCCCGGCUGCAGCGUAAGGUACUGUCUAUGAUAUCACAUCACAAUUUGAACUACAUUUCUGCAUUUGCCUUAAUGUCUCACUUGUACGAAAACUGUUAGCAGAAGAACAUUCGUUCUCAAGGGACCACAAAAUCUCGCAACUAUACUGCACACUGCAUUGCUCUUGUGAGUACCUCUUGCUUUGUAUGACCAUACUUACUUUCAUAGUUGUUUGAUUAUGUAGCAUCACUGCACAUGUUAGCCUCGUAGUCGUCCAUUUGGUGGACAUUAUAAGAUCCGUAUGGAUUCUUACAUAAAUUUAGAAUCAACCCAAUGCUUUUGAAGAGGUUUAGCUCUGCAGUCCUCUUGUAAGGACUGAACGUGGUCUAUCACUAUACUUACAUUAACAGCUACUCCCUCUGUCCCAUAAUAUAAGAACGUUUUGUACAGUACACCAGUGUUCAAGACACUCUUGUAUUAUGGGAAGAGGGAUUGGUUCAUUUUGUAGCAUUCUACAUCUUAUCUCCAUCGCCCACCAUUUACUAAAGAAGACCAGAUCUAUAUUUAAUCUUACCAACAAGUAGAAUACACAGACAAUGCCGGUGCAGAAGUGUAGCCCAUUGCUCUUGUCAGUACAUUUUGUCCUGUAACGCUUGUACUUCCAGAUAAGAUGUAGCAUCAAUCUGCAUCUUAUCUUCAUUAUCCUCUAUCCCUUCCAGUAUUAUCAUAUCAAUAAUUACUCUGUAUAAAAUGUAGAGUACAGGUAAUGCUUAUGAAGAAGAUUCUAUGCUGAAAUUCUUGAGUUAUCCUUCCCUUGACAUGGAGAAGGGCAUUAUAAAGCCGGUGUUAACUGUUAAUGUAAGUCAGUCCUUCUAAAGCCUUUAUCCUCAACUGCUGUUUAAUUUGCUCAUACUCCCUAUCGUUUACUGAUGUUACCAGGCCAAAACAUAUCUCGGGGCUUAGUUGGCCCACUGAUAUCAUGGGCCUUUAAGAGGCUGAAAGCUUAGCACACGCAUCAACGGGCCGAAUUACGUGACAGGUCUUUAACAGGACAAAAGUCACGUUGGGCUUAACUGUUGCCACCUUUAGCACGGGCCAUUAGUGGGCCCGAUGUCCCGUCGGACCAUAUAUGGCCCAUGGGCAGCACAGGCCAUUCCCAGGCCGAAAGUCACACCGGGCUGAAAUGGGCCCAUGUCUACAUCAGGCCUCUAACAGGCCGAAAGUCACUGGGCUGUAGUUGGGCCCAAAUAUUUGGCGAACAAUUAAUGGGCUAGAUCUGGCUUCGGGCCGCAAAUGGGCCCAAAUAUUGGGCGAACAAUUAACGGGCCAAAUCUGGCUUCGGGCCGUAAAUGGGCCCAAAUAUUGGGCGAACAAUUAACAGGCCAGAUUUGGCUUCAGGCCGUAAAUGGGCCUUUAUUAAGCAGGUCGUUAUUGGGCUGGCCCACUAGUACCUGAUUAAGUUCUACAGGCCUUUGACUGGUGUAAUGCCCCAGAUUUCUUUUGCUAAUUGAUUGUGCCAAUAUGCUUAAAUAUAUAGAUGAAUAAGGUAAAGUCAAUAUUUGUAGACCAUGAUAUAAAAUAGGAAAAGGAAAAUGAGAGAGAGAGAGAGAGAGAGAGAGAGAGAGACUAUGGGAAAUAAAUGGAAGAGGCGUGUUGGCAUUUGAACCUUGGACCUCUCAGUAGUAGGCUGAAUAUCAGUUGGCCUAUGUGGUGCUUUUGACUAAAAAUAGCAGAUUUUAGCUCUUUAAGCCCUCUAUAAAAUGAGAGGAAAGAAAAUCCUAUAUGGGCUCAAGGCCCAGUCAGACUUGGCGUAGCCAUCAGUCGCUCCUUCCGCCAUUGUACGCUGCGCCCAAAUCAUGUUUCUCUCCUGUUACCCCUCACCAAAGCCUUCCUCUGGUCUUCCCGACAGAGGCUGCUGCUGUCGCUGCUGGUGGUGGUGGUUGCCACUGCCGUGAGCUGCGAGGUUGCUGCUCUCCCUGACGCAUCUCCUCUCCGUGGUCGUUGCCGGGCAGGGGUGGCUGCUGGGCGUCGUGUUAGUAGAAAUACGUCCCAGUUCUCCUUUUCUAUGGUGCCUCCUAGGUCAUAAUUAGGGAUUUGGGUAGCAGUUGAUAGUUUAGAAUUAGAUUCGGGAUUUGGAGAGGGAUUCCUGAACCAAUUUGCAAAUUCGUUGGUGAUCUCCAUGCUUUUAGCUAUUUGGUAUUGACACCCAGGCUGGACCUUCUCUUUGUUAGUUCCUUUGAUUAACCAAAUCAAUUGGGGAUGAUAGCCCAUCUAUAUUGUUGCGAGGUGUUAUGUGGUAAUAUUCCAAGCGCUGUGUCGUUUGGGGUGUUACAGUGGUAUCAGAGCGGGCUUUAGGUCCUGGUGUAUCUAUUUGGGAUAAGAGCCUAACUUAGUUAUGAAUUUAGGAUUGAUUAAGAUUCUGACUAUAGGAUGAACAACAUUAAAAUUGACACACUGAUGCACAAUAGGAUGGGUCAGGCCAUGCAUUGCAUUACGCUUAAGUUUAUGUUUUCUCUUCAUGUUGACAUACUUGUUGGCAUAUGAUCAUGACUUUUGGUUGAUGAUUAAUUAUGUUACUUAUAGCUAUGCCAAGGGGUAGAGGUCGUGGUCGUGGUCCUCGUGGUCGUGGUCGUGGAGGACGCAACAAUCAGGAAGAGGAACCUUAUGCGGAAAAUGAGCAUAGCCAUCAUGGAGAAGAACUUGCAAGAGAAUCUGCUAACAGUGGUGGGCACAAUGAUCCAGGGAUGAUCUUAAAAGACUAGAUAGGUUUGAAAGUUGAUUGCUUUGAUGGAACUGGGACGCCAAUGGAUGCAGCAUCAUGGUUGAAUACCAUGGAGAAAUAUAUGGAUGCUAUGGAGUUGACUUUGCAAAAGAGAGCCCAGUUUGUGCGCUUCAACCUUAAGAAUCUGGCUGAUGAUUGGUGGACAAGAGUCCGUGCUACUCAUAUUCCUAUCUAUGGGCAACCCACCUGGAAGUUUUUUGUGCAACAAUUCACCGCAAAGUAUUAUCCAGACUCAUUCAAGGAGGAGAUGUCGGUGAAGUUGAACUACCUUAAGCAAGGGAAGUUGAGUGUGGAUGAGUAUGAGGCAGAAUUUAGUAAGUGUUGGGGAACGUAGUAAUUUCAAAAAUUUCCUACGCACACGCAAGAUCAUGGUGAUGCAUAGCAACGAGAGAGGAGAGUGUUGUCCACGUACCCUCGUAGACCGAAAGCGGAAGCGUUAGAACAACGCGAUUCAUGUAGUCGUACGUCUUCACGAUCCGACCGAUCUAAGUACCGAACGUACGGCACCUCCGAGUUCAGCACACGUUCAGCUUGAUGACGAUCCCUGGACUCCGAUCCAGCAGGGUGUUGGGGAAGAGUUCCGUCAGCACGACGGCGUGGUGACGGUGAUGAUGUUCUACCGACGCAGGGCUUCGCCUCAGCACCGCUACGAUAUGACCGAGGUGGAAUAUGGUGGAGGGGGGCACCGCACACGGCUAAGGAACGAUCACGAAGAUCAACUUGUGUGUCAUGGGGUGCCCCCUACCCCCGUAUAUAAAGGAGCAAGGGGGAGGGGGCGGCCGGCCAAGGGAGGGCGCGCCAGGGAGGAGUCCUACUCCCACCGGGAGUAGGACUCCCUCCUUUCCUAGUCCAACUAGGAGAGGGGAAGGAAGGGAAGGAGAAGGAGAAGGAAGGAGAUGGAGGAAAAGGAGGAAAGGGGGGCUGGCCCCCUAGUCCAAUUCCGUUUGGGCUAGGGGGGCCGUGCGCCCUGCCUCCUCUCUUCCACCACUUGGCCCAUGAGGCCCAUUGCUUCUUCCUCGUAUUCCCGUAACUCCCCAGUACCCCCGAAAAAUACCCGAAUCACUUGGAACCUUUCCGAACUCCGAAUAUAGUCGUCCAAUAUAUUGAUCUUUACGUCUCGACCAUUUCAAGACUCCUCUUCAUGUCCCCAAUCUCAUCCGGGACUCCGAACUCCUUCGGUACAUCAAAACUCAUAAACUCAUAAUAUAACUAUCAUCGAAACCUUAAGCGUGCGGACCCUACGGGUUCGAGAACUAUGUAGACAAGACCUAGAACUAUUCUCGGUCAAUAACCAAUAGCGGAACCUGGAUGCUCAUAUUGGCUCCUACAUAUUCUAUGAAGAUCUUUAUCGGUCAAACCGCAUAACAACAUACAUUGUUCCCUUUGUCAUCGGUAUGUUACUUGCCCGAGAUUCGAUCGUCGGUAUCCAAUACCUAGUUCAAUUUCGUUACCGGCAAGUCUCUUUACUCGUUACGUAAUGCAUCAUUCCGUAACUAACUCAUUAGCUACAUUUCUUGCAAGGCUUAUAGUGAUGUGCAUUACCGAGAGGGCCCAGAGAUACCUCUCCGACAAUCGGAGUGACAAAUCCUAAUCUCGAAAUACGCCAACCCAACAUGUACCUUCGGAGACACCUGUAGAGCUCCUUUAUAAUCACCCAGUUACGUUGUGACGUUUGGUAGCACACAAAGUGUUCCUCCGGUAAACGGGAGUUGCAUAAUCUCAUAGUCAUAGGAACAUGUAUAAGUCAUGAAGAAAGCAAUAGCAACAUACUAAACGAUCAAGUGCUAAGCUAACGGAAUGGGUCAAGUCAAUCACAUCAUUCUCCUAAUGAUGUGAUCCCGUUAAUUAAAUGACAACUCUUUUGUCCAUGGUUAGGAAACAUAACCAUCUUUGAUAAACGAGCUAGUCAAGUAGAGGCAUACCAGUGACACUAUGUUUGUCUAUGUAUUCACACAUGUAUUAUGUUUCCGGUUAAUACAAUUCUAGCAUGAAUAAUAAACAUUUAUCAUGAAAUAAGGAAAUAAAUAAUAACUUUAUUAUUGCCUCUAGGGCAUAUUUCCUUCAGUCUCCCACUUGCACUAGAGUCAAUAAUCUAGUUCACAUCACCAUGUGAUUUAACAUCAAUAUUCAUAUCUGUAUAUGAUUAACACUCAUAGUUCACAUCGUCAUGUGACCAACACCCAAAGGGUUUACUAGAGUCAAUAAUCUAGUUCACAUCGCUAUAUGAUUAACACCCAAAGAGUACUAAGGUGUGAUCAUGUUUUGCUCGUGAGAGACGCUUAGUCAAUAGUUCUGUCACAUUCAGAGCCGCAUGUAUUUUGCAAAUAUUCUAUGUCUACAAUGCUUUGCACGGAGCUACUCUAGCUAAUUGCUCCCACUUUCAGUAUGUAUCCAGAUUGAGACUUAGAGUCAUCUGGAUCGGUGUGAAAGCUUGCACCGAUGUAACUCUUUACGACGGGCUCUUUUAUCACCUCCAUAAUCGAGAAAUAUUUCCUUAGUCCUCACUAAGGAUAUUCUUGACCAAUGUCCAGUGAUCUACUCCUAGAUCACUAUUGUACUCCCUUGCCAAAUAAAGAGCAAGGUAUACAAUAGGUCUGGUACAUAGCAUAGCAUACUUUAUAGAACCUGUGACUAAGGCAUAGGGAAUGACUUUUCAUUCUCUUUCUAUUUUCUGCCAUGGUUGCGUCUUGAGUCUUACUCAACUUCACACCUUUGCAUCAUAGGCAAGAACUCCUUCUUUGACUGUUCUAUUUUGAACUAUUUCAAAAAUUUAUCAAGGUAUGUACUCAUUGAAAAAUCUUAUCAAGCGUCUUGAUCUAUCUAUAUAGAUCUUGACGCUCAAUGUGUAAGCAGCUUCACCGAGGUCUUUCAUUGAAAAACUUUUAUUCAAGUAUCCCUUUAUGCUAUCCAGAAAUUCUAUAUCAUUUCCGAUCAACAAUAUGUCAUCUACAUAUAGUAUCAGAAAUGCUACAGAGCUCCCACUCACUUUCUUGUAAAUACAGGCUUCACCGCAAGUCUGUAUAAUACUAUAUGCUUUGAUCAACUUAUCAAAGCGUAUAUUCCAACUCUGAGAUGCUUGCACCAGUCCAUAGAUGGAUCGCUGGAGCUUGCACAGUUUGUUAGCACCUUUAGGAUUGACAAAACCUUCUGGUUGCAUCAUAUACAACUCUUCUUUAAGAAAACCAUUAAGGAAUGCAGUUUUGACAUUAAUUUGCCAGAUUUCAUAAAAUGUGGCAAUUGCUAGCAUGAUUCGGAUAGACUAAAGCAUCGCUACAGUUGAGAAAAUCUCAUUGUAGUCAACACCUUGAACUUGUCGAAAACCCUUUUGCGACAAGUCGAUCUUUGUAGAUAGUAACACUACUAUCAGCAUCUGUCUUCCUCUUGAAGAUCCAUUUAUACAAUAUGGCUUGCCGAUCAUCGGGCAACUCCACCAAAGUCCACACUUUGUUCUCAUACAUGGAUCCCAUCUCAGAUUUCAUGGCCUCAAGCCAUUUCGCGGAAUCUGGGCUCAUCAUUGCUUCCUCAUAGUUCGUAGGUUUGCCAUGGUCAAGUAACAUGACUUCCAGAAUAGGAUUACCGUACCACUCUGGUGCGGAUCUUACUUCUGUAGACCUACGAGGUUCAGUAGAAACUUGAUCUAAAGUUUCAUAAUCAAUAUCAUUAGCUUCCUCACUAAUUGGUGUAGUUGUCACAGGAACCGGUUCUUGUGAUGGACUACUUUCCAAUAAGGGAGCAGGUACAAUUACCUCAUCAAGUUCUACUUUCCUCCCACUCACUUCUUUCGAGAGAAACUCCUUCUCUAGAAAGGAUCCGAAUUUAGCAACAAAAAUCUUGCCCUCAGAUCUGUGAUAGAAGGUGUACCCAACAGUCUCUUUUGGGUAUCCUAUGAAGACACAUUUCUCCGAUUUGGGUUUGAGCUUAUCUGGUUGAAGUUUCUUCACAUAAGCAUCGCAACCCCAAAUUUUAAGAAACGACAACUUUGGUUUCUUGCCAAACCAUAGUUCAUAAGGCGUCAUCUCAACGGAUUUUGAUGGUGCCUUAUUAACGUGAAUGCGGCCGUCUCUAAAGCAUAACCCCAAAACAAUAGCGGUAAAUCAGUAAGAGACAUCAUAGAUCGCACCAUAUCCAAUAAAGUGCGGUUACGACGUUCGGACACACCAUUACGCUGUGGUGUUCCAUGUGGCGUGAACUUUGAAACUAUUCCACAUUGUUAAAAAUGAAGGCCAAACUCGUAACUCAAAUAUUCUUCUCUACGAUCAGAUUGUAGAAACUUUUAUUUUCUUGUUACGAUGAUUCUCCACUUCACUCUGAAAUUCUUUGAACUUUUCAAAUGUUUCAGACUUGUGCUUCAUUAAGUAGAUAUACGCAUAUCUGCUCAAAUCAUCUGUGAAGGUCAGAUAAUAACGAUACCCUGUCACGAGCAUCAACACUCAUUGGACCGCAUACAUCGACAUGUAUUAUUUCCAACAAGUUAGUAGCUCGUUCCAUUGUUCCGGAGAACGGAGUUUUAGUCAUCUUGCCAAAAAGGCACGGUUCGCAAGCAUCAAAUGAUUCAUAACCAAGUGAUUCCGAAAAUCCAUCUUUAUGGAGUUUCUUCAUGCGCUUUACACCGAUAUGACCCAAACGGUAGUGCCACAAAUAAGUUGCACUAUCAUUAUUAACUUUGCAUCUUUUGGCAUCAACAUUAUGAAUAUGUAUCACUAUGAUCAAGAUUCAAUAAACCAUCACCAUUGGGUGUGUGACCAUAGAAGGUUUUAUUCAUGUAAACAGAAUAACAAUUUAUUUUCUAUCUUAGAUGAAGAAUCGUAUCACAAUAAACAUGAUCUUAUCAUAUUUAUGCUCAAUGCAAACACCAAAUAACAUUUAUUUAGGUUUAACACUAAUCUCGAAAAUAUAGGGAGUGUGUGAUGAUGAUCAUAUCUAUCUUGGAACUACUUCCAACACUCAUCGUUACUUCCCCUUCAGCUAGUCUCUGUUUAUACUGUAACUCCUGUUUCGAGUUACUAAUUACAGCAACCGAACAAGUAUCAAAUACUCAGGGGCUACUAUAAACACUAGUAAGGCACACAUCAAUAACCUGUAUAUCAAAUAUACCUUUGUUCAAUUUGCCAUCCUUCUUAUCCACCAAAUAUUCAGGGCAUUUCCGCUUCCAGUGACCAUUUCCUUUGCAAUGUAAUCACUCAAUUUCAGGCUUUGGUCUAGCUUUGGUCUUCUUCACGGGAGUGACAACUUGUUUGCCAUUCUACUUGAAGUUUUCCUUUCUUUCCCUUUGCCCUUUUCUUGAAACUAGUGGUCUUAUCAAUCAUCAACACUUGAUGCUCUUUCUUGAUUUCUACCUUCGUCGAUUUUAGCAUCACGAAGAGCUCGGGAAUCGUUUUCUUCAUCCCUUGCAUUAUAGUUCAUCACGAAGUUCCACUAACUUGGUGAUGGUGACUAGAGAACUCUGCCAAUCACUAUCUUAUCUAGAAGAUUAACUCCCACUUGAUUCAAGCGAUUGUAGUACUCAGACAAUCUAAGCACUUGCUCACUAGUUGAGCGAUCCUCCUCCAUCUUUUAGCUGUAGAACUUGUUGAAGACUUCAUAUCUCUCAAUUCGGGUAUUUGCUUGAAAUAUUAACUUCAACUCCUGGAACAUCUCAUAUGGUGCAUGACGUUCAAAACGUCUUUGAAGUCCCGAUUCUAAGCCGUUUAAGCAUGGUGCACUAAACUAUCAAGUAGUCAUCAUAUUGAGCUAGCCAAACGUUCACAACGUCUGCAUAUGCUCCUGCAAUAGGUCCGUCACCUAGCGGUGCAUCAAGGACAUAAUUUUUCUGUGCAGCAAUGAGGAUAAACCUCAGAUCACGGAUCCAAUCCGCAUCAUUGCUACUAACAUCUUUCAACACAAUUUUCUCUAGGAACAUAUCAAAAUAAAUAUAUGAAAGCAACAACGCAAGCUAUUGAUCUACAACAUAAUUUGCAAAAUACUACCAGGACUAAGUUCAUGAUAAAUUUAAGUUCAAUUAAUCAUAUUACUUAAGAACUCCCACUUAGACAGACAUCUCUCUAGUCAUCUAAGUGAUCACGUGAUCCAAAUCAACUAAACCAUGUCCGAUCAUCACGUGGGAUGGAGUAGUUUUCAAUGGUGAACAUCACUAUGUUGAUCAUAUCUACUAUAUGAUUCACGCUCGACCUUUCGGUCUCCGUGUUCUGAGGCCAUAUCUGUUAUAUGCUAGGCUCGUCAAGUUUAACCUGAGUAUUCCGCGUGUGCAACUGUUUUGCACCCGUUGUAUUUGAACGUAGAGCCUAUCACACCCGAUCAUCAUGUGGUGUCUCAGCACGAAGAACUUUCGCAAUGGUGCAUACUCAGGGGGAACACUUCUUGAUAAUUUUUAGUGAGAGAUCAUCUUAAAAUGCUACCGCCAAUCAAAGCAAGAUAAGAUGCAUAAAGGAUAAACAUCACAUGCAAUCAAUAUAAGUGAUAUGAUAUGGCCAUCAUCAUCUUGUGCUUGUGAUCUCCAUCUCCGAAGCACCGUCGUGAUCACCAUCGUCACCGGCGCGACACCUUGAUCUCCAUCGUAGCAUCGUUGUCGUUACGCCAUCUAUUGCUUCUACAACUAUCGCUACUGCUUAAUGAUAAAGUAAAGCAUUUACAUGACGUUUGCAUUUCAUACAAUAAAGCGACAACCAUAUGGCUCCUGCCAGUUGCCGAUAACUUCGGUUACAAAACAUGAUCAUCUCAUACAAUAAAAUAUAGCAUCAUGUCUUGACCAUAUCACAUCACAACAUGCCCUGCAAAAACAAGUUAGACGUCCUCUACUUUGUUGUUGCAAAUUUUACGUGGCUGCUACGGGCUUAGCAAGAACCGUUCUUACCUAUGCAUCAAAACCACAACGAUAGUUCGUCAAGUUAAUGCUGUUUUAACCUUCGCAAGGACCGGGCGUAGCCACACUCGAUUCAGCUAAAGUGAGAGAGACAGACACCCGCCAGUCACCUUUAAGCACGAGUGCUCGUAACGGUGAAACCAGUCUCGCGUAAGCGUACGCGUAAUGUCGGUCCGGGCCGCUUCAUCUCACAAUACUGCUAAACCAAAGUAUGACAUGCUGGUAAGCAGUAUGACUUGUAUCGCCCACAACUCACUUGUGUUCUACUCGUGCAUAUGACAUCUACGCAUAAAACCUGGCUCUGAUGCCAUUGUUGGGGAACGUAGUAAUUUCAAAAAUUUCCUACGCACAUGCAAGAUCAUGGUGAUGCAUAGCAACGAAAGGGGAGAGUGUUGUCCACAUACCCUCGUAGACCGAAAGCGGAAGCGUUAGAACAACGCGGUUGAUGUAGUCGUACGUCUUCAAGAUCCGACCGAUCCAAGUACCGAACGUACGACACCUCCGAGUUCAGCACACGUUCAGCUUGAUGACGAUCCCUGGACUCUGAUCCAGCAGGGUGUCGGGGAAGAGUUCCGUCAGCACGACGGCGUGGUGACGGUGAUGAUGUUCUACCGACGCAAGGCUUCGCCUAAGCACCGCUACGAUAUGACCGAGGUGGAAUAUGGUGGAGGGGGGCACCGCACACGGCUAAGGAACGAUCACGAAGAUCAACUUGUGUGUCAUGGGGUGCCCCCUGCCCCCGUAUAUAAAGGAGCAAGGGGGAGGGGGCGGCCGGCCAAGGGAGGGCGCGCCAGGGAGGAGUCCUACUCCCACCGGGAGUAGGACUCCCUCCUUUCCUAGUCCAACUAGGAGAGGGGAAGGAAGGGAAGGAUAAGGAGAAGGAAGGAGAUGGAGGAAAAGGAGGAAAGGGGGACCGGCCCCCUAGUCCAAUUCGGUUUGGGCUAGGGGGGCCGCGCGCCGUGCCUCCUCUCUUCCACCACUUGGCCCAUGAGGCCCAUUGCUUCUUCCUCGUAUUCCCGUAACUCCCCGGUACCCCCGAAAAAUACCCGAAUCACUCGGAACCUUUCCGAACUCCGAUUAUAGUCGUCCAAUAUAUAGAUCUUUAUGUCUCGACCAUUUCGAGACUCCUCGUCAUGUCCCCGAUCUCAUCCGGGACUCCGAACUCCUUAGGUACAUCAAAACUCAUAAACUCAUAAUAUAACUGUCAUCGAAACCUUAAGCGUGCGGACCCUACGGGUUCGAGAACUAUGUAGACAUGACCUAGAACUAUUCUCGGUCAAUAACCAAUAGCGGAACCUGGAUGCUCAUAUUGGCUCCUACAUAUUCUACGAAGAUCUUUAUCGGUCAAACCGCAUAACAACAUACAUUGUUCCCUUUGUCAUAGGUAUGUUACUUGCCCGAGAUUCGAUCGUCGGUAUCCAAUACCUAGUUCAAUAUCGUUACCGGCAAGUCUCUUUACUCGUUACAUAAUGCAUCAUUCCGUAACUAACUCAUUAGCUACAUUGUUUGCAAGGCUUAUAGUGAUGUGCAUUACCGAGAGGGCCCAGAGAUACCUCUCCGACAAUCGGAGUGACAAAUCCUAAUCUCGAAAUACGCCAACCCAACAUGUACCUUCGGACACACCUGUAGAGAUCCUUUAUAAUCACCCAGUUACGUUGUGACGUUUGGUAGCACACAAAGUGUUCCUCCGGUAAACGGGAGUUGCAUAAUCUCAUAGUCAUAGGAACAUGUAUAAGUCAUGAAGAAAGCAAUAGCAACAUACUAAACGAUCAAGUGCUAAGCUAACGGAAUGGGUCAAGUCAAUCACAUCAUUCUCCUAAUGAUGUGAUCCCGUUAAUCAAAUGACAACUCUUUUGUCUAUUGUUAGGAAACAUAACCAUCUUUGAUAAACGAGCUAGUCAAGUAGAGGCAUACUAGUGACACUAUGUUUGUCUAUGUAUUCACACAUGUAUUAUGUUUCCGGUUAAUACAAUUCUAGCAUGAAUAAUAAACAUUUAUCAUGAAAUAAGGAAAUAAAUAAUAACUUUAUUAUUGCCUCUAGGGCAUAUUUCCUUCACUAAGAUGGUACUCUUUGUGGAUCGGGUGAAGUGUAAUGAGGCGGAGAAGGCUAAGGCAUUCUUUAGAGGGCUGAAUUCAAAGUACAAAGAAGUGAUGGGAGCAAACCCCCCUACAGAUUACCUAGCAAUGGUUAGGCAGGCUAGAGGGAUGGAGUUGGAGGUCCGCCUCACAGAAGCCCAGGAGAAUCAUGCUAGAGGUUCUGGUGGCACAGGUGGUGACUCAAAGGUGAGUUACCGCGGUGGAAGUGGGUCUACUCCUCGACCUCCUUUCAUGAAGUUCAAAGGAAAUUACUGUCCGCAACAAACAACAAAGUUCAAGCAGUCAAGGUCUCAGUAUUCUUUGGUGCCCCGUUCUUCUUCAUCAGCUCCAUCUCUUCGCCCGGUGCCAGGGCAAGGCAUGAUUUGUUUCAAGUGUGGUGAAGGGCACCGUGCUUCUGAGUGUUCCUGGACUGGGAAAUGCCAUCAUUGCAAUCGUGAGGGUCAUAAGGGAGUGGUAUGUCGUCAAAACCCCGCCAGCAUUAUCAAGUGGGAGCCGACGCCUGUUGGCACUACUCCUGCAUCAUCUCGGGGAUCUAUGCAUGUGUUAGCAGCUGACACUACUACUCCCCAACUUCCACCAGCUGGCGUGCCACCUCCUGGCUAUGUUUGGCAGGCUGUUCCGAUGGCUUCAUCCCAUUUUCCUGCAUCGACAGUUCCACUUCAGCUACCUGCACCGUCACAACAGGGUGUUGGGUCUUCCUUUGUUGCACCACAGCCUGGAGUUUAUGUCAUGCCCACUAGUGCUUCUUUGGGACGAUCGGAUGUCAUGACAGGUAUACUUCCAGUUGACUCACAUGAUGCACUUGUCCUUUUUGAUUCUGGAGCUACUUAUUCGUUUGUAUCGUCGGAAUUUGCAAAUAAGGCCAACUUAUCUAGGCAACAAAUUGCUCAGUCAGUGGUUGUUAGUACUCCAAGUGGUCCAAUCUCUUCAUCCAUAGUUUGUCCCGGGUGUGCGAUAUCUAUAGAUGAUGAGGAUUUUAUAGCCAAUCUUAUGGUUAUUCCACUAAAGCCUUUCGAUGUCAUUCUUGGCAUGGAUUGGCUACAUCGAUAUCAUGCCAUGAUAUCAUGCUUUUGGAGGACCAUCUCACUUCAGGCCCCAUCUGGCGAGGAGUUGAUUUUUCAGGGAGAUGCUCCUCUACACUCUCUACUUGUCCUAGCUAGCUUGUUCCCUGGCCAACGAGCGGUCAAGACUGGCUUACUAUGGGCCCUUGCCGAGACCCCGAAUGCUGUGUUAUCAGUUGAAGCUAUUCCAGUGGUAUGUGAUUAUGCAGAUGUUUUCCCUGAUGUGUUGCCUGGUAUGCCACCUGAGAGGAAUGUUGACUUCCGCAUUGAUCUUAUUCCUGGUACCCGACCUAUCUCCAUGUCCCCAUAUCGAUUGGCACGCCCACUUCGAGAAGAAUUAAAGAAACAGUUGGAUGAUAUGUUAUCCAAAGGGUUGAUUCGGUGUAGUGUGUCACCCUGGGGAGCACCUGUGUUGUUCAUACUUAAGAAGGAUGGUAGUUGGCGAAUGUGUGUGGACUAUCAUGCCCUUAAUGCCGUGACCAUCAAGAAUAAGUAUCCUUUACCUUGCAUUCAAGAUUUGUUUGAUCAACUAAAGGGAGCUAAGGUAUUCUCCAAGAUUGAUCUGCAGUCUGGCUAUAAUCAAAUUCGCGUGCGUGAACAAGAUAUUGAAAAGACUGCUUUCUCCACUAGGUAUGGGCACUAUGAAUUCAAAGUUAUGUCCUUUGGACUAACAAAUGCCCCUACUAUCUUCAUGGAGAUGAUGAACAGUAUGCUGCAUAUGUUCCUUGAUGACUUUGUGGUUGUUUUCAUCGAUGACAUCCUUAUCUAUUCAAAGACGGAGGAAGAUCAUGAGCGCCACUUGAGGCUUGUUCUUGAAACCCUGAGGAAGAAUAAAUUUUAUGCGAGGCUAAAGAAAUGUGAAUUUUGGCUUUCUGAAGUGGCUUUUCUAGGACACGUUAUCAACCAAGAAAGAAUCUCAGUUGAUCCUAGUAAGGUUUCUAUAGUUGUAGAGUGGCCAAGACCGUCUAAUGUCAAAGAAGUAAGAAGUUUCUUGGGUUUAGCUGGUUACUGUCGGAGGUUUGUGAAAGAUUUCUCUAUUAUCGCCAAGCCAAUGACCAAGCUAACACAAAAGGAUGUGAAAUUUCGGUGGGAUGCUGAAUGUGAGAAUAGUUUCUCAACGCUAAAGAAUAGAUUGGUAAUCGCGCCUGUUCUCACUCAACCUGAACCUGGGAAAUGCUUCACAGUGUACUCUGAUGCUUCUCGGGUUGGUCUUGGGUGCGUUCUCAUGCAAGAUGGCAAGGUAAUUUCCUAUGCUUCUAGGCAGCUGAAAAAGCAUGAGCAGAACUACCAUACACACGAUCUAGAGCUUGCAGCUGUGGUCUUUGCACUCAAGAUAUGGAGGCCUUAUCUUUACGGAGAAUCUUGUGAUAUUUUUACUAAUCAUAAGAGUCUCAAAUAUAUCUUCACUCAAAAGGAGCUAAACUUACGGCAAAGAUGAUGGUUAGAAUUGAUAAAGGACUAUGACCUCUCAAUCCAGUACCACCCUGGCAAAGCAAAUGUGGUUGCGGAUGCUCCUAGCCGCAAGAUUGUCCCUCCCACAUUAGGUUGCCACAUUGCUGAUUUUGAGCAGAUGGGCAUCUCAUAUUGUUUUGCCGGUGUAGCACAUGAGGAGACACAAUUCAUUCUUCAAUCAGCUAUCCCAGACAGAGUGAGGGAAGCACAACAGAAUGACCGGUUGUUGUUGCAGGUGCGGGAGCGCAUCCAAGAAGUUAAAACCGGAGAUUUCACUCUAGAUGGGACUGGAUCGGUUCGGUUUCAUGGCCGCCUUUGUGUGCCACAAAAGUCCCAUCUUAAGGAGGAUAUUCUGAGAGAAGCACAUCGUACCCCAUACACAGUUCAUCCUGGAGAGACAAAGAUGUACCAAGACUUGAAGAAGACUUAUUGGUGGAAAAGGAUGAAAGUUGACGUGGCAAAGUAUGUGGCUUCUUGUGGGGUCUGUCAGCUCGUGAAGGCUGAGCAUAAGAGACCCGCGGGUUUGUUGCAGUCCUUAGAGGUUCCAGAGUGGCCAUGGGAUGACGUCGCCAUGGAUUUUGUUGUUGGCCUACCUCGCAUCCGAAGGGGAAAGGAUGCAAUUUGGUUGGUGGUGGACCGACUUACCAAAGUGGCUCAUUUUAUUCCUAUCCGUACCACAGACUCGGCAAGUGACUUGGCACCGGUAUAUGUGCAUGAGAUAGUAAGGUUGCACGGAGUUCCAAAAACUAUUACUUCUGACAGAGAUGCCAAGCUUGUAUCAAGGUUUUGGGACAGCUGGCAGAGUGCAAUGGGUACACAGUUAAGGAUUAGCACGGCAUUUCAUCCCCAAACAGAUGGUCAGUCAAAGCGUACCAUCCAAACUUUAGAAGAUAUGUUGCAAUGUUGUAUCCUAUCGUGGCAAGGGAGCAGGGAGGAUCAUCUACCACUUGUGGAGUUUGCUUACAAUAAUAGUUAUCAAGCUAGCAUUCGGAUGGCACCUUAUGAGGCCUUGUAUGGAAGAAAGUGUAGGUCUCCAGUAUGUUGGAAUGCAGUGGGCGAGAAGGCAGUGUUGGAACCAGAUUGGGUUCAACGAACUACAGACAGAAUAGCUGAAAUUAGACACCAUAUGCUAGCAGCCCUGAGUAGGCAAAAGAGCUAUGCCGACUGUCAGUGUCAAAACCGGCGGAUCUCGGGUAGGGGGUCCCAAGCAGUGCGUCUUAGGAUCAAUGGUAACAGGAGACAAGGGACACGAUGUUUUUACCCAGGUUCGGGCCCUCUCGAUGGAGGUAAAACCCUACUCCUGCUUGAUUGAUAUUGAUGAUAUGGGUAGUACAAGAGUUGAUCUACCACGAGAUCAAGGAGGCUAAACCCUAGAAGCUAGCCUAUGGUAUGAUUGUUGUUGUAUAUAUCUCUAUCGACUAGCCUGGCCCCGGUUUAUAUAAUGCACCAGAGGCCUAGGAUAACAAGAGUCCUAGCCGAAUACGCCGGUGGGGGGAGGAGUCCUUGUCUUGAUCGCCAAGUCUUGUUGAUUCUUCCUUGUAUGCGGCAGCUGUCCGGACUGGCCCAUGAGUAUACGGCCAUUGGGGUCCUCGGCCCAAUCCAACUGAUCGGGAGACGACGCGUUGAGUACCCCCUAGUCUAGGACACCGUCAGUAGCCCCCUGAACCGGUCUUCAAGUUAGGGACGCUCCUCGAUUCUUCCGAACUGUUCUUCAUCUUCGGUUGCCGGUCUUGAAAACUGGUUCAACAAAUCUUCUCAUCUUCUAUCUUGAGGAUCGCCGAAAUGCAUUCGACGAGUUUACACGUCGGGUAUCUGAGGAGCCCCUUUAAGUUUCCGGCCUUUAUCAAUGCCUUGUUAUUUUUAUGCCACACCUCGGGUUUGAAGUUGUUCCCGGGCGGCAACGUCCUCUUGCGUCCGAACUCCAACGCCGGACUGCAUUCGAGGUAUCUUUUGCAGCCGAGCACCAAUGCCGGACUGCUUCCCAGCUCUAACGCCCGACUAUGUAUCCGAGCUCCAACACCGGACUGUAUCCGAGCUCCAACGCCGGACUAUGUAUCCAAGCUCCAACGCCGGACUUUAUCCGAGGUGUCGUAAAUCACCUUGUUCAAAGAAGUUUGAAGGAGUUUAGCCGAGCUUAAUGCCGGAAAUGCCCUCUAUGGAGCCAGCCACUAGCGCCCAAGCUUUAUGCCGGACUGUUUCCGAGGUGGUGCACCUCCCCGAAGGUGGGCCAAUUUUUGUCAAUAUUUUUUAUUGAUGCAAUUUAUUCUUUGAGGAGAUAUAUAGCCAGUAGCCCUCAAGGUGUGUAUCGGUAUAAAACCCGAGAUGCACCUGAAGGAUGACAUAAGACCGCUGAUCCCAGUAACCGCUGAGACUCAGGUUGAUUUGCAAAAUCGGCGUGAGGAUCAAGUCCUAGCUCGGCAGAAUACUUCGGGACACAAAAAGCGGCGUGCUCAGUCCUCGAGACUCAGGUUGGGUGCGGCCGACCAACCUGAGGAUCAAAAUCUCCUCGGAAACUGUAUUGCACUUAAAAUUUUCUGCAUAGAACAGGCAAUGCAGUAGCCCCUGAGACACUAGUCGGGUGGCAACACCAGAUCAGGGGAUCGAUGUGCCCCUUUAAUAUUUGUAAAUAAUAAGCCCGAAGCCCAGUAGCCCCCGAGGCUUAAUGCGGGCACGGGUGGCCGAAUUAAGGAUCGAUAUCCAUAGUAAAAUCACAAAUUAUGUGUAAUGACUCUAUGUAUCCAAGUACUUUACGUCAUUAAUGCUCGGAUCCGCAUUGUACAAAACUUUGUUGACCGACCAUCGGCUUCCACCUCCUCGGCCAAUAGGCGAGGAGUGUUUGUCCUACUUUAUAAAGCCUUUAUGAGGGCAAAGAUUUACAACAAACAAGGCAAUCUGGCCAUACAAUUUUUAUAAACAAAGGUACACGGAGAGACAUGUUAUAUUACUAUUUAACAGAAGAAAUGUCUUCCAAAGAAAAUAGUCCCGCUAUCGGUUCCUUUCUUUGGGUUGUCAUGCUAAGCAUGAUCAUGAAACCUCAGCUCCAAUAUAAGAGAAAAAUAUCGAGGAUUUAGUUUGGGAGGCCAGUUAAUAGCCCCCGGUAGUGUUCGGCGACAGUCGAGGUCAAGCCGAAAACACUUCGGCCAAUGUUAUGAAUGGCCCGUCAUUUAAUAUAGUCAUCGGAUCGCUGACCAGUUUACACCUAUUGUGACAGUCAGUUUUCGGCUUUCUCCACUGAGGUGCUUGACCAUGCGAGCUGGAAGCACAAUCGCAGUGGUUCUCCCUUUGCACACCUAGCCGAACAAAGCGGAACAUAGGAGGCAAGCGCGGGAGCUGGGCAACCCAACUAUUGACCGAAGACACAAUUCGAAACUGAUGCAUAUAUAGCAAUAUCCAAGAAUGUUUUUGCCGAAUCUCUAAAGGUGUCCAGCGUUGCACUGCGAGACUUGUGCUGAAAACACACAAAUAGUUUAAAAGUGCCAAAAGCUUGGAAAACCAAAAAAUGUCAGUAAAAACAUGACGUCCGAACAAGAUCAAGUGUUCGGUGCCAAUCCGAAAAUUGGACUUUAGAAAAAAAAGUGCUUCUGCCGUGCUUUAACAUGACACAUCCUAUCUCAAGACUUCAAGCGGGUUAGCCUACGGCUUCAGUCUUCCAUCCCGAAGACGGAGUACUUCUCAUUAGGCCAGUUUAGAAAACUAAACUCUAGCGGUUUUGAGAGAGAAAUUAGGCUCCCCGGCUAGUGACCGCAUACUCGUGUCGAGAAAAGGAGUGAUAAAUAAUAAUAAAAACUAUGCAACGACUAAGAAGAAAAACACUUAUCAUAAAACGGCUCAAAUAAACAUAAGAGCCCCCAAGUGACUUGGGUAAAAGAAUGAUUGUAUGUACCGAAGUACGUAUAUCAUAUCUAUGUUCAACCGAACUUUAAACGCGUCUUAACCGACCGUCGGCUUCUCCAUCUUCGGUCAAGGACCGAAAAGUGUUAUGUACUCCAUCUGUCGAGAAUAUCAACGGUGUUUCCAAUAACCAGGCAAUCAGGUCAUAAGGCUGUAACAGACAAAGCGCGCUCAGGGAACUUAUGCUAUAUUACUGAUAAAGUGUAAGAAGCAUCUUUGAAGAAAAUAGUACCCCCACCGAUACCUUUCUUCGGUGCUCAUUGUUAAUAUGAGACUUGUGCGAUAGAUUUUUUGUACUCAUGAGUUCCGUUGUGUGCCGACCAUGAUUGAAAACAAUAAGAGCGCUAGCUUUCGGCUUCACCCAAUCUGAGGUCCGGCUCGGUUGACCCGAUCGUGACAAUCGCAGAGGUGCUCCCUUUACUCCCUAGCCGAACAAUCGGGAACGUAGGGGUAAGCACAGGAGCCAGGCAACCCAGCUUGCAAAUCGCUUAAGUCAAUAUGGUGCAUAUUGUGGCGUAAUACAUGAACAAGGAACGAAGCCGUACAAGUAUAAUCAUAUGCAAGAGGAAAAAGCUUCAUGAAGGAAGCCCCCAAGUAAACGGGGUAUUUGAAUUUGCGCGUCACAAACAAAGUUUUGGACAAGGAAAUUUUUACAAGCAACUUUUUUCCAAAAAAGUAUAGUGCUUGGCCGAGCCGAACACAAGUUAAAAAUUUAAAAAUUUGAGCAUGAAGACAACUUAGCUGGUUAAUGUGUUCAGUAUUGAUGACAUGGUCCGAGCUUGACGCGGGACAAGGUUCCAUCCCAGAGCCGGUCCCGAGGUGGCGGAGCAAAGAGCUCGGCACUCCGAAGUGGUGACAUAGCAUGGUCAAUGCAGGACGACAGGGUGAUGUCGAAGUCCCCGACAUGGGGUAAUGAAGUGUUGACGAAGCCCCCCGUCCAGCCGAGGUGACGCCAAAGGAUAUAGUCCGGCUGGAUCUUUUUCCUGUGCACAAAAAAUAGUGCAAACCGGAGAUAAUAGUAAUAAUAAUAAAAAUAAAAAAAUUGUUGCAUAACAAAUAAUUUAUGCAAAGUGAGUAAUAAAAGAAAUAUGGCCUGGCGCCGAAGUCAAUGUCGAUGCAGGGCGGCGGCGUGAUGCGGUAAAGGCAUGGGAAGGCCUGAAUUCACAGGUCGGUUCGAGUUCCGGAUGCGGCGUUCGCCGGACUAUGUACGGAAACUGACCGAACCACCAUGCGACCAUCGUUAAUGCGGCCACCAUUUGAUAGACCUGCGUACAUAUGAUGGACAAACCAGAGUAAUAAUUCAUUGGGAAAAAUGAACCCUAACAAGCAAAAAAUACUAGGAUUAAUAGCACCUGGCUUAUUUGUUGCAGCAAUCUGAAGAAAGGUGAUUCCCAAAAUUGGGACUCGAUCUGCACACCUAUCGCCUGAUGGGCGAUAAAGCAAUGGCAUGGCGAUGCUGGCAAAGGUUGGCUCGCCGAGGCAAAGCCCUCGGUCCAGCUAACGUGACGGAGCUGGUCAGCCAGCAACGCCAAAGUCUCCGGAGUAGGUUGAUGAAGAGAUGAUGAAGCCCCCGGUCCAGCGAUGCAGGUCGUGACGUGGUCGAUGCAGGUGUGUCCGCUCCGUGUAAUCCGUGGGGCGGCGAUGUUGGUGACGAUUUAUCCUUCACGAUGUCGAACUAUUGUUCGGCUGGCCGAGAUGACGAUCCGAAGAAAUUGAGCUCGGCUUAACAAAGCGACGACGUGUCUAACGUAGGUAGGCCGCCGUGGAGUGAUGUUGUCGGGCUGGUUUGACACCGGCGCGAUGGUGAAGUUUGUAUUGUAAGAAUACUUUUAAUACUACUGGGAUGUGUUUGAGAAUAAAACACAACACCCCAUACGAAAACUUCCUUCAAAAAGGAUGUCCAAGAUCCCGUUCAUAAAGAAGAUGAAUUUGGGUCGGAUUCGUUCUCGCGCAGAAAACAGAUCCAAAAUGUGAUGCACUAAUCGGAAGUUUCCCAGAGUUUGGACGGUCGGAUCGAGCCAAAUUUUUGGCAGGUGGUAGAUAUGGUAAUUCCGCAGAAAAUCAAUGGUUGGAUCUUCCAAAGGACAUCCGAGCUAGAUGCUGGAUACCACGCCCUAAACUCGUCCGGAUUCUCGUCCAGAUUCAACAGGGCUCCGGUAUAUCGGAGAUUGCCGGAGAUUCCUCCAUCGGAACUCGAUGAAAUUUUUGCAGGGUUGUUGUAGACUUAAUUCCGCAUAAUCUACCGAAGUAAUCGUUUAGGCGACACUCGAGGAGGCGGUGGCGACGGAUACAAGUUUGCUGUCCAGAAAAACAGCACGGUCGCCUAAGGGCAAUGUUGACGUUGAGCCCCCGAGCUCCAUGGAUGACUCCUCCAUGAUCUUGAUAGAGAUCGGAGUUGGUGUUGAUGAAGUCCCUCAUCUGAACAUGACGAUCGGAGGUAGGGCACAGUCCUCGGUCAAGCCAAGGUGACCAGUCAAGCUGGUGACGAAGAAGCUGACGUCGCAGUUGACCUGCAGUCGAGCCAUUGAUCCUUUCGCCGAUCACACAGCAGAACUCUCAAUGAAAGCACCAAUGUCAGUGUCAAAACCGGUGGAUCUCGGGUAGGGGGUCCCAAGCAGUGCGUCUUAGGAUCAAUGGUAACAGGAGACAAGGGACACGAUGUUUUUACCCAGGUUCGGGCCCUCUCGAUGGAGGUGAAACCCUACUCCUGCUUGAUUGAUAUUGAUGAUAUGGGUAGUACAAGAGUUGAUCUACCAUGAGAUCAAGGAGGCUAAACCCUAGAAGCUAGCCUAUGGUAUGAUUGUUGUUGUAUAUAUCUCUAUCGACUAGCCUGGCCCCGGUUUAUAUAAUGCACGAGAGGCCUAGGAUAACAAGAGUCCUAGCCGAAUACGCCGGUGGGGGGAGGAGUCCUUGUCUUGAUCGCCAAGUCUUGUUGAUUCUUCCUUGUAUGCAGCAGCUGUCCGGACUGGCCCAUGAGUAUACGGCCAUUGGGGUCCUCGACCCAAUCCAACUGAUCGGGAGACGAUGCAUUGAGUACCCCCUAGUCUAGGACACCGUCACCGACCCCAAGAGGCGGAAUGUGGAGUUUCAGGAAGGAGAAGAGUUACUUCUGAGAGUCUCACCAACCAAGGGUGUUAUUAGGUUCAAUAUCAAAGGAAAGCUUAGCCCACGGUACAUUGGACCCUUCUUAAUAGUGGCACGAGUAGGGAAACUAGCCUAUCGUCUUGAGUUGCACGAGUCAAUGAAAGGUGUGCAUAACAUAUUCCAUGUAUCCAUGCUACGUAAGUACUUCCGAGUUCCCGAACGACAAUUGACUGUGGAGCCAAUUACAAUUGAGCAAGAUCUUACCUUUGAGGUUCGCCCUAUGAGUAUAUUGGAAGAGUCUGAGAGAGUGUUGAGGAAUAAGAUGCUCAAGUAUGUGAAGGUUCUCUGGUCGCAACAAUCCGAGCAUGAGGCGACUUGGGAGCUUGAGUCGCGCAUGCAGGAAAAGUAUCCGGAAUUGUUCGAGACCGGUACGUGGUGUAUGGUUUUCAUUCCAUUUCUUAGUUAUCAGUUAUGCCUGCUUUCUGAGUAGUAAUGUGGUGAAGAAUUCGAGGUCGAUUCUGUUUAAGGGGGUGAUAAUGUAAUGCCCCAGAUUUCUUUUGCUAAUUGAUUGUGUCAAUAUGCUUAAAUAUAUAGAUGAAUAAGGUAAAGUCAAUAUUUGUAGACCAUGAUAUAAAAUAGGAAAAGGAAAAUGAGAGAGAGAGAGAGAGAGAGAGAGAGAGAGAGAGAGAGACUAUGGGAAAUAAAUGGAAGAGGCGUGCUGGCAUUUGAACCUUGGACCUCUCAGUAGUAGGAUGAAUAUCAGUUGGCCUAUGUGGUGCUUUUGACUAAAAAUAGCAUAUUUUAGCUCUUUAAGCCUUCUAUAAAACGAGAGGAAAGAAAAUCCUAUAUGGGCUCAAGGCCCAGUCAGACUUGGCGUAGCCAUCGGUCGCUCCUUGCGCCGCUGUACGCUGCGCCCAAAUCCAGUUUCUCUCAUGUUACCCCUCACCAAAGCCUUCCUCUGGUCUUCCCGACAGAGGCUGCUGCCGUCGCUGCUGCUGGUGGUGGUUGCCGCCGCCGUGAGCCGCGAGGUUGCUGCUCUCCCCGACGCAUCUCCUCUCCGUGGUCAUUGCAGAGCAGGGGUGGCUGCUGGGCGUUGUGUCGCUAGCAGUACGUCCCAGUUCUCCUUUUCUAUGGCACCUCCUAGGUCAUAAUUAGGGAUUUGGGUAGCAGUUGAUAGUUUAUAAUUAGAUUCGGGAUUUGGAGAGGGAUUCCUAAACCAAUUUGCAAAUUCGUUGGUGAUCUCCAUGCUUUUAGCUAUUUGGUAUUGACACCCAGACUGGACCUUCUCUUUGUUAGUUCCUUUGAUUAACCAAAUCAAUUGGGGAUGAUAGCCCAUCUAUAUUGUUGCGAGGUGUUAUGUGGUAAUAUUCCAAGCACUGUGUCGUUUGGGGUGUUACAACUGGGCCGGCCUUUUUAACCUAUAUGGACCUCUGUUGGGCCCAACCACGUGUCGACGUAUCAUAGGCAUGUCUCCUCCAAUGGACGGGCGACAUCUGGCCCACUGACGAGCUGACAGGUGUUCCCUUCGGCCAAUCAGAAUUUUACAUGUGGAAAUUUCCCAUUGGUCAGGACUGUUAACGGGUUAUCGGAUCCAAAAUCCGACCCGAUAGCUUAACGGUGUUCCGCUACGGUGGAUGCCACGUGUCGGUCACCCUUGACGAAAGCACUUCUAUGACGCUCGAUUUAUCGUCAUGGAAGUGGACACUUCCAUGAUGAUAAUUUUGGUAAUUUCAUGGAACACUUCUACAACAACACAGGUAUGACUAUCUUGAUUCUGUCAUAAAUUUGUCAUGGAUGUACAUGCAUGAAAAAAAUGCUACUUACUGUGACAAACACGUAUCAUCACGGAAGUGUAUUUUUUUGUAGUGUUGGCGCGCAUUGUAUUUUGAUUGUUUAUCUUUGCGUGAAGGUCGGGGGCGCACGAUGGUUAACUCCUACCAACUUCCCCCCCUAGGAGCAUGCGUAGUAGUACUUUGCUUCGAGGGCUAAUAAACUUUUGCAAUAAUUAUAUGAGUUCUUUAUGACUAAUGUGAGUCCAUGGAUUAUACGCACUCUCACCCUUCCAUCAUUGCUAGCCUCUUCGGUACCGUGCAUUGCCCUUCCUCACCUCGAGAGUUGUCGCAAACUUCGCCGGUGCAUCCAAACCUCGUGAUACGAUACGCUUUAUCACACAUAAGCCUCCUUAUAUCUUCCUCAAAACAGCCACCAUACCUACCUAUCAUGGCAUUUCCAUAGUCAUUCCGAGAUAUAUUGCCAUGCAACUUCCAUCAUCAUCAUCAUCAUCAUCAUAUACAUGACUUGAGCAUUCAUUGUCAUAUUGCUUUGCAUGAUCAUAAGACAGCUAGCAUGAUGUUUUCAUGGCUUGUCCGUUUUUUGAUGUCAUUGCUACGCUAGAUCAUUGCACAUCCCGGUACACCGCCGGAGGCAUUCAUAUAGAGUCACAUCUUUGUUCUAUUAUCGAGUUGUAAUAUUGAGUUGUAAGUAAAUAAAAGUGUGAUGAUCAUCAUUAUUAGAACAUUGUCCCAUGUGAGGUUAUCAAAAUAAAAGUGGCCAAAGAAGCCCCCCAAAAAAGAGAGAGGCCAAAGAAGCCUGCAAAAAAAUGAGAGAAAAGAGAGAAGGGACAAUGUUACUAUCCUUUUACCACACUCGUGCUUCAGAGUAGCACCAUGUUCUUCAUAUAGAGAGUCUCUUGAGUUAUCACUUUCAUAUACUAGUGGGAAUUUUCAUUAUAGAACUUGGUUUGUAUAUUCCAACGAUGGGCUUCCUCAAAUGCCCUAGGUCUUCAUGAGCAAGCAAGUUGGAUGCACACCCACUUAGUUUCAGUUUGAGCUUCCAUACACUUAUAGCUCUAGUGCAUCUGUUACAUGGCAAUCCCUACUCCUCGCAUUGACAUCAAUUGACGGGCAUCUCCAUAGCCCAUUGAUUAGCCGCGUUGAUGUGAGACUUUCUCCCUUUUUGUCUUCUCCACACAACCUCCACCAUCAUACUCUUUUCCACCUAUAGUGUUAUAUCCAUGGCUUGCGCUCAUGUAUUGCGUGAGGGUUGAAAAAGCUAAAGCGCAUUAAAAAGUAUGAACCAAUUGCUUGGCUAAAACCGGGAUAGGCAUGAGGGGUACCAUGUGUUAAGAAAAGGGAGCAUACAAGACUAUAUGAUUUUGUAGGGAUAGCAUUCUUUAGCAUUGAUAUUUUGAAAGACAUGAUUGUUUGUUGGGAUGCCUGACUAUUAUUGUUUUUAUGUCAAAUGAUAGACUAUUACUUUGAAUCACUCGUGUCUUAAUAUUCAUGCCAGGAUUAGAUAUAUGAUCAAGAUUAUGCUAGGUAGCAUUCCACAUCAAAAAUUAUCUUUCUUAUCAUUUACCUACUCGAGGACGAGCAAGAAUUAAGCUUGGGGAUGCUGAUACGUCUCCGUCAUAUCUAUAAUUUUUGACUGUUCCAUGCCAAUAUUAUACAACUUUCAUAUACUUUUGGCAACUUUUUAUACUAUUUUUGGGACUAACAUAUUGAUCCAGUGCCCAGUGCCAGUUCUUGUUUGUUGCAUGUUUUUUGUUUCGCAGAAAAUCCAUAUCAAACAGAGUCCAAACGGGAUAAAAACUGACGGAGAUUUUUUGUAAUAUUUAUGAUUUUUGGGAAGAAGAAUCAACGCGAGACGAUGCCCGAGGGGGCCACGAGGCAGGGGGGCGCCCCAGGGGGUCAGGCGCGCCCUGGGCCCUCGUGGACACCCCGUAGGGCGGUUGGUGCCGUUCUUUCGCCGCAAGAAAGCUAAUUUCCGGAUAGAGAUCGUGUCCAAAAUUCAGCCCAAUCGAAGUUACGGAUCUCCGGGAAUUUAAGAAACAGUGAAGGGCCAUAACCAGGAGCGCAGAAACAGAGAGAGACAGAGAGACAUAUCCAAUCUCGGAGGGGCUCUCACCCCUCCCAUGCCAUGGAGACCAAGGACCAGAGGGAGAACCCUUCUCCCACCUAGGGAGAAGUCCAAGGAAGAAGGAUAAGGAGGGGGGCUCUCUCCCCCUCGCUUCUGGUGGCGCCGGAACACCGCCGGGGCCAUCAUCGUCAUCGCAAUCUUCACAAACAACUUCACCGCCGUCAUCACCAACUCUUCCCCCCUCUAUGCAGUGGUGUAUCCCUUCUUUUACUCGCUGUAAUCUCUACUUAAACAUGGUGCUCAACGCUAUAUAUUAUUUCCCAAUGAUGUGUGGCUAUCCUAUGAUGUUUGAGUAGAUCCGUUUUGUCCUAUGGGUUAAUUGAUGAUCGUGAUUGGUUUGAGUUGCAUGUUUUAUUAUUGGUGCUGUCCUAUGGUGCUCUCUGUGUCGCGCAAGCAUGAGGGAUCCCCUCUGUAGGGUUUGCAAUAUGUUCAUGAUUUGCUUAUGGUGGGUGGCGUGAGUGACAGAAGCACAUACCCGAGUAAGUAGGUUGUUUGUGUAUGGGAGUAAAGAGGACUUGAUGCCUUAUAAUGCUAUGGUUGGGUUUUACCUUAAUGAUCUUUAGUAGUUGCGUACGCUUGCUAGAGUUCCAAUUAUAAGUGCAUAUGAUCCAAGUAGAGAAAGUAUGUUAGCUUAUGCCUCUCCCUCAAAUAAAAUUGCAAUAAUGAUUACCGGUCUAGUUAUAGAUUGCCUAGGGACAAAUAACUUUCUCGUGACAAAAAGAUCUCUACUAAAACUAAUUUAGUUGUGUCUUUAUCUAAACAUCCCCUACUUUUUAUUUACGCGCUCUUCAUUAUGGUGCAAACUUAUCCAAAAACACCUACAAAGUACUUCUAGUUUCAUACUUGUUCUAGUUAAAGCGAACGUUAAGCGUGCGUAGAGUUGUAUCGGUGGUAGAUAGAACUUGAGGGAAUAUUUGUUCUACCUUUAGCUCCUCGUUGUGUUCGACACUCUUACUUAUUGAAAGAGGCUACAAUUGAUCCCCUAUACUUAUGGGUUAUCAAGCACCGCACGAUUGAACCCAAAGCUAAGCACUUCUCCCAUUGCAAGAAAGAUUAAUCUAGUAGGCCAAACCAAACUGAUAAUUCGAAGAGACUUGCAAAGAUAACCAAUCAUACAUAUAAGAAUUCAGUGGAGAUUCAAAAAUUGUUCAUAGAUAAUCUUGAUCAUAAACCCACAAUUCAUCGGAUCUCGACAAACACACCGCAAAAUAAUAUUACAUCGAAUAGAUCUUCAAGAGAAACGAGGAGAACUUUGUAUUGAGAUCCAAAGAGAGAGAAGAAGCCAUCUAGCUAAUAACUAUGGACUCGAAGGUCUGAGAUAAACUACUCACACAUCAUCGGAGAGGCUAUGGUGUUGGUGUAGAAGCCCUCCAUGAUCAAUGCCCCCUCCGGCAGAGCGCCGGAAAAGGCCCCAAGAUGGGAUCUCACGGGUACAGAAGGUUGCGGCGGUGGAAAUAGGGUUGUGGCUCCUGUUCUGUUGGUUCCAGGGUAUAUGAGUAUAUAUAGGAGGAAGAAGUAGGUCGGUGGAGCCACGAGGGGCCCACCAGGGUGGAGGGCGCGCCUGGGGGAGGUGAGCGCGAUCCCCUGCCUCGUGGCCUCCUCGGUUCUUUCUUGACGUCCACUCCAUUUGAUAUUCCCUUUCUGCGAACCACUAAAAUAGGCAAAAUAAUAGCAAUUUGGGUUGGGCCUCUGGUUAAUAGGUUAGUCCCAAAAAUAAUAUAAAAGUGUAUAGUAAAUCUCGUUAAACAUGCAAAACAGAAUAUAUAAUAGCAUGGAACAAUCAAAAAUUAUAGAUACGUUGGAGACGUAUCAAGCUUCCCCAAGCUUAAUUCCUACUCGUCCUCGAGUAGGUAAAUGAUAAAAACAGAAUUUUUGAUGUGGAAUGCUACUUAGCAUAAUUCUCAAUGUAAUUCUCUUUAUUGUGGCCAGAAUAUUCUGAUCCAAAUGAUUCAAAAUAAAAGUUCAUAUUGACAUAAAAAUAGUAAUACUUCAAGCAUACCAAUGAGUAAUCAUGUCUUAUCAAAAUAACAUAGCCAAAGAAACCUUAUCCCUACCAAAUCAUAUAGUUAGGCUAUGCUUCAUUUUCAUCACACAAGAUACUCCCAUCAUACACAACCCCGGUUUCAGACAAGCAAUUGGUUCAUACUUUUUAACGCUCUUCAGCGUUUUCAACUCUUACACAAUACAUGAGUGCAAGCCAUGGAUAUAGCACUAUAUGUGGAAUAGCAUGGUGGUUGUGAAGAGGACAAAAAGGGAGAAGAUAAUCUCACAUCAACUAGGCGUAUCAAUGGGCUUGGAGAUGCCCGUUAAUAGAUAUCAAUGUGAGUGAGUAGGGAUUGCCAUGCAACAGAUGCACUAGAGCUAUAAAUGUAUGAAAGCUCAACAAAAGAAACUAAGUGGGUGUGCAUCCAACUUGCUUCCUCACGAAGACCUAGGGCAUUUUGAGGAAGCCCAUCAUUGGAAUAUACAAGCCAAGUUCUAUAAUGAAAAAUUCUCACUAGUAUAUGAAAGUGACAACAUAGGAGACUCUCUAUCAUAAAGAUCAUGGUGCUACUUUGAAGCACAAGUGUGGAAAAAGGAUAGUAACAUUGUCCCUUCUCUCUUUUUCUCUCAUUCAUUUUUUUUCUUUUUGGGCCUUUUUUUCUUUGGCCUCUUUUUUCUCUCUUUUUUUAUUUAGUCCGGAAUCUCAUCCCGACUUGUGGGGGAAUCAUAGUCUCCAUCAUCCUUUCCUCACAUGGGACAAUGCUCUAAUAAUGAUGAUCAUCACACUUUUAUUACUUACAACUCAAGAAUUACAACUCAAUACUUAGAACAAAAUAUGACUAUGUGAAUGCCUCCGGCGGUGUACCAGGAUAUGCAAUGAACCAAGAGUGACAUGUAUGAAAAAAAUUAUGAAUGGUGGCUUUUCCACAAAUACAAUGUCAACUACAUGAUCAUGCAAAGCAAUAUGAUAAUGAUGGAGCAUGUCAUAAUAAAUGAGAUGGUGGAAAGUUGCAUGGAAAUAUAUCUCAGGAUGGCUAUGGAAAUGCCAUAGUAGUUAGGUAUGGUGGCUGUUUUGAGGAAGGUAAAUGGUGGGUGUACGAUACCGGCGAAAGCUGCGCGGCACAAUAGGGGCUAGAAUUGGUGGAAGGGUGAGAGUGCGUAUAAUCCAUGGACUCACAUUAGUCAUAAAGAACUCAUAUACUUAUUGCAAAAGUUUACUAGCCCUCGAAGCAAAGUACUAUUACGCAUGCUCCUAGGGGAAGGGUUGGUAGGAGUUAACCAUCACGUGAUCCCGACCUCCACACAUAAGGAAGGCAAUCAAAAGAGCACCCCAUGCAACAAAUUUGUUACAUAACUUUUACCAUACGUGCAUGCUACGGGACUUGCCAACUUCAACACAAGUAUUUCUCAAUUUCAUAAUUACCCAACUAGCAUGACUCUAACAUUACCACCUUUAUAUCUCAAAACAAUUAUCAAGCAUCAAAUUGAUCAUAGUGUUUAAUGCACCUUUUUUCUUUAUACCCAACUUGGAUGCCUAUCAUAUUAGGACUAAUUUCGCUAUUUAAGCAAAUUACCAUGCUAUUCAAGACUCUCAAAACAAUAUAAGUGAAGCAUGAGAUAUCAAAGAUUUCUAUAAAAUAAACCACCACCGUGCUAUAAAAGAUAUAAGUGAAGCACUAGAGCAAAAACUAUAUAGCUCAAAAGAUAUAAGUGAAGCACAUAGAGUAUUUUAAUAAAUUCCGAAUCAUGUGUGUCUCUCUCAAAAAGUGUGUACAGAAACGAUGAUUGUGGUAAACUAAAAAAAUAAAGACUCAAAUCAUACAAGACGCUCCAAGCAAAACACAUAUUAUGUGGUGAAUAAAAAUAUAGCCCCAAGUAAAGUUACCGAUAGACGAAGACGAAAGAGGGGAUGCCUUCCGGGGCAUCCCCAAGCUUAGGAUUUUGGUUGUCCUUGAAUUUUACCUUGGGGUUCCUUGGGCAUCCCCAAGCUUAGGCUCUUGCCACUACUUGUUCCAUAAUCCAUCAAAUCUUUACCCAAAACUUGAAAACUUCACAACACAAAACUCAUCAGAAAAUCUCAUAAGCUCCAUUAGCAUAAUAAAACAAAACACACGUUAAGGUACUGUAAUGAACUCAUUAUUUAUUUAUAUUGGUGUUAAGCCUACUAUAUUCCAACUUAUCUAUGGUUUAUAAGAUCUUUUACUAGCCAUAGAUUCAUCAAAAUAAGCAAACAACACACGAAACACAGAAUCUAUCAAAAACAGAACAGUCUGUAGUAAUCUGAAUUAAACGCAAACUUCUGGAGCCUAAAAAAUUCUACCAAAUUAGUAAGUCCCAGAUAAUUUUUAAUUGAUCUACUAGAAAAAAAUCAACUGAUAAGCAUGUUUCUGUGAUUUAUGUAAAUUAAUCUCGUGCGCACAAAGUUUCUGUUUUUUACAGCAAGAUCAAACAACUAUCACUGUAGGUUAUCCUAACGGUCCUACUUGGCACAAACACUUAUUAAAACAUAAAAAACACAAUCAUAGCAGUAGCAUGAUGUACUAAUUAUUACUAAACAGGACCAAAAAGCAAAAAAACUAAAAUAAAAUUGGGUUGCCUCCCAACAAGCGCUAUCGUUUAACGCCCCUAGCUAGGCAUAAAAGCAAGGAUAGAUCUAGGUAUUGCCAUCUUUGGUAUUUAUCUUUUUAAUGGAGUUAUGCUCGAAUCCGGGAGGUCCUUUAUGUUUCCCUUCAUACUCAGAGAUUCUUAGAUCUAGAGCAUCCAGCCGUUUGUUGCAAAGAGUAUUCAUGCGAUUAAGGUUUCCUCCAACAUUUUUAAGAGGUUCAAGAGACUUUUGCAAUUCACAUAGUUUUUUUAAGAUUUGGGUUCCCUCUUGAGUAAGAGUUGGUCCCUUUUGUGGGGGAAGUAUUCCUACUAUCCAUUCUAUAAUAUCAUAAGCAAAACUAGGAUCAGUAUCAAUAAAAUUCCCUUUGGCGGCAAAAUCAAGGAGUUGUCUAUGGGAUACGGUUAGCCCAACAUAAAAAUUGCAAAGUAAAACCUUGAAAUCUCCCUCUAUGGUGCAACCACGAUAGGAUUCUAUCAUUAUAUAACAAGCAACUUUUAGAUUUUCUCCCAAUUUUUGUUUGAAGUGAAGAACUUCAAACUCGGGGGACAAAGGAGCGGAUAAAGGACUAGCCAUAACGACGAAGCAAGCAAAAAAGAGGCGAACGGAAGAGAGGGUGAAUAAAACGGCAAGGGUGAAGUGGGGGAGAGGAAAAUGAGAGGCAAAUGGCAAAUAAUGUAAUGCGAGGGAUAAGAGUUUAUGAUGGGUACUUGGUAUGUCUUAACUUGUGCAUAGACUCCCCGGCAACGGCGCCAGAAAUCCUUCUUGCUACCUCUUGAGCACUGCGUUGGUUUUCCCUUGAAGAGGAAAGGGUGAUGCAGUAAAGUAGCGUAAGUAUUUCCGUCAAUUUUGAGAACCAAGGUAUCGAUCUAGUAGGAGAGCACGCUCAAGUCCCACGCACCUACACAAACAAAUAAGAACCUUGCAACCAACGCGAUAAAGGGGUUGCCAAUCCCUUCACGUCCACUUGCAAAAGUAAGAUCUAAUAGAGAUGAUAAGAUAAUAUUUUUGGUAAUUUUAUAAUAUAGAUUGAAAGUAAAGAUUGCAAAGUAAAUAGAUCGGAAACUUAUAUGAUGGAAAAUAGACCCGGGGGCCAUAGGUUUCACUAGUGGCUUCUCUCAAGAUAGCAUAAGUAUUACGGUGGGUAAACAAAUUAAUGUCGAGCAAUUGAUAGAAUUGAGCAUAGUUAUGAGAAUAUCUAGGUAUGAUCAUGUAUAUAGGCAUCACGUCCGAGACAAGUAGACCGAAAUGAUUUUGCAUCUACUACUAUUACUCCACAUGUCGACUGAAGCGAUUAUGCAUCUAGAGUAUUAAGUUCGUAAGAACAGAGUAACGCUUUUAGCAAGAUGACAUGAUGUAGAGGAAUAAACUCAUGCAAUAUGAUGUAAACCCCAUGUUUUUAUCCUCGAUGGAAACAAUAUAAUGCGUGACAUUUCCCUUUCUGUCACUGGGAUCGAGCACCGCAAGAUUGAACCCAAAGCUAAGCACUUCUCCCAUUGCAAGAAAGAUCAAUCUAGUAGGCCAAACAAAACUGAUAAUUCGAAGAGACUUGCAAAGAUAACCAAUCAUACAUAAAAGAAUUCAUAGGAGAUUCAAAUAUUGUUCAUAGAUAAUCUUCAUCAUAAACCCACAAUUCAUCGAAUCUCGACAAACACACCGCAAAAGAAGAUUACAUUGAAUGGAUAUCCAAGAGAAACGAGGAUAACUUUGUAUUGAGAUCCAAAGAGAGAGAAGAAGCCAUCUAGCUAAUAACUAUGGACCCGAAGGUCUGAGAUAAACUACUCACACAUCAUCGGAGAGGCUAUGGUGUUGAUGUAGAAGCCCUCCGUGAUCAAUGCCCCCUCCGGCGGAGCGCCGAAAAAGGCCCCAAGAUGGGAUCUCACGGGUACAGAAGGUUGCGGCGGUGGAAAUAGGGUUUUGGCUCCUGUUCUAUUGGUUCCGGGGUAUAUGAGUAUAUAUAGGAGGAAGAAGUAGGUCGGUGGAUCCACGAGGGGCCCACGAGGGUGGAGGGCGCGCCUGGGGGAGGUGGGCGUGCCCCCCUGCCUCGUGGCCUCCUCGGUUCUUUGUUGACGUCCACUCCAAGUCUCCUGGAUCACGUUUGUUCCGAAAAUCACGUUCUCGAAGGUUUAAUUCCGUUUGGACUCCGUUUGAUAUUCCUUUUCUGUGAAACACUGAAAUAGGCAAAAAAUAGCCAUUUGGGGUGGGCCUCUGGUUAAUAGGUUAGUCCCAAAAGUAAUAUAAAAGUGUAUAAUAAAGCUCGUUAAACUUCCAAAACAGAAUAGAUAAUAGCAUGGAACAAUAAAAAAUUAUAGAUACAUUGGAGACAUAUCACACUCUGGUGCGGAACAUGUCCUUGUGGACCUACGAAGUUCAGUAGCAACUUGAUCCGAAGUUUCAUGAUCAUCAUCAUUAACUUCCUCUCUGGUCGGCGCAGGCACCACAGAAACAUCUUCCUGAGUUGCGCAACUUUCCGGUUGAAGAGGGGGUAACUCAUCAAGUUCUACUUUCCUCCCACUUACUUCUUUCGAGAGAAACUCUUUCUCGAGAAAGGAUCCAUUCUUGGAAACAAAGAUCUUUCCUUCGGAUCUGAGGUAGAAGGUAUACCCAAUAGUUUCCUUAGGGUAUCCUAUGAAGACGCAUUUUUCUGAUUUGGGUUCGAGCUUUUCUUGUUGAAGUUUCUUGACAUAAGCAUCGCAUCCCCAAACUUUUAGAAACGACAGCUUAGGUUUCUUCCCAAACCAUAAUUCAUACGGUGUCGUCGCAACAGAUUUAGAAGGUGCCCUUUUUAAAGUGAAUGCAGCAAUCUCUAAAGCAUAGCCCCAAAAAGAUAGCGGUAAAUCGGUAAGAGAUAUCAUAGAUCGCACCAUAUCUAACAAAGUGCGAUUACGAUGUUUGGACACACCAUUACGCUAAGGUGUUCCAAGCGGCGUGAGUUGUGAAACAAUUCCACAUUUCCUUAAGUGUGUGCCAAACUUGUGACUCAAAUAUUCUCCCUCACGAUCUAAUCGCAAGAAUUUUAUUUUCCUGUCACGUUGAUUCUCUACCUCAUUCUGAAAUUCCUUGAACUUUUCAAAGGUCUCAGACUUGUGUUUCAUCAAGUAGAAAUACACAUAUCUACUUACAUCAUCAGUGAAGGUGAGAACAUAACGAUAGCCAUCGCGAGCCUCAACGCUCAUUGGACCGCAUACAUCAGUAUGUAUUAUUUCCAACAAGUUGGUUGCUUGCUCCAUUGUUCUGGAGAACGGAGUCUUGGUCAUUUUGCCCAUAAGGCAUGGUUCACACGUGUCAAAUGAUUCAUAAUCAAGAGACUCCAAAAGUCCAUCUGCAUGGAGUUUCUUCAUGCGCUUGACACCAAUGUGACCAAAGAGGCAGUGCCACAAGUAUGUGGGACUAUCAUUAUCAACCUUACAUUUCUUGGCAUUCACACUAUGAAUAUGUGUAACAUCACGUUUGAGAUUCAAUAAAAACAAACCAUUGACCAGCGGGGCAUGACCAUAAAACAUAUCUCUCAUAUAAAUAGAACAACCAUUAUUCUUGGAUUUAAAUGAGUAGCCAUCUCGCACUAAACGAGAUCCUGAUACAAUGUUCAUGCUCAAAGCUGGUACUAAAUAACAAUUAUUUAGAUUUAAAACUAAUCCCGAAGGUAGAUUUAGAGGUAGCGUGCCGACGGCGAUCACAUCGACCUUGGAACCAUUCCCGACGCGCAUCGUCACCUCGUCCUUCGCUAGUCUCUGCUUAUUCCGCAGCUCCUGUUUUGAGUUACAAAUAUGAGCAACCGCACCGGUAUCAAAUACCCAGGAGCUACUACGAGUGCUGGUAAGGUACACAUCAACAACAUGUAUAUCAUAUAUACCUUUUGUCGUGGGAAACGAACACCUAUGGGGCAGGGCCCCUUCUCGGUCCGGCAGGGAGCGGAGGGCGCACGAAGAGCAGAUCGAGGCGAAGCACGCGAGGGAUUUUACCCAGCUUCGGAGCUCUCCGGAGAGAUAAAACUCCUACUGCUGCUUUGUGUUUGUAUUGUGUUCUUGCUCGAGAGUGUGAGCGUUAUGUUGUUUCGAAUGAGUCGAACCCCCUCUACGUUGCGCAUGGGCCUCCUUUUAUAGGCUAAAGGGGUCACCGACAGGUGGCAACAUAGACAGGGGUACAAAUGUAAAAAGAGGGGUUGGUACAACUGCUAUCUACAGUGCACCCUACCUAACUCUGACGGUAGGGGACAAGGGCAUUUAAUGCCCGUCCGGUCGCCCAAACAGUGCAGAAAACGACCGUUUGGGGCGCCACCGCUCGCCACGAUGGCCUUCUCGUCAUCUCCACUUGCCACCUCGCACCGCUUGGCUGCACAGCUUUCCGCCACGUGUGCUUGGAAUGAUCCUGCGGUGACACGUCGAUGAAUGCGCUGGAGAAUGGGUGCAGAGUGGUGGCUUCGCCGCGGCAAGCGCCUUGCCGCGAUCGUUGUCUUGUCGCACCCGAAAGCUUGUCGCUCGUCGGGUCUUGCCGGGACACGCGGCGCAUCGCGGCAAGUUUCUUGAAACGCCUUGGUUGGCCUUCCUGGCAAGCUCCUCUUGCCGGGGCCUUGUCCUUCCCGGAAAGCUCCUCUUGCCGGGGCCUUGUCUUCUUAGUUAAAACACUUUGUUCUUGAAUGGCAUAAAUAGGAACUACGGAGGAUCUUGGCGGGCACCCGGCAAGUCUUGCCGCUGGGCGCUGCGACUGCCCAUGCACAAGUUCGGGAUACUAAGGUACCCCUACUUUAGUACACCGACAGGAGCCCCCGGGCCUGGGCCACACACGGUGCCGAGCGCUGUUGGGCCAGGCCCAAAACAGGGCACGGGCACGCGCGGCUGGGUCCAUACCAAAUCUAACUCCGUAUCCACCGCGCCCUCCCGUAACAGCAUGCGUAAAACGCGGCGUCGUGGGAGAGAUCGUGGGCGAUUCUUUAAUCGAAAACGGCGUAACGUUCGCCUCUCCUCUUUAUAAGCAGAGGAAACAGGGGCCAUUCCCCCACCUUCGCCACUUGCAGUUCCUUCCUCAGAAAUCUCCGCCGCUCCCCUCCGCUUCCCAAGACGAAAGAGAGCAGCGCUCCGCCGCCCGUCGCCCCCGCUCUCCUCCACUGCCUCCGCCAUGGCUCCGAAGACCGGAAAGAGUGCGAAGUCGGCCGAGGCGCUGCGGCUUGAGGCGCUGCGCAAGGAGCGAGCACUUUUCCCCCCCGAGCUGACCGCGAAGGCGCUGCGGGAGUGGUUCUAUCUCUUCUGGUCGACGGAGACGCGGGCGCAUCCGCGCACGCAGGCACUCUCCGCCAAAGCUUCUACUUCGAAGCGGUGCCCAAAAGGGUACUACUUCUUCCCAUUGUUCUUCUAUUGCGGGCUCUGCCCGCCCUUUUUCGAUUUCUUCUGCGACAUCAUGAACACAUACGGGCUCCAUCUCCUCGAUUUCACUCCCAACGCCGUUCUGACCAUGGCGGUUUUCGCGCAUCUUUGCGAGAACUUCGUCGGAAUCCACCCCAACGUAGCCCUUUUCCACCACUAUUUCAUGCCCCGGGUCGAGAAAGGAGAGCCCUUGUCUGGCGGGAUCGCCUGGAUCUCGAGGGCCGGCAAGGAGGUCUAUCUGGAGGGGGAGCUCCGCAGCAAAUGGGAUGAGUGGAGGGCCGAAUGGUGUUGGAUUGUUGACGCAGAUCCGCAACCAUUCACCAAUUUGCGCCAAGCCCGAGUAGUGCGCGGCGGCGACUGGAGCGCCUUGGCGGCGGAUGAUGCUAAGCUGAAGAUCGCCACCACCCGAAUCCUGCGGCUCAGGCUUGCCGGGCUCACUGUAGGGGCUGUUGGCGUGGACUUUCUUCGCCGCCGCAUCGCCCCUCUGCAGGAGAGGGGGAGGCCCGCCUGGCUGUUCGGGGGCCCGGCAGAUAUCAUGAGGCUGCGCCCAGGCCUCAACUUUAACUUUAUUGUUUUGGAGUUGGAUGGGAUGCUCAAGGAGCUGUUCAAGCACGACCCCAACCACCCGGAGUGGUUCAGGCUGCCGCAGGGCGUCGUCCCACUGUGCAACAACUCCCAGCUUGAUCGCAUCCGCGCAAUGAUGCCGGAGUGCGACUCGCAUGGGAUUAUCCCAACUUGGCAGGAGCUCUCCGACGACGUCGUGCGGCAAUUCUUCAACGGCUUGGUGGAAGUAGCAGUCCGUGCCGACGAGCAGAGGCUCCUCACCCGCGACACCACAGAUGACGAGAUGCGGUACAUCGCCACCAGGGCGGAAGAGGCGGCGGCAGCCGCCGCCGCGGGCGAGUUUGGUUUCACGUUGGAGGAGGCAGAGGCGGCCGAGGCGGCAAGCCUUGCCGACCGUGAGGACCUUGUCAGGGAGGUCGUUGGCGAAGGAGAGCCCGAAGCCGAGGCGAGCGAGCCCGCCGAGGGCGCAAGCGGCCAGCCGUCUUCGAGCAGCUUGCCGCAGGCGGAGCCCCCAGCGCAGCCCCCAGCUCAACCAAGAAGGCGCCUCCAUAGGACUGGAGACACAGCAGGGCGGCAGGCAGGCCAACAGCCACAGCGUUGCGGGUCACGCUCCACCGCUACAAGCACCGUUGCCGCGGGAGCAUCUCAUGCCGUGCCGGCAACUGGAGCGGGGUCUUCUCGAGCCGCUGCACCUGAUCUUGCCGCAGCUCCCGCCAAGCGUCCAAGGGAGCCUACUCCCCCGCCUCAUCGCGCUGAAAGAGUACCGGACUGCGACCUCUCCGCGCUGAGCUCCGACGAGGAGGAAGAAGAGGAGGAGGAGUAAGACUUUCUUCUUGUUGUACUUAUAUUUCUUCGAUUCUUGCUGUUACUUGUCUUGUAUCUGAUCUGCUUCCCUCUGAACCCCGUUCCUUUUCAGGACUCUGGCCGAUAGAGCGGCAAAGAGGGCCAAGGUCCCCGUGGUAGUCAUCGAGGAUGAUCCUGCUGUGACAACAGAGGACGCAUCCGAGACCACCUUGACGGACCCGGCAAUCUCUCCCCGAAGCAGCCCCCAGCGCAGCCCCCAGUGUAAGUAUUUGUUCACUUCCUGUUGUGGGGCGCGCAUGGGUGCUCUUUCCUUGCUGAUAUCUUGAUUAUUUAUUUGCUUGUGUAGGAGCAGAACGAGCCCAUCAGGAACAACCAGAAGCCGCUCCUGAGGUGCUAUCUGCUUCGACUACACCGCCAAGGGGCGAUUCCCCGACAAGGGAGCGCUCUCUGGCAAGGGAGAGGUCCCCGGCAAGGGACGGGACCAGCGAACCUUCGGUGGCGGAGCCCAUGACCACAGAGCCCAGCACAGGUAACCCUCCUUGUCGGAAAUUUUCCCUUGGGUUCUUCUUCUUCUGAUCUUCUUUUUGGAUAUUUACUUGACUUUUUCUUCCUCUUCCUGUCUUCAGAUCCCCCUUCCACAGAUCCGAUGGAGACCGAGGCCACCGGCGAGGAGGACGCACGCGGCAACACUGAUGAUGCCGCCGCCACCAAGGAAGAGGCCGGCGCUGACGAUCCCGCCGGCAAAGAGGCCGCCAAGGCUGCUGGCGCAGGAGCUGGCGAGGGGUCCGGCGAUUGCACUGACGACCCCGAGGGCGCAGGAGCGCAAGGCGCUACAUCGACCGCCGACCCCUCCGCCGCUAAUGCAGCACCGGGCUCCAAAGAGCCCCAGCCCGGCGCCGACUUGAAGGCCGGCGAGGGUGUCUUCAUCAAGCUUCCUUGGGCGUCGAGCUUCAGGGCGCCGGUCGAAGGAGAGGCAUUUGACGGAGAAGUGCUCGCCUCUGCUGGGCUGACAGUGGUUGACGCGCCAGGCAGCAGCAGCGGCGAGUCUGAGGAGGAGCAGCUGCUCCGGAAGUUGGUGUUGCUCUACCGCGCCCAACAAGCGAAGCUGGAGUCCCGGGAAGCGCUUGUCGCGCAGGCGGGAGUGGACAUAGAGAAGCAUGCGGAGGAGCUCUAGAGCCGCAACCAAGAGGCCCUCCGGUCCAUUGCGGAGGAGAGGGCGCAGCUUGUCGAGGCGCGGAAGGCCUUCAUCCUCAAGAAGGUAGAAGCUGAGGAGCAACAGAGGCUUGCCGCUGAGGAGCUGUCGACCCGGGAAGGCGAACUGACGCAGCGGAAAGUCAAUCUGGACAGCUACGAGGAGAAGCUCGCCGCACGCGAGCAAUCACUUGGUGGGGUGCUCAAGGAAGCGAAGGACGUUGCCGCAGCUGCCGAGGCCGCCAAGAAGGAAUUGGAGGUGAAGAUGAUGCAGCUGGAGGCUGAUCUGAAAGGGAAGGAUGAGGAGCUUGCCGCGCUCCAGCGCAAACGCGAGAAGGAUGCCCUCGCUCAUGGUGAUCUGCAAGUUCAACUUGCCGAUAAGGCAAAGGAACUAAACGCCGCCAAAGACUCAAAUGCUGAUCUGGAGCUGAAGGUGGUCAUGCUGACUGAGACGCUGGACGGCGCCAAGAAGCGAGAAGAUGACUUGAAGAAAGAGAUCAAGGCCAACGAGGAGCUGCUAACGAGGGCCGCCGAGACUCAAAACACCUUCAGGGCUAUGGUGGAGCUCUGGACGGAGGGCCUCGUCAACAUCGCUGCAGUCAUCGAUGAGGAGCUGGCGCAACUAGACUUGGCGGGCUUCGGGUACUCCUCCGACGAGAACCUUCAGCCCAGUGCCAAGCUUACUCUGUUCUUCAAGGGCGUGGUGACGGCUCUCCAGCAACUCCGGGAAAGGAUCCCAAAGCAGCUGGCUGACGAGUCGCGCGCAAUCUGCGCCAGAGUCCUGGAGAAGGUGUUGGUGAAGGUGCUCUUCCGCAAUCCGGGCCUCAACCUCACCAACGUCCUCAAGAAGCUGCCGGCGGGCGCUGAUCUUGAAGAACUCAAGGCCCUUGUCGCACCCAUUGUGGACAAGGUGAACGAAGUCAGGAGGGUUGAUGGCGACCGCGUAGAUUAGGCCGCGUGUUUUCUCCUUUUUCUUGCCGCUGCUAGACAUGUUACAGGAACAAUCUAUUAGAGCACGGCAAGUUAUUAUUGUAAUAUAACUUUAUUCUGGGUAGUAUUUGCUAUGUUAUUUCCUUUACUUGAUUCCCUCCUUUGCAUGUUUUUACCCUACACUUUUAGGGAACUUGCUGGCGCAGGCACCCUUGCCGCGAGCGCUGAGUGCGGAACAUCAGCAGCCUGCUGGCGGUGUUGCUUCCGGCAAGAAACCUUGUCGGAACUAGUCGCAGCACACUUACGUUGUUGAGCGGACUCGAAACAAAGUAAGGGCGCAACUAGCCAUGAGUCGGUUCCUCCGCGCACAGGUUUUCCAUACAAAGCACGGUCGUUCAAGGAAGAUAACUUAAGAAAUUUUAAAACUGAUUGUGCUCAAACUUUGGCAGCUUAGCUUUUCUGUUGUCUGCGUCCCGGCAAGGAUAUACUUCUUUGAACGACGCCUGGUCCACACCAUUAUCUUCUCCUUCCCUCCCUGGUGAACUUGUGGGCGAAGGAACCUUCUUUUUGGGAAUAAGAAAGAAGAGAAAAUAAAGAUAUGGAGCCUUAAGGCUCGUUAUUACUUACCGGGGGCAAGUGCUGCACAAUGUGUCAGGUAAUACAUGCGAAAAAAGAAAAAGGCAUGAAAUUUGACAAGAUGUGCGGAGCAUAUGAUCUUUAUUCAUGCACGGGAUCUGCACCCGGCUUUGUACAAAGGGUUACAUGCAACAGCGGCAAGGCUUGUACAAAAGGUGGUUGCCGGAACAGGUUCCGGCAACCGCGCCUUAUGGGUAAAACUUACGAAGAUGCUCAAUGUUCCAGGAGUUGCUCACCGGAAAGCCAUCUUCGGUCUCAAGGCGGACAGCGCCAGGCCUAGUGACUCGCUUCACCCGAUAAGGGCCUUCCCACUUCGGCGUCAACUUGUUGGAAUUCUUGGCGGAUUGAACGCGCCGAAGAACAAGGUCGCCUUCCUCGAAACUUCUGGCAUUAACUUUGCGGCUAUGGUAGCGACGCAAAGCUUGCUGGUAGCGAGCAGCUCGUACAACAGCCUGAAGACGAUCUUCCUCAAGGAGCAGCGCGUCAUCUUGCCGCAGCUGCUCUUGCUCAAGCUCAUCAUAAGCGAGCACUCGAGGCGAUCCGUAUACGAGUUCCGUGGGGAGAACUGCCUCUACUCCAUAGACAAGAGCAAAAGGUGUCUGGCCAGUGGCUCGAUUUGGCAUCGUCCUGAUCGACCAAAGAACCCCUGGUAGCUCCUCGAUCCAAUUCCUUCCGCACCUGUGCAGCCUGUUGAAAGUUGUGGUCUUGAGCCCGCGUAACACUUCAGCGUUCGCCCUCUCCGCUUGACCGUUGCUUCUCGGGUGAGCAACAGAAGCGAAGCAGAUCUUGGCGCCAAGAUCUUGGACGUACUGCAUGAAGGUGCGGCUCGUGAACUAUGUGCCAUUGUCGGUGAUGAUCCUGUUAGGGACUUCGAAACGGUAAACAAUCGACCUGAAGAACUUGACUGCUGAUUGUGCUGUCACCUUCCUCACUGCUUCCACUUCCGGCCACUUUGUGAACUUGUCGAUUGCCACAUAUAAGUACUCAAAGCCCCCGACAGCUCGGGGAAAGGGGCCGAGGAUGUCGAGCCCCCAGACCGAAAAUGGCCAGGAUAAAGGGAUCGUCUGGAGAGCUUGAGCUGGUUGAUGUAUCUGCUUGGAGUGGAACUGGCACGCUUCACACUUGGUUACUUGUGCAGUUGCAUCCUGGAGGGCUGUUGGCCAAAAGAAACCUUGCCGGAAGGCUUUGCCGGCAAGUGCUCUUGCGCCAAUGUGGUGACCACAUAUGCCUCCAUGUAUCUCCGCCAACAGCUUCUGUCCAUCUUCCCGGGGAAUGCACUUCAAUUUUACUCCGUUGAAUCUUCUUCUGUACAGUAUGUCAUCGACAAACUGGUACAUACUUGAUUGCCGAGCUACUCUCUCUGCUUCUUCUUGCUCUUCGGGAAGUUCUCCUGUUUGGAGGAAAUGGACGAUCUGCUGUGCCCAUGCCGGAGCCUGCGGCUCGACAACAAGGACUAAAGGCGCAAAUGCUGCUGCGGGAACAUCUGCUUCCACGGCAAGAACCUGCGGCUCAGCCGGAGCUUGAUGUUCCCUGGCAAGCUUGCCGGAGCAAAACUUGUCGGGAGCGUCUGCUUCAACGGAACAAACCUUAGGGCUUGUCGGAGCAGACUGCUCCUCAGCACCCUUGGUGUUGAUCUUGGGGACCUUCUUGGCGGCGGCUUCGGGGAGCUCUGCCGGAAAGUAGUCACCGGAAACCAACUUCCUUUUCUUGCUCUGCCCAGUUGAUGGUGUUACAGAUGGUUGAGUUAGCUUGAGCACAAAGAUCCCUGGUUCCACAGGUAACUUUAAUGCAGCGCAUUUUGACAGGCCAUCGGCAACAUCGUUUUGGGCUCUUGGAACGUGUUCCAUCUGCAGGCCGUCAAAAUGCUCUUCCAACUUUCUUACUUCAUCAAUGUAAGCUUCCAUCAACGGACUCUGAUAAUCUUUGUUCACUUGGCGGACGACAAGCUGUGAGUCACCCCUGACAAUGAGCUUCUUGAUCCCAAGGUCUGCAGCGAUCCUGAGUCCGGCAAGCAAACCUUCAUAUUCUGCAGUAUUGUUUGUUGCUUGUUCCUUGGGAAAGUGCAUCUGGACCACAUACUUGAGGUGCUCUCCGGUGGGAGCGACAAGCAACACACCCGCACCGGCGCCUUGCAGCGAGAAGGCACCAUCAAAGUACAUGAUCCAUUCUUUGCUUGUCUCCUUGACGGGGAUGCUCGUCUCUGGAGUUUCUUCAUCGGGUGUUGGCGUCCAUUCGGCUAUGAAUUCUGCCAAUGCCUGGCUCUGGAUAGUUGAAGUACUCUCAAACUUGAGGCCAAAGCUUGACAGUUCCAGUGCCCACUCGACAAUCCUGCCUGUUGCUUCUGGAUUCUGCAAUAUCCUCUUCAACGGAAAGCGAGUGACAACUGUGAUCUCAUGUGCUUGAAAGUAAUGGCGCAGCUUCCUCGAGGCCAUGAGAAGGCCGAAAAGUAACUUCUGCACACCAGAGUAUCUUGAUCUAGCCCCCUGUAGAAGGGAACUGACAAAAUAAACUGGGCCCUGCACCAUCUUCUUUUGUUUCUCUUCCUGUGGCUGCACAGAUCCAUCCUUGUCGGGACCAGAGCUUGUCGGGGAAGCCCCCUGCUUGUCGCUGGAUUCGCUUGCCGUGGUUGCUGGCUCAUCAUCCGCCUCCCUUUCCGCUACUAACGCAACACUAACCACUUGAUUGGUUGCCGCUAGAUACAACAGCAACUUCUCUUGUGGCUUAGGUGCGACAAGUAUUGGAGUGGAGGACAUGUAUCUCUUCAAGUCCUGCAGCGCAGCCUCCGCUUCCGGAGUCCAUUUCAUUGGACCUGCCUUUUUCAAAAUUUUGAAAAAUGGCAGGGCGCGCUCAACAGACUUAGAGAUGAACCUGCUGAGAGCAGCAACGCAGCCGGCAAGCCUUCGCACAUCCUUGACGCGCUUCGGUGCUUCGAUCUGCUCAAUGGCCUUGAUCUUGUCGGGAUUGGCUUCAAUCCCCCUCUGGGACACAAAGAACCCGAGAAGCUUGCCGGAAGGAACUCCAAACACGCACUUCUCGGGGUUCAACUUGAGAUUCAUCUUGCGCAAAUUUGCAAAGGUCUCGUCCAAAUCUUGGAUCAAAGUUGCUUUGUCCUUGCUCUUGACCACUAUGUCAUCCAUGUAAGCCUCUACAUUUCUGUGCAACUGUGGCUCAAAAGCAUGGCUGACUACUCUUGCAAAUGUUGAACCAACAUUCUUUAGUCCGAAAGGCAUCCGUACAAAGCAAUACAUGCCACAUGGGGUAAUGAAUGCGGUUUUCUCUUCAUCCUCUUCUGCCAUGAAGAUCUGAUGAUAUCCUGAGUAUGCAUCAAGAAAUGAAAGCAAAUCACAUCCUGCCGUGGAGUCGACAAUCUGGUCAAUGCGCGGCAAGGGAGACGGAUCCUUGGGACAAGCUUUAUUAACAUCAGUGAAGUCAAUACAAAGCCUCCAUUUCCCGUUCGCCUUGCGCACGACUACAGGAUUGGCUAACCACGUAGGAUGGAGUACUCCUCUGACAAGGCCUGCUGCUUCCAACUUCUUGAUCUCUUCUGCAAUGAAUUCUUGUCGCUCCACUGCUUGUUUCCUAACUCUUUGCUUGACGGGCCGCGCAUGAGAGCAGACGACGAGGUGGUGCUCAAUUACUUUCCUGGGAACACCGGGGAUAUCAGACGGUUGCCAUGCAAACACGUCGACAUUCGUCCGCAGGAAAGCAACGAGCGCGCUUUCCUAUUUAGGGUCAAGCGUGGCACUGAUGGUGAAGGUACCACCAGUGCCGUCCUCCUUGGCGGCCACUUUCUUGGUCUCUGGUGAAGCUGUCUUUGCCUUCUUGCACUUGCCGGUGGAGCUCGAUGGUCCGUCCUCGACGGUAGCGCAGCACUCCGAAGAGGUGCGCUUGCCAGAGUGGGCAUCAGAGCUGUUCUUGCCGGACUUGUUCUUCUUCUUCACCCCGGUAGCUUCAGCGGCAAGUGUCUUGCGAUCUGCUGCGGCUGCUGCUUCCCGGUAGAUCUUGUCGGUACAGAUAAGGGCAUCUUUCUUGUCGCCGGGGACAGAAAUGACACUUAUCGGACCGGGCAUCUUGAGCACGUUGUAGGCGUAGUGAGAGGCUGAAAUGAACUUGGCAAGCGCUGGACAGCCGAGUAUCCCAUUGUAGGGCAAUGGGAAAUCAGCAACGUCAAAGGUGACUUUCUCUGUCCUGAAGUUCAGCUCGCUGCCAAAUGUCACUGGCAGUGUGAUCUUCCCCUUCAGCUUGCUCCUUCCCGGGUUGAUUCCUUGGAAAGUGCCGGUCUCUUCGAGCUCGCUGUCGGGGAUCUGGAGCUUCUUGAGCACCACGGAGGAGAUCAGAUUCAAGCCGGCCCCGCCGUCAACCAGCAUCUUUGUGACCUUGAGGUUGCGGAUAGUUGGCGAAACCAACAUCGGCAAGCACCCGACCGCAGUUAUGCGAUCAGGGUGAUCCUCAACAUCAAAGAUGAUAGGCGUGCUGGACCACUUCAGAGGCUUGCGUGACUCAACUGACGGUUCCGCUGCAUUAACCUCCCGCACCCACUGUUUGAGCUGGCGGUGCGAAGUAUGCAGAGAAGCACCGCCGUCGACGCACAAAACCUAUGUUGCCUUCUGAAACUCCUGCUCGUCGGUCUCAUCCUCAUCCAUCUCUUCGUCUUCGUCUUUGUCUUCAUCCUUGUCGCGGCCGCGGGGAGGCCUGUCUCCUUGCCGCUGCUUAGCCUUGCCGCGGCGCCCUCCCUGGGCGGGACGCUUCUUGCCGGAUCCUCCUCCACCGUCUUGGGCCUUCUCCUUGUCGCGUCGCUCGUAUUCAGCCUUCUGCAGUUCUACGAGCUGCUCAACUUUCUUGCAUGUCUGGAGAUCAUGGCCCUUGGUGCGGUGGAUCUUGCAGUACUGCUUGCCGGAGCCGUCCUGCUUGUCGGCGGCCACCACGGCCUCGCCGGAGUUACUAGCUUUGGCCUUCUCGGCGCCACCUCCGUUGCUGGACUGCUCGACGACUAGCACAUCUUUAGCUUUCCGCUUCCUGUUGUUCCGCCUCUGGUUUUUCCUUGCCGGGGCGGCUUCCUCGCUGUCAGAUCCUUCUGCUCCUGCGUUCUCUCCGGGGAGUUUCCUCCCCUCCUCAGCACGUGCGCAUUUGUCGGCCAGAGCAUAGAGCUCGCUGACAUCUCUGAUUUUGCACAUCGCCAUCUCCUCCCUCAUCCUGCGAUUACACACGUUCUGAUGGAACGCGCUGAUGACCGCGACAGGGUGGACAUCUGGGAUGUUGCGCUGCACUUGGCUGAAUCUCUGUAUGUACUUGCGCAGGGGCUCUCCUUCCUUCUGGGCGAGCAGAUGAAGAUCGCUCUCCUGGCCAUGGGGCUUGUGGCCGCCUGUGAAGGCGCCGACAAACUGAUGGCACAGAUCUGCCCAUGAGGAGAUGGAGUUGUCCGGCAAGUGCAUGAGCCAAGAUCUGACGUUGGGCUUGAGCACCAGUGGGAAGUAGUUGGCGAGGAUCUUCUCGUCGCGCCCCCCGGCAGCCUGCACCGUGAUGGUGUAGAUGCUGAGGAACUCCGACGGAUGCAACCUGCCAUCAUACUUCUCCAGUACAUCCAGUUUGAAGUUCUUGGUACUGGGCCACUGGACCUGCCGUAGCUCACGAGUGAACGCAGGGCAACCUACCGCAUACGGUAAGUCGCCUGGUUCCCCUGGCGCAUGCAUAUCAACAGUGGGUCCAGCGCGCUGGUCUGACUGACGCCGCGCUUUUCUUCGACGCUCGAUGCGAGUACGAGCGUCUUCUUGUCGUCGUUCUUGGAGAACUUGGCGCUGAUCGCGACGAGCUCGCGGGUCCGACGACACGGUGGAGUCGGUGUCGAGGUUAGCCCGGCGAGUCGGCGAUCUUGGCCUUCGGGGCGGGGAGUGCACGGUGGUGGCACCCCCACCGGUCUUGUCGCCACCGGCUUGCGCCUGGGCGUCUUGCCGCGGCUUCGACGUGCUCGGUUGCUGGGGAGUGUCGCCGUUGGCAAAGCCGAUGAGGCUCUGGUGGUGAUCCUCCAGUCGUCGAUCUUGUCCGGCGCUGGAGGGUAGUCUAGGAGCAGUUGGGCUCGGGCCAACGCUUCUUCUGGGGUUUUCGGUGGCGGGGGCGAACGACGCGAGGAGCGGGAUAUGCUCAAACUUCUAACAGUGUUAGAAGGAGCAGCAUCUCGUCCAGGCGACCAUGCCGCGCUCGCGCCAACAUGUUGGCGGGCAUGUUGGCCUUGAGCGUCCCGCGAUCCACCAUCUUGGCCUUGUUCUAACGCGAGUACGGUGCUAGGAGCACCGUGGCGUUGUCGAUCCCGCGCCUCCUGAGAGGGGCGCGGUGCAUGCACGGACGCCGAAGUUUGCGGGGCCUUGUCCUUGGAUCUGGUGACAAUGUGAGUUCCCCCGUCGGCGCCCGUUCCUCCGCCGGCGUCUACUCCACCGCCCGUUUGCUCCGGUGGCGGUGGAAUCGACGCAGACGGACCAACCACCUCCGAAGCCUUCUUCUUCAGUGGCAUGUCGAUGAAGAUGAUGAUGUAGCGCGCGUGAACACCGGAUCAGGUUCGCACAACCUCGACGCCCCCUACCUGGCGCGCCAAAGAUGUCGUGGGAAACGAACACCUAUGGGGCAGGGCCCCUUCUCGGUCCGGCAGGGAGCGGAGGGCGCACGAAGAGCAGAUCGAGGCGAAGCACGCGAGGGAUUUUACCCAGCUUCGGAGCUCUCCGGAGAGAUAAAACUCCUACUGUUGCUUUGUGUUUGUAUUGUGUUCUUGCUCGAGAGUGUGAGCGUUCUGUUGUUUCGAAUGAGUCGAACCCCCUCUACAUUGCGCAUGGGCCUCCUUUUAUAGGCUAAAGGGGUCACCGACAGGUGGCAACGUAGACAGGGGUACAAAUGUAAAAAGAGGGGUUAGUACAACUGCUAUCUACAGUGCACCCUACCUAACUCUGACGGCAGGGGACAAGGGCAUUUAAUGCCCGUCCGGUCGCCCAAACAGUGCAGAAAACGACCGUUUGGGGCGCCACCGCUCGCCACGAUGGCCUUCUCGUCAUCUCCACUUGCCACCUCGCACCGCUUGGCUGCACAGCUUUCCACCACGUGUGCUUGGAAUGAUCCUGCGGUGACACGUCGACGAAUGCGCUGGAGCAUGGGUGCAGAGUGGUGGCUUCGCCGCGGCAAGCGCCUUGCCGCGAUCGUUGUCUUGUCGCACCCGAAAGCUUGUCGCUCGUCGGGUCUUGCCGGGAUGCGCGGCGCGUCGCGGAAAGUUUCUUGAAACGCCUUGGUUGGCCUUCCCGGCAAGCUCCUCUUGCCGGGGCCUUGUCCUUCCCGGCAAGCUCCUCUUGCCGGGGCCUUGUCUUCUUAGUUAAAACACUUUGUUCUUGAAUGGCAUAAAUAGGAACUACGGAGGAUCUUGGCGGGCACCCGGUAAGUCUUGCCGCUGGGCGCUGCGACUGCCCGUGCACAAGUUCGGGAUACUAAGGUACCCCUACUUUAGUACACCGACACCUUUGGUGUUGCCGACCUUCUUAUCCGCUAAGUACUUGGGGCAGUUCCGCCUCCAGUGACCAUUUCCCUUACAAUAAAAGCACUCAGUCUCAGGCUUGGGUCCAUUCUUUGGCUUCUUCGCGGCAACCGACUUACCAGGCGUGGCAACUCCCUUGCCGUCCUUCUUGAAGUUCUUCUUACCCUUGCCUUUCUUGAAACUAGUGGUCUUAUUCACCAUCAACACUUGAUGUUCCUUUUUGAUCUCCACCUCUGCUGAUUUCAGCAUUGAAUAUAACUCACAAAUGGACUUCUCAAUCCCUUGCAUAUUGUAGUUCAUCACAAAGCUCUUGUAGCUAGGUGGAAGCGACUGGAGGAUCCUAUCAAUGACCGAGUCAUCUGGAAGAUUAACUCCCAGCUGAGACAAGAGGUUGUGCAACCCGGACAUUUUGAGUAUAUGCUCGCUAACAGAAUUAUUUCCCUCCAUCUUACAACUGUAGAACUUGUCGGAGACUUCAUAUCUCUCGACUCGGGCAUGAGGUUGGAAAAUCAUUUUCAGCUCUUGGAACAUCUCAUAUCCUCUGUGCUGCUCAAAAUGCUUUUGGAUCCCCGAUUCUAAGCUGUAAAGCAUGCCGCACUGAACCAGGGAGUAAUCAUCACUAUGCAACUGCCAGGCAUUCAUAACGUCUUGAGUUGCAGGGAAAAUGGGUGCUUCACCUAGCGGUGCUUUAAGAACAUAUGCUUUCUUGGCAGCUAUGAGGAUGAUCCUCAAGUUACGAACCCAGUCCGUAUAGUUGCUACCAUCGUCUUUCAACUUGAUUUUCUCGAGGAAUGCGUUGAAGUUGAGGGCAACAUUGGCGUGGGCCACUGGAUCUACAGGAGAGAUUGUAAAGACAAUUUUAGACUAAGUUCAUGAUAAUUAAGUUCAUCUAAUCAAAUUAUUUAAUGAACUCCCACUUAGAUAGACAUCCCUCUACUCAUCUAAGUGAUACAUGAUCCGAAUCGACUAGGUCGUGUCCGAUCAUCACGUGAGACGGACUAGUCAUCAAUGGUGAACAUAUCCAUGUUGAUCGCAUCUACUAUACGACUCAUGUUCGACCUUUCGGUCUCUUGUGUUCCGAGGCCAUGUUUGUACAUGCUAGGCUCGUCAAGUCAACCUAAGUGUUUCACAUGUGUAAAUCUGGCUUACACCCGCUGUAUGCGAAUGUUAGAAUCUAUCACACCCGGUCAUCAUGUGGUGCUUCGAAACAACGAUCCUUCACAACGGUGCACAAUUAGGGGGAACACUUUUCUUGAAAUUUUGUGAGGGAUCAUCUUAUUUAUGCUACCGUCGUUCUAAGAAAAUAAGAUGCAAACAUGAUAAACAUCACAUGCAAUUCAUAAAGUGACAUGAUAUGGCCAAUAUCAUCUUGCGCCUUUGAUCUCCAUCUUCGAGGCGCGGCAUGAUCACCAUCGUCACCGGCAUGACACCAUGAUCUCCAUCAUCGUGCCUUCAUGAAGUUGUCUCACCAACUAUUACUUCUACUACUAUGGAUAACGGUUAGCAAUAAAGUAAAGUAAUUACAUGGCAUUUACAUUGACUCACAGGUCAUAAAAAAAAUUAAGACAACUCCUAUGGCUCCUGCCGGUUGUCAUACUCAUCGACAUGCAAGUCGUGAUUCCUCUUACAAGAACAUGAUCAAUCUCAUACAUCACAUAUAAAAUUAAUCACAUCCUUUUAGCCAUAUCACAUCACAUAGCAUACCCUGCAAAAACAAGUUAGACGUCCUCUAAUUGUUGUUUGCAUGUUUUACGUGGCUGCUAUGGGUUUCUAGCAAGAACUUUUCUUACCUAUCAAAAGCCACAACGGUGAUAUGCCGAUCGCUAUUUACCCUUCAUAAGGACCCUCUUCAUCGAAUCCGAUCCGACUAAAGUGGGAGAGACAGACACCCGCUAGCCACCUUAUGCAACAAGUGCAUGUCAGUCGGUGGAACCUGUCUCACAUAAGCGUACGUGUAAGGUCGAUCCGGUCCGCUUCAUCCCACAAUGCCGCCGAAUCAAGAUAAGACUAGUAACGGUAAAGCAAGUUGAACAAAUCAUCGCCCACAACUACUUGUGUUCUACUCGUGCAUAGAAUCUACGCAUAGACCUAGCUCAUGAUGCCAAUGUUGGGGAACAUAGUAAUAAAUCAAAAAAAAUCCUACGUGUCACCAAGAUCAAUCUAGGAGAUGCUAGCAACGAGAGAGGGGGUGCAUCUUCAUACUCUUGAAGAUCGCUAAGCGGAAGCGUUACAAGGAACACGGAUGAUGUAGUCGUACUCGCGGCGAUUCAAAUCGCAGAAGAUCCGAUCUAGCGCCGAAUGGACGGCGUCUCCGCGUUCAACACACGUACAGCCCGGGGACAUCUCCUUCUUCUUGAUCCAGCAAGGGGAGAGGAGAAGUUGAGGGAGAGCUCUGGCAGCACGACGGGGUGUUGGUGGAGCUUGCAGUUCUCCGGUAGGGCUUCGCCAAGCACUACGGAGGAGCGGGAGGUGUUGGAGAGGGGGAGGGCUGCAGCAGGGAAGUGGUGAAGGGGAAAGGGGGACAGCCCCCUUAGAUCCCAUCUAGGGGGUUGGCGGCCAAGGGGGGACUUGCCCCCUAAGUUUGGUGGGAGGCGCCCCCACCCCCUAGGGUUUCCAACCCUAGGCGCCUUGGUCCCUUGGGGGGAGCACCAGCCCACUAGGGGGCUGGUUCCCACCCUUGUUCAGCCCACUUGGCCCACCGGGGCAGGUGGCCCCACCCGGUGGACCCCCUGACACCUUUCGGUGGUCCUGGUACAAAACCGAUAACCCCCGAAAUUAUUACAGCGAUUGAAACUGGACUUCCCAUAUAAUUCUUCACCUCCGGACCAUUUCAGAACUCCUCGUGACGUCUGGGAUCUCAUCCGGGACUCCAAACAACCUUCGGUAACCACAUACAAUUUCCCAUAACAACUCUAGUGUCACCGAACCUUAAGUGUGUAGACCCUACAGGUUCGGGAACCAUGCAGACAUGACCGAGACAUCUCUCGGGCCAAUAACCAAUAGCGGUAUCUGGAUACCCAUAUUGGUUCCCGCAUGUUCCACGAUGAUCUCAUCGGAUGAACCACGAUGUCGGGGUUCAAUCAAUCCUGUAUGUAAUUCCCUUUGUCCAUCGGUAUGUUACUUGCCCGAGAUUCGAUCGUCGAUAUCAAUGUACCUUGUUCAAUCUCGUUACUGGCAAGUCUCUUUACUCGUUCCAUAACGCAUGAUCCCGUGACUAACUCCUUAGUCACAUUGAGCUCAUUAUGAUGAUGCAUUACCGAGUGGGUCCAGAGAUACCCUUCCGUCAUACGAAGUGACAAUUCCCAGUCACGAUUCGUGCCAACCCAACAGACACUUUCGGAGAUACCUGUAGUGCACCUUUAUAGUCACCCAGUUAUGUUGUGACGUUUGAUACACCCAAAGCAUUCCUACGAUAUCCGGGAGUCGCACAAUCUCAUGGUCUAAGGAAAUGAUACUUGUCAUUAGAAAAGCUCUAGCGAACGAACUACACAAUCUUGUGCUAUGCCUAGGAUUGGGUCUUGUCCAUCACAUCAUUCUCCUAAUGAUGUGAUCCCAUUAUCAACGACAUCCAAUGACCAUGGUCAGGAAACCAUAACCAUCCAUUGAUCAAUGAGCUAGUCAACUAGAGGCUCACUAGGGACAUGUUGUGAUCUAUGUAUUCACACAUGUAUUACGGUUUCCGGUUAAUACUAUUAUAGCAUGAACAAUAGACAAUUAUCAUGAACAAGGAAAUAUAAUAAUAACCAUUUUAUUAUUGCCUCUAGGGCAUAUUUCCAACAAAGUCACCUUAUGAAAAUCACCUUUCCAUCUGGAUGCUCGCCCAGCCUCAUUCUCCAGCGAGCGCUUCCACCUUUUCCUCGUUUUCUCCCCGUGCAAACCUCUUUCCUCCCGUUUUUUGCUUGGGCAAGGACCAAUGCAUGCAGCACGUCCAUGCGGUUAUUAGGCAAGAAAUAAAAGAGGCUUUGCAUGCUAUGAAUUACGUGGGCCUGUAUGGGUAGCUAAUAAGGCAUCCUCUUAACUGCUGUGAUUAAGUGUUGCAUUUAGAAGAGAGAAAGAUUCUCCUUCUCCUUCAAUCUGCUUGCACCUAGGUCGUGCUAUGACUUAUGCACCUGGACGGAGGGAUUAGUAAUAAUUAUAGGACAAUGAUACUAUUUGGAUAGUAAUAAUUACAAGACAACUACAAUUGGAUAGUACCACAAUAAUUAUAUAUAAUGUUGUGCGUGCUAAACAUGUUUUGGCCCUAAACAUUCAUCAAAGUCACUAAUAACUAUAGCAAAAUUUCGUGCGUACAGUUUUGCUUCCAUGGGAAGCAAACUUUAUUUCCAAUGCUAUUCAAAUUUGCUUCCAUCGCAACUGAGAUUUGCUUCAAUUUAGAAGGAAAUUAUUCCCAAAUAGUUUCAUUUCAACGCGUCAAACCACGCUUCCAUAUCGGAUGUAGAUUUUGAUUCCAUGGUGAAUGGAAUUUGCUUGAAUGUAUACACAGAAAUUUAUGUACGGAUAUGUUGGAAAAAUGAGCAAUUUACCAUACGAUUUUAUUAACAAAAAUAGUAGAUAAAACAUGACUAUUAUAGUAGAGGUGAAAUAGGUCAUGUAAUCUAAAGGAGAGAAGGAAAAUAACAUCUGCACAUGUGAACUAGAAUAGAACAUAUGUAUAAUAGAUACUAGAAGGAGAAACUGUUGCAAGAUCUUAAACAGAAAGAACAUGAGAACGUACGGAACAACGCAGAAACAUUGGUCUUGGGAUCGGCAUCCUCGCUGAUGUCUACUACACAACUUUAUUCUUGUAGACACGUGUUGGGCCUUCAAGCGCAGAGUUUUGUAGGACAGUAGCAAUUUUCCCUCAAGUGGAUGACCUAAGAUUUAUCAAUUCGUGGGAGAAGUAGGAUGAAGAUAGUCUCUCUCAUACAACCCUGCAACCAAAUAACAAAGAGUCUCUUGUGUCCCCAACACACCAAAUACAAUGGUAAUUUGUAUAGGUGCACUAGUUCGGCGAAGAUAUGGUAAUACAAGUGUAAUAUGGAUAGUAGAUAUUGAUUUUUGUAAUAGGAACAAUAAAAAACAGCAAGGUGGCAAGUAACAAAAGUGAUCACAAACGGUAUUGCAAUGCUUGAAAAUGAGGCCUAGGGUUCAUACUUUCGCUAGUGCAAUCUCUCAACAAUGCUAAUAUAAUUGGAUCACAUAACCAUCCCUCAACAUGCGAUGAAGAAUCACCCCAAAGUUCUUAUCUAGCGGAGAACAUAAGAAGAAAUUGUUUGUAGGGUACGAAACCACCUCAAAGCUAUUCUUUCCGUUCGAUCUAUCCUAGAGUUCGUACUAAAAUAACACAAGCUAUUCUUUUCGAUCAAUCUAAUCAAGAGUUCAUACUAAAAUAACACCAUAUGACACACAUCAACCAACUCUAAUGUCACCUAGAUACUCCAAUGUCACCACGAGUAUUCGUGAGUUAAUUAUACGAUAUGCAUCAAACAAUUUCAUAUUCAUAAUACUCAAUCCAACACAAAGAACUUCAAAGAGUGCUCCAAGAUUUCUACCGGAGAAACAAAUUAAGACGAGAACGUGCAUCAACCCCUAUGCAUAGAUUACCCCAAUGUCAUCUCGGGAAUCCGCGAGUUGAGUGCCAAAACAUAUAUCAAGUGAAUCAAUAUGAUAACCCAUUGUCACCACGAGUAUUCAUUUGCAAUACAUAUAUCAAGUGCUCUCAAAUCCAUAAAAGUAUUCAAUCCAAUAACAACGAAAUCUCAAAGGGAAAACUCAAUUCACAACAAGAUAGAGAGGGGGAAACACCAUAUGAUCCGACUAUAUUAACAAAGCCCGCUAUACAUCAAGAUUGUGACAUCUCAAGAACACGAGAGAGAGAGAGAGAGAGGUUAAACACAUAGCUACUGGUACAAACCCUCAGCCCCGAGGGUGGACUACUCCCUCCUCAUCGUGGUGGCCGCCAGGAUGAUGAAGAUGGCCACCGUUGAUGAUCUCCCCCUCCGGCAGGGUGCCAGAAUGGGGUCUAGAUUGGAUCUCAUGGAUAUAGAGGCCUUGCGGCGGCGGAACUUCUGAUCUAGGGCUAACCCAAAGGGUUUUGGAAUAUUUGGGAAUUUAUAGGGCGAAGAGGGGGUACGGGAGGCCACCGAUGGGCACCACCCACCAGGGCGCGCCUGGGGGCCCAGGCGUGCCCUGGUGGGUUGUGCCCCCCUCGGGGCACCCCCAAGGUACUGCUCUGGCCCAAUGGAUGUCUUCUGGUCCAUAUAAAAACCACAAAAAGUUUCGCGGUGUUUGGACUCCUUUUGAUAUCGAUUUCCUGCGAUAUAAAAAACAAGCAAAAAACAACAACUGGCACUUGGCACUGGGUCAAUAGGUUAGUCCCAAAAAUAAUAUAAAGUUGCUAUAAAAUGAUUGUAAAACAUCCAAGAAUGAUAAUAUAACAGCAUGAAUACUUCAUAAAUUAUAGAUAUGUUGGAGACGUAUCACUCGCCAGCCAUGCCGUCGAAGAGGUUGUCGACGUCGGGGAAGAAGUUGUCGUUGGGGAAGUGGUCGUCGGUAUCUGGAGCGUCCAUGAUGAACCGGUCAAUAGUCGCGCAGAGCGCUCACCAAAAAUCUUAUCGCCCUUCUCCUGCAUAGGACUCAAAGAGGUGGGGUUUCAGAGGCCUACUGUCCACCUGCGGUGCAUGCCGCAAGCCGGGAUGGGGAAGAACCUUGUAGUAGCUCAGAGUUUGGAACUUGGUGGCGAGAGGAAGAUGAUGUUCUGGUGUGUCUCUUUGGAGAGGAGUGACCUCUCUUUUAUAGGCAUAGGAGAAGGAGGCGAACGGACUGUGACGGGAGGUGAAGCAAAAGAGAGAGACAAAGCGAAUAGCCUAUAGUCGAAGAGGUGCGCCGUUCGAAUUCAAUCUCCACUACAACAAAACGUUUUAGCUCCCAUGUGACCAUUCGUAUACCCAUUGUGCGUGGCAAAAAAUUACACAUCGGCUUGGCUCAUUCCCGCGGCGCGUCUUGACGAGGCGUGGCGAGGCGGGCGAAGGAGGAGGAGCGCGUGUGAAUGUCCCUCUUGUUCUCAUGCUCAUACUUGUGGGGAAACAACCUCCCUUAUAAGGAGGUCCAACUCCUACAAAACUAGCAAUGUGGGACUAAAAUUUAGUUCCACCUCUUGCCUUGCAUGAAUGGACUAAGUGGGCCUCGAGGAUUUAUUAGGAAUUUCUGAAAUUGCUAUUGGGCUAACCCAAAAUAGAUUAAAUUCCAGUAAUCACCCACCAGAUCCUAAAGGCACAUAAAAUUUGCCUUUGGUACAAAACAUUGUUUAUAUAUCGGUACCGUAGUGGAGACUAUUAAGUUGAACUUCCACCUAGAACUUUGCGCUACACUAGUAAGCAACUUGAACAGUGGACUAGGCCUUGAACUAGACGUUUUCUUCGAAUAUAGUUUCACACAGAGCCUUGACCGAUACUGGGCUACCGUGGGACUUCCCCACGAGUGGAUCUUAUGUGUCAUUCUCCGAGACCUUUCAUGAGUUUACUAGAGAGCACCCUAUUCUCACAGAUUACGACGUUUAACAAUCAGACCCAUAUAGGUGUAUUCUUUAAAAGAUGUUCUGCAGGACAACAUCUCUGAUCAAAUAAGCCACUUAGAACACAUUAACAUAUACAUCAACCUACCAUGCAGAUUAGGAGAGUAUUGCAUCUUCGUUGAGUGGUAUUAUUAAUAGUAAGGAUACUCUCCUCUCAGUUGAGCUACAACUUGUCUUCCACAUCUAAUUCACGGGAUCUUCGAUCACAUAGACUAGGUUACCACUGUGAACAACUCAUAUUGUGGGUCUCAUACCCAUCUCCUUCGAUGCAUUAUCUAUCACAUUUCGUGAUAGACAAUCUGCCAGAUUUUUAGAUGUUUGGAUAUAAUCCAAUGCAAUAACUCCGGAGUUUCUCAUUUUUCUGACAGGCUUUAGCCUUCUCUAAACAUGUCUUAGUGACUUCAUGUUAUCCUUUGAGCUGCUCACUUUUGUGUAAGUUUGAUUGUCGCAGUUCAUAAGGAUACCCAGUACAGGUUUCGCAACUACCGGCAAGUCAUUCAAGAGUCGACGAAGCCAAUCUGCUUCGACUGUAGUUGUUCUAAUGUUGUGAGCUCUGCUUUCGCUGUUAACCUCGUUAACAUGGUCUGCUUGCAAGACUUCCAAGAAAAAACGCCACCUCCAUGAUUGAAUACAUAUCCGAUCGUGGCCUUUAUCUCAUCAGCAUCUGAGAUCCAGUUUGAGUCAUUGUACCCUUCAAGCACCUUUGGAUGCCAAGUAUAGUGAAUUCCAUAACUCACAAUGCCUUUUAAAUAAUGCAUAUAACUCUGUCUAAAGCUUUUUAAUGAUCAUCUCCCGGUUUUGAAACAGAUCUGCUUAGUUUGCUAACAACAAAAGAGAUGUCAGGACUUGUAGCACUGGCUAAAUACGUAAGUGAGCCAAUAAUCUGAUAAUAUUUUAAUUGAUCUCUAGCAAUUUUUCGAUUCUUUCAAAGGAGCACACUAGCAUUGUAUGGUGCUGGAGAGGGCAUGCAGUCACUAUAGCCAAAUCAACUCAAGAUAUUUUCCACAUAGUGAGAUUGAAGCAAUGUAAUCCCACCAUCAUCAUCUCUCAGUAUCUUGAUGUUCAGAAUAACAUCUUAUGAUCAUAAAUCCUUCAUCUCAAAACAACAAGAUAGGAAUUCCUUGACCUCCUUAAUAACAUUCAGAUUUGUUCCGAAAAAUCAAUAUGUCAUCACCAUACAAGCAAAGGAAAACCCCAUCACCCCCACCAUGGUGAUAGUACACACAUUUGUCAGCUUCAUUUACAACAAAGCCUGCGGUUAUUAAAGUUCUUUCAAACUUCUCAUGCCACUGCUUAGGUGCUUGCUUAAGUCCGUACAAAGACUUCAACAACCUGCGCACAUUUUCUUCCUGACCAUCUACUACAAACACAUCUGGUUGUUCCAUAUAAAUUUCCUCGUCCAACUCUCCAUUUAGGAAAGCAGCCUUAAUAUCCAUUUUAUGAACGAGAAGACCAUGUGAGGCAGCUAGUGAAAGUAGUACUCGAAUAGUGGUGAGUCGAGCCAUAUGUGAGUAAGUAUCAAAGAAGUCUUCACCUUCCUUUUGGUAUAACCCUUGGCCAUGAGUCGUGCCUUGUACUUCUCAAUAGUACCAUCAGGCCUAAGCUUCUUCUUGAAUAAUACCAUUUGCACCCUAUAGGUUUGCACCCAUAAGGACGAUCAAUUAUCUCCUAAGUUUCAUUUGCCAAGAUGGAAUCCAUCUCACUACGGACCGCUUCCUUCCAGUAGUCAGCAUCUUCAGAUGCAUAGGCUUCUGAAAUAGAACUAGGAGUGUCAUCUAUGAGAUACACAAGAAAAGGAAAAUGAUUCGUUUCAUCCGACUGAUGUUAUGCGGAACGUAAGUCACCUCGUUUGUUAGCCACGUGUCCCAUGCCCCUGCACCGUACAUCGCUAGCUUAUCCAUCCGCACCGCAUCUCUUCCUCACUAGCUUUUGCUGCCGCCCACGCGCAGUCGAAUACCAAUAGCACGCCAUGCACCGCCGUUGCCGCCUGCUGCAAGUACCACCAGGAAAGCUACAAACGAACCAUUGUGCCGCCCGCUGCUGGAAGGCCGCUCGCCGCCAGUGCUCCAAGGGACAACGCUCGACGCCCCUACAAGGGAAGGGGUCACCGGUGCUUUUUAAGGAGCGGCCCAUGGUGAUGUUGAGGCCACGAUUCUGCGUUCGGCCCCCACCGCAGCUGCACGGGACAUCCGGUGAGCGGGACCACACCAGCAUGCUGCUGAUAUGCGGUGGGCGAUGCUGCCUGGGGCGGCCAUGCAGCGAGCGGUGCCGACCAUGCUACAAAGCGGCGUGCGGUAAGUUCGCGAGACGUGUUCCGGCUGGUGCUGCAAGGGGUCACUCGUGAUACAGGUAUCACCAGAAUUACGAGCGCGGUGGCGAGCGGCGAUGACCAUGUUGCAAGUGGCGCGAGCUUGCAAGCCAUUAUGCAUCUAGUGCUGCAAGGGUUCGCCGGCAUCACGACACGAGCUCGUAGGCCAUUGAGUAGUGCCGAGUGCUCAAGAGUUCACCGGUGAGACAAUGGAACAUCACCUGGGCCAUCGGAGCAUCACCAUUGGUGUGAUGGAGAGUGCUAUAAUGGAGCAUCGCCGGGCCGUCAGGGCAUCACCAUUGGUGCGAUGGAGCAUCGUCCGUCUGCUUGAACCUCGCAAGUGCUACAAUGGAGCAUCGCUGGGCCGUUAGAGCAUCGCUGGAGCUGCAAUGUAGCAUCAUCGAUGCUAUGAUGAAGCAUCAUCAGGCCGUCGAAACCUCGCGGGUGCUACAACGGAGCAUCACCAGCCGAGGGAACCUCAGGGAUGCUGCAGUGAAGCAUCGUCGGACGUCGGGACCUCACGGGUGCUACAACGAAGCAUCGCCGGCUGAUGGAACCUCACCGAUGCUUCAACAGAACAUUGUCUGAUACCGAAACCUCACGGGUGCUGCAAGGGAGAAUCGCCGGCCUGCGGAACCUUACGGAUGGUGCAACGGAGCAUCGUUUGACAACCAGACCUCACGGGUGCUACAAUGGAGCAUCGUCGGCUGACGGAGCCUCACGGAUGUUGCAACGGAGCAUCGUUGGACGUCGGAACCUCACGGGUGCUNNNNNNNNNNNNNNNNNNNNNNNNNNNNNNNNNNNNNNNNNNNNNNNNNNNNNNNNNNNNNNNNNNNNNNNNNNNNNNNNNNNNNNNNNNNNNNNNNNNNNNNNNNNNNNNNNNNNNNNNNNNNNNNNNNNNNNNNNNNNNNNNNNNNNNNNNNNNNNNNNNNNNNNNNNNNNNNNNNNNNNNNNNNNNNNNNNNNNNNNNNNNNNNNNNNNNNNNNNNNNNNNNNNNNNNNNNNNNNNNNNNNNNNNNNNNNNNNNNNNNNNNNNNNNNNNNNNNNNNNNNNNNNNNNNNNNNNNNNNNNNNNNNNNNNNNNNNNNNNNNNNNNNNNNNNNNNNNNNNNNNNNNNNNNNNNNNNNNNNNNNNNNNNNNNNNNNNNNNNNNNNNNNNNNNNNNNNNNNNNNNNNNNNNNNNNNNNNNNNNNNNNNNNNNNNNNNNNNNNNNNNNNNNNNNNNNNNNNNNNNNNNNNNNNNNNNNNNNNNNNNNNNNNNNNNNNNNNNNNNNNNNNNNNNNNNNNNNNNNNNNNNNNNNNNNNNNNNNNNNNNNNNNNNNNNNNNNNNNNNNNNNNNNNNNNNNNNNNNNNNNNNNNNNNNNNNNNNNNNNNNNNNNNNNNNNNNNNNNNNNNNNNNNNNNNNNNNNNNNNNNNNNNNNNNNNNNNNNNNNNNNNNNNNNNNNNNNNNNNNNNNNNNNNNNNNNNNNNNNNNNNNNNNNNNNNNNNNNNNNNNNNNNNNNNNNNNNNNNNNNNNNNNNNNNNNNNNNNNNNNNNNNNNNNNNNNNNNNNNNNNNNNNNNNNNNNNNNNNNNNNNNNNNNNNNNNNNNNNNNNNNNNNNNNNNNNNNNNNNNNNNNNNNNNNNNNNNNNNNNNNNNNNNNNNNNNNNNNNNNNNNNNNNNNNNNNNNNNNNNNNNNNNNNNNNNNNNNNNNNNNNNNNNNNNNNNNNNNNNNNNNNNNNNNNNNNNNNNNNNNNNNNNNNNNNNNNNNNNNNNNNNNNNNNNNNNNNNNNNNNNNNNNNNNNNNNNNNNNNNNNNNNNNNUGAUGGAACCUUACGAAUACUCCAACGGAGCAUCGUCUAACACUGAAACCUCAAUGGUGCUGCAACGGAGCAUCGCCGGCCGGCGGAACCUCACGGAUGAUGCAACGGAGCAUCGUCUAACACUGAAACCUCACCGGUGCUGCAACGGAGCAUCACCGGCCGACAAAACCUCUUGGGUGCUACAACGGAGCAUCGCCGGACCUCACGGAUGCUGCAACGGAGCUGCGUCGGACGCCAGAACCUCACGGGUGCUGCAACAGAGUAUCGCCGGCCGACGGAACCUCACGGGUGCACAACAGAGCUAUAAUGGAGCAUCGCUGAUGCUUCGAUGGAUGGUCGCAGGCUCGUACUAGCUUCGUUGCUGCAACCCAGUGUUGCAGCCGUGGUCGGUGCGUGGCGAGCUCGUGAGUGUUUUUCUGUGCGAUGACUAGCGACGAUGCAUGGUGCAGGCUGAAGCUGGUACUGCAUGGCAUGUCGUCCAAAUGUGGCUCAUCGCGUUGGAAGUGUGGAUUAUGUGUUGCACUCGUGUACAUGCCUGCCUUAUGGAUGGCUGGAGUAGCUGCGGGAGAGAUAUGGCGUAUUGGGAUGAAAGCGGUGGCGUGGUCAAGGAAUCAAGCGGGCCAGGCCAAAUCGAUGCUAAUCAACGGAACGGGUGGCUAUCAUCAAAGGACUUUGCAGUCCUUUGUCUCUUGCUCCUAAUAGGAGGUCGUUGAAAUUAUAAUUACGGAUAGUCAUAAUUACAGGGCAAUGAUGAUGAUAAUCAUGGAUAGUAAUAAUAAUAACAGGACCAUUACAAUUGCAUGGUAAUAAUUAUCACAAUAAUUAUAAUCUUGUGUGUACUAAACAUGGUAUGGCCACGAAUUUGAUUGCCAGGUUUUUUAGGGAACUAAAUAAGGAAACUAAUAACUGGGGCAUUUGCUAGAGAUAUCUGACGUUAGCUAUUCCAAAUUUUAUUUCCAAUGCUAUUCAAAUUUGCUUACAUUACUAGCAACCUUCAAUCUGGAGGGAAAUUGUUUCCAAAUGGUUUCGUUUCAACGUGUCAAAUCAAAUCAAACCAUGCUUCUUAUAUUGACUGUAGAAUUUGAUUCCAUGGUUAAUGAAAUUUGCCUCUAUCCCACAAACUCCGCAUGAGUAACAUCCAUCGGCAGUGAAUGCCUCCCAUCUCAUCAUAGCCCAUCUUUAUUAACAAUGGGAAAGCAAGCAUAUAUAUAUAUAUAUAUAUAUAUAUAUAUAUACAGAGUUGUCAAGGCCACACACCAGGUUACUACAUGUCAUCGGGGGUCGUGCUACAUACUUAGAUACUAAUGUAGACAAAUCUAAGACAAGAAUUUUGGGACAGAGACGGAGGGAGUACACAGCACAGUAGCAAAGGCUACCAGAAAGAAAGAAUAGCCUCCGUCCCUCGGAAGCACCCUACCCUACCUAAACAACAAACAACAAACAACAAACACACCAAGGCGGGCGUGAGGGCCACCAAUUGCGACGAUAUGUCCACAACUCCAACAGGGUCCUGAGAUGCUUCGGAGCCGAUUUCCUGGCGCUCAACCACCAGGUUGCUGUGGUCACUGCCACCCCGCUUCUUAUGGAAGUAGACACUUUAACAUAUACUACUCUAGACCAGUCUCAACAUAUCAAUCAGCUCAGCUUCAUUGAAGCUAUAUGGGUAGCAAGCUCCAUGGCCUCCUUGACCCGACAAGCAUCACUUCCCUGCAUUCAAAUAUUGCAUUGCAUCACAGGAUUAUUCACAGAUUGUAUUAGCUAGUAACCAUAAUUACUACUAGUACUAGAAUUUCACCAAAGUUAAGAUGCCUAAACAAUGAACGAUGCCUCACCUGUCCCUGGGCAAGACCAUUCUUUCCGCUGCCUCCUUUCCCCUUGAGUGGUGCGAUUGAAGGCGUAAGCCAAUCCAACACCUUGAACCCAUUGGGUGCGUCCGGAGGUACACCCGCAUAGAUAACAACCUUGUGUGAUGCCUCGUCUGUGCUGAAUACCAUUAUCGGCAGACCCUGGCACCAACACAUCCAAAGAUUUGAUUGACACAAGGAAUACAAAUUUAAUGUUUUAAUCAUUCAUUGUUGGAGUAAGUUGGAAAUUAUGCUGAAUCUAUAGUUUCUUUUUAGAUGAUGGGAACACUAGUAGACAGAAACGGAUUGGAGUACCGACCGACCUUGAAACGGUCCAUGUCUUUCACAACUGCUUCCCGGACAGCAGUGGUAUCAAGACCCACAUCGACAUGAAUAACACAAAAGGGUUUUCCUUCAGAAACAGCAGCUUCUGCGGCAUCUAUGGCAGUCUUGACAGCCUUUUGGAUAUUUUCUUUGCCCAUUUUCUUCUUCGCCUCCCUAAGUUGAUCCUGAUAUAUGCAAUAGCUAUAAUCAGCUUUCUUCAUUUUAACUACCAAUAGUAGAAUACCAAAUAUAUCUUAAAUAUUUUCUCUUUGACAAUAUGUGACAAAUGAACUGAAGCAUUUACAGACCUCCAACUUUGAGACAUUGCCUUUUAGAUCAGCUUUUCUUGCAGCUGGGAUAGCAGCGGCAUCCAGUGUAUUCUUGAUGGACCCAAUUUUCUGAUGAAGAAAUGCCAAUUCUUAGAUACUCCCUCUGUAAACUAAUAUAAGAGUGUUUAGAUCACUACUUUAGUGUUCUAAAUGAUCUUAUAUUAGUUUACCGAGGGAGUAAAAUCUAAUAUAAAGCAGAUCAACAGAAAAUGGAUACAAAGUACAACUGACAUCGUCUAUUCAUAUAAAAGUUAAGGACAUCGUAUUUCUAAGAAAACAAACAAGAAUCACAAUAACUUCUAAUAAUAUCCAAUUUAUCGGAGUAUCAUAACCAUAUAGCUCACACUAUGAGACACAAACACAAAUGGGGAAAGCUUAGUACCUUUUCCAAUGUCGCUCCGUCCAGUUUAGAUGCUUCAUUGAUAUCAGUCUCGAUAGAUGAUGCCAACUUCAUAGCCUGUGAGGCACACUCAGCAGUAACAGUCGUUAUCCUCCGAACACCUUUUGCGAUACCCUCUUCAGAUAUGAGGGCAAAUGCUGCGGCAUCUCUAGUGUUCGAAAUGUGUGUGCCUGACAUACAUAAACGUUAGGGUGACAUAAACACAUAAAUGCAGAAUUACAUAGUAGAACAGAGUAGUAAAUAUACCUCCACACAGCUCUGUUGAUAUGGAUAACCAUUCUUUGCUUUCAGGGUUUGCAAGCAGAUCUUCCACUUUGCGACCAAUCGAUACAACUCUUACAGGGUGAGGGUAAAUCUACAAAAUCCAUAUGUAAAAUGAAUUAACACAAGACAACAGGGCAGGCAAACGAGAUAUGACAACAUGGUAUGUCAAGAUGGGUAAGAGAACGCACUUCACCAAACACAGCUCGCACACCAUUUAUGCCCUUUGCAUCAGCUAAUUUUAUUUCUUGUGCAGAUACCUCCAGCUCAUCCUCUAUUUGCUUCUUCACUAUAUCCUCAAUUUUUCUCAAAUCUUCAGGCUAAACAGGUUUCCCUGUUAUGUACUAACAGUUGAGUUGACAAGCCGAGGAAAAGCAAAGAGUGGAUGCAAUAUAAAAAGAAUCACAGUAUACCAUGGGAGAAACCAAAUCUCAGCUUCUCUGGAAGAACAAUGGAACCUUUCUGGUCAAUAUGGUCACCAAGUACUUCCUACACUUGCAAUAGUGAAACCAUCAUGAAUACAAAAAAAGGCAUGCACUAUAAAAUCUGAGAGGCUUGAAAACUUACCCUUAGAGCAAAGUUCAGCAUAUGGGUACAUGUGUGGUUUGGAGCAAUCAGAGUACACCGUGUGUAAUCAGCCUACCAAGAGUAAUAGAAGCAUCGCAGUGUAAUUUAGCAAAUUUCAUAGGUAAACUAAUUUAGUAUAAAGAAUUAAUCAGUACAGAAUGUUAUUUUGCUUUUCACUUCAUCGCCAACAGACAAUGCCUUGGAGUCAGGCCCUUCCAGAAAUGAACCGAUGUGCAGGACAUAUCCAGCAAACACUUGGACAUUGUUCACAGUGAAAGAUCCAGAUGCCCCCUCGAUACUCCCAGUGUCAUAGAUCUAUUCCAGAAACAUCAUACGGCAUGUCAAAAGAAUUCAUACAAUGCAUGGCGCAACUCUUGAACAUGCAGGGGAGCUGCAUAUGUAUAUACAGCCCCAAACCCCACACAGGAUAGAACAAGAAAUGGCCAUGCAACAUGGUGACUUCAAAUAAACAAGAAAACACCCAUGGUUGUUGAAUGCAAAUUGCAAUGUUUGUUUGCAAAGUACCGGUAUUAACUUGCCAAAUUUUGAAGCCAAUGUAUUGUAUGGGCAACUUCAAAGCCCUCAACACUAUUUUCCUCGGAGUUAGAUUGGAUACAACCGUAAGGUGGUGCUCGAAAUGGUGUUAAUGACAAAAGGCAUUACUUCAACCAUUUAUUAAUGAGCGCUGUAGAUUAUUAGGAUGACAUACAACAAACAACAAACAAUACCAAUCAGGUUUCAAACAAUGGGAGGUAUCACUCCAGGGUGCACUAAUCAUUUUUUGUUCUGGUUACAAUGAAAUAAUAACUUUCAAACAGAAAUUAUGUGUCUACUUUACUGAUGAAUCAACCAACAUGAUUAUGUUAAAAUUAACAAAAUUACUGUCAUGUGGGGCCAUUGCUACAGGAGGACACCCCAUCAGACAUCAGCUCAAUAGUUACUAUAGAAAAAUAUCUAACUCGCAAACUAAGGUAAUUAUCAAGCUGAUGUCAGACGGGGUUUCUUCCUGUAGUAAUGGCCCCACAUGACAAUUACAAAAAAAAAUAGAAUGUCAUGCUUAUUCAGUAGGUAAGCUGAUAAUUCAUUGCAUGACUACAACUCGAGAGGUGAUUGCACUUGACAUUUUCAUUCAACUACACUAACAUGCCGUCAAAAGUGAAGUUGUACCUGACCGCCCUGUUCCGCAUAGAAGCUUGUGCUUUCCAAAACAAGACCAAAAUCUUCAUCACCAGAUGCAGUAGCUAUGAACUCUGAGCCAAUAUAGAUAGCUUUUACAACACUACUAUGUACCUGCAAAAUGUUUUUAGGUGUAUCCGCCAUGAUCAAUAUAUAAGUGUUUACCCACAGUGCGAAAUAUGAACAGUGCAAGAACAAGCAAAGGCAGGUAGCCAGGUAAAUUCACUACUUGAAUGAAAUUCUACAAAAUCCCAAAUAGGUACUGAAUAUUGAAGGAACUGUACCUAAUAGAGAAACCACAACUAAAUAAUCUAACUAAGCAUCUAACCUCGUGUUGGAAUUUCGGGCUAUCAUUUGUGCUGGCAAGCCCCUGAUUGCGCAGGUGCGAUGUAGCAUUAGCAUCAAGGACAAUAGACUUGCCACCAGCCUGCAAGAAAAACAUAUAUAACAAAAUCAGAAAGAAGUAUGAUAUAAAAACCAUAACAGGAAGAAGUUGCCCAAUCAAUUGUUGAGCGUCAGUGGCAUAUAAGAGAUGCUAAGUUUAGUUAAUUACAAUAUUAUUAAACAGCAAAGAGCAGGAAUAAUACUUGGAUGGCAUAAAAGAUCACAAGUGAAGAAUUAAGUUUUAUAUUUAAGAAGAAAUAAAUACAACCUUGUAGCGAGCAUUCCUAGCCUUUUGUCUUGCUUCUUCCAUAGAAACAUUAAAACCCUCCAUGUCAACAGAUAGCCCGAAGUCAACUGCCAUGACCUAUGAGAUAGGAAACAACAACGAUACCAGAAAAACAGACAAUAAAAGCUUUAACAACAACAUAAACAUGAAAAUAUAGCACCAUCAAGCUAAUUUGAAUAGAUUUACUGAUGAAAACAUGAACAAACCUCAGUCAAAUCAAUUGGAUAGCCAUAUGUGUCCCACAGAACAAAUGCAUCCUGAAAUAAUAAAUAACGGUUGCAAUACAUGAAAGAUAGCAAUAUAAACUUGAAAAGUUCAGCUGGAUGUAACAGAACAUUGAUAAACAUAACCGAAGUAUGAUUAAGAGACAUGUUUCUAUGCAGUAAACUCCUAUUCUUAAAAUAAGGACGAUGAAAAGAAUUAUUCCACAUUACUGUAGAGAAUAUGAUCAAGUUUACCAAAUAGUCAAAUUCCUUAGUUUUUGACACGUUUCUCGAAUACAUAGAAUUAGAAUGACAAAAUAGAGAAUAUGAUCAAGUUAACCAGAUAGUGCCUAUACAAUAUUUAAAAUGACAUCCGAGAAUAACUACCGACAACGUAUCCGACAGAUAUCCAAGUUCUGGUUCCUAAUGCCAUUUUUAAGGGGUUCGGUCAGUUUGUAGCUAUCUGAACCAUUUUUACCCCUGCCAGCAAACCAUUUUCAUGACACUAUAGUUAGAUUCUCAGGCAUUGUUCUUAAGGCGGUAAGGCAACCUAAGGUGAGCACCCACUACCCUGACGCCUAAGCGCCUUAGGUGGGCAAAACUGCAAAGCACUGUCAAGACGCCUUGCCACCUAAGCGUCCAAGGUGAGAAGCCCUAAAAACAAUGCUCUGAGGCCUACUGGAGAGGGAGAAAAGGCUAGAGAUAUCCAGAUUAAUCUUCACUUCAAGAAACUAGAUGACAAUGCAACCAAUCUAGCAAGGAUAAGAACCUAUUUCAACUAUUUUAAUAUGAAAUGUAUGCAUCUUAUUAAUCACGAUACUUUGUCUCUAACUUCACAAUUUAUAUCAUCUCCUAACUAUUUUCACUUCUUAAUGGACAUCAAUGAGAUAACACAUCAGACAACAAACAAACUACAAGUCUGCUUAUUAGGUGCAAACAUCUUCUAGUGAAAACAAAAUAAAUCAAGUAUAAUUCAAAACCAAAGCACUUGCCUGGCGAAUAAGUACUGUCCCACCAUUCUCCUUGACAGCAUCUGCAGCUUUCUUAAAUCUCUCAUAUCCCUGAAAAUUACAACAACAACACAAUCAGUUAACUGCCUGAACAGCCACAAGAACGGACAAUACAUAUUAUGAUGGUUCUAAGAAAAGAAGGGUCAACUAAACUUCAACUGUAAGCUUUCUUAGUCUCUGUUGCUAUAUAUGAAACACAAUAGCAAGGCACCUAGUAGGAACCACCCUUAAAAUAUAAGCAUGAUAAACAGAAUCAUGCCCAUGUGCAAACCAAAUAAAUUGGAUUACUAAUGGUCAUUUCAUAGAAAAGAUGAGACAAUUUAUCAUGUGUGCUAAUUAUCGUGAUUGAACUAAGCUGAUGUAAACCAAGAUUGAAACUAUCACCCUGGAUGUGUUGCCUCAAAACAAGAAACUAUCUGGUUACUCAGCACAACACGUUAAUAUAUAUUAUAUAUAUAAAGUAAGCCUUUAGCAGUAUCUCAUGAGCAAAACAGCGGUACCUUAGAUACAAGGUAUAAACUGGCCCAGAGCCUCCGGCAACAAUAGAAAUUUAGGUUAUCUGAUAACAAACAAGCUAAAUUACUUUGAGACUAACACAUGUUUACAAGGAUAAAACAAUUUAGGUUAUCUGAUAACAAACAAGCUAAAUUACUUUGAGACUAACACAUGUUUACAAGGAUAAAACACUGCCUAAGAGUGUGCAAACACUUGGAUUUGAUUGCAAUGAAAUUACUUCAACAAACAUCACUUGGGCCAAAUUGAAGUCACUGAUAUGCAAAUACUCCUGGCAACCAAUAUUACCUUCGCUAGAGUGUUCUCAAAGCUUGCCUCUUCUUCUUCAAUUAUAUCUUUAAUCUUCUUUUCAUUGUCCUUCAGCUCAGGAAACACAUCACCCAUCACUCGGACAAAAACAUCUACAAGGCUGUACAAGAAAGAUACAAAAUAAUGGCAUAUCAAAUACCAGCUUCAAGAACAUAGUUUAAAUUAGCUAGAAUCAUGUGUGACAUAGUUUCUUUACUUGUUGUCAUAUGACAUCUCUACAGUCAUCCUCGUAAGCCGUACAUUGCAUGUUUAGCAUCCCGAGUAAACAAAAGGCUAUGCAAAGUAUACCAUUAACGAAAAGGUACAGAAUACAACAGAUGCAUGUUACAGUUCUUACGAGCUAAAAAAUCCUUGCUUUGCCAUCAAUUUUUGAUGACCAAAGUGAACAGCACGUCUAAGUAUACGCCUUAGAACAUACUCUCUUCCCUCAUUUCCUACAACAAAACUCCUAUUAGAACAAGGAAACAUCAUUGUAUAACACAAAACAAAGCUCUGAAACAUUGUAAAAAUACUGCUAAACAACAUUCCUCGGUAGGGGCCCAUCUGAAAUCUAAAAAAAAUGGUUCGCAAUGAACUAAACCCACACAAAUUUAGCAUUUAUGACUUCAUAUUUAUAGGAAGGGCAUUAAUGCAUUUCGUCCUAAAACAGGAAAUGCAACUCAGGUCCCCAAACUAGUGAUUUUGACACAUGGAUGCCUGAACUAAAAUUAAUUAGUCAGGUUCAAAACAACUAGCCUCCGUAGAGUUGACUAGCCAAAACCGUAUGAGCUCACUAGGUUGAGAACCAUCAGCAAUAGCAAAAGAAAGGGCUCUUAUGUGAUCUGCAACAACCCUAUAUGCCAUAUCAACUUUCCCAACAUCAUCGAAUCCUACUUUACCAGAGUAUGGUUGAAUUCCAGCGCCUGCCAGAUGCAUUCAUAAUGCAUAAUGAAUUGGCAAUGAAUAUCAUUUACUUUAGGCAACAAUUUAUUGCUUCAGCAAAAUACUCUAGUCACAACUCGCAAGCACAAAAGAAGCUGCAAGUACGCAUCUGGGAAAAAUACCUUGUGGAUGGCAUCGAAUAAUGGCAUCAAUACAUCUGUGUCGUAAUUGCUCAUUUUAUUCUGAAGGAUAGAAGUUAAACGCUCAAAGCCCAUUCCGGUGUCAACGUGUUUUGCUGGCAAGGAUCUCAAAGUAGCGUCUGACUCCCUGUUGAACUGGGUAUUAAUAAAAUAGCCAAAUGUCAGUGCAUAGUAGAAGAGAUAAAAAGCAAAUAGGCGUGCACACACAUGAAACAGAGUAACUGGCAUGUUAACCUGAAUAAACACAAGAUUCCAUAUCUCAAUACAUGUAGGGUCAUCAUUAUUGACUAAUGAGGCUGCGUCACGGUUGUCAAUACGAUCAAAAUGAAUCUCUGUGCAUGGUCCACAAGGACCUGUGUCGCCCAUCUCCCAAAAGUUAUCCUGCUCAAAGAAUGCAUUGUUGUAAUACUCUUCUUGUUUAAUAGGGACAUUCAGAUAGCAGUAUAAGCCCAACAGAAACGAAGAUACAAGAUAAUAAUGUGUAAAACGGACAGGAAGGAGGUCGACCAAGAAACCAAGCAGAGCACAAGCAGAAUAGUACCUUGCAACCGAGAGGCAGAACUCUUUCAUUCAGUAGAUACUUGAACCAUAUGUCUUUUGACUCGGUAUCGGGAGCGAGACCAACCUUGUCAUCACCAUCAAAGUAUGUUGCAUAAAUCCUAUCAGUGGGCAAUUUGUAGACCUGCACAUACAUACAUACAUGCAUAUGAAAUAGAAAUUUCUAUCAACGGGCAAUUAUAUGUCACUCUUUCAUCAUCCUUACAUUUGAUUGAUUGAUUGAUUAAUUGAUUGAUUGAUAGCAAGAGUAGGUAGGUAGGUACCUGGGUGAGGAGUUGCCAUGCGUAUGCGAUGGCCCCGUCCUUGAAGUAGUCCCCGAAGGACCAGUUGCCGAGCAUCUCGAAGAAGGUGUGGUGGUAGGUGUCCUUGCCGACGUCGUCGAGGUCGUUAUGCUUGCCGCCGGCACGGAUGCACUUCUGGGUGUUGCAGGCGUGGCGCAGGUGGCCGAGCGGCGAGUCCGGGGCGGCGGUGCCGAGGAAGACCGGCUUGAACUGGUUCAUCCCGGCGUUGGCGAAGAGGAGAGUGGGGUCGUCCACGAGCACCACGGGGCUGGACGGCCACGGCAUGUGCGCCUUGGACUCGAAGAAGCCGAUGAAGGACUCCCGGACCUGGGCGGAGGGCCGGCCAUGGAUGCUCGUCGGAAGGAGGAGAGGUGGGCGGCGGCGGGCAGAACCCUAUCCCUAGCGCUUGGCUUGGGGUUGGGGUUGAGGAGCGCUGCAAGGAAAAUAUGAGGCAGGGAACGAAUGCCAAGUUUGUGUGGUAAUUUUAUUUUAUUUUGAAAAGAAAAAAUAGAAACCAUAUUUAAAAAUUUCAAAAAAAAUUGAAAAUAAUUCUGUGCAAACUUUUUUUUUUGCAUUACUCAACUCAUGGUGUCCAUACAUUGAGCGACAGCUAGCUCAACAGCAACAUCUGGACCAGAACCAACCCAAGUCAUGGUUCAUCCUUCUAAUUUAGCAAAUCUAGGCUAACUUUAUUUUGAGAGUGAUUUACAUGAGUAAUACAACAACCACGAAUCCCCAAAACAUACUUGAUCACCUUAACUAUCCAAGCAUAAAUAGAUUUGUCCAAAUCCCUCAAUUGGAUCAGUUUGACUGCAAGAAUAGAGUCCAUCUCCACAAUGGUAGAAAAGUCACUCCUCUCAAGUGCAGAUGAUAGCCCUUCCAUGCACGCACGCAGUUCAGUUGAUGAAAGAAAGAGCGUUUUUCUUCUCUGCUUCUUCAUUCGCUCGAUUUCCUUUUUUUCACCUUUUUAUUAAAAAACUAAAAACAUUUAUUUAAAAAUAAUAAUUUCCUUAAAAUUUUGAAAUGUUCAAAGUGAAAUAGAAAACUAUAAACAUUGUGUAAAAAAUUAUCACCCGCUGCUUAGCUUGAUUUGCAGGUAUGAGGCAGGGAACGCCAUACAUUUGGCCGGCCUUCGUUUUUCUUCUCCGCUUCUUCAUUCGCUCCAUUUUAUUUACAUUUAAAAAAUAUAUUCUAAAUACACUUAUUCCAAAAACACAGUAGAGUUUAACAAAUAAAAAAUGUUGAAAGUGAAAUAUAAAAGUAUAAACAUCAUGUACAAAAUUGUACUCUCUAUGAUCCAUAUUAAUUGUCACUGACUUAGUUUAAACUAAUAUAGACCAAAUGUAGCAUGAUAUAAAAAAUGUUUAUGGCAUUCAAAAAUAUGUUCACGUGUUUCAAAAAUAUAUACGUGACAUUUUUAGAAAAUGUCAUACAAUUUGGAAAGAAUGCUCACGUAAUUCAACAAAAUAAAUACUGCCUUUCAGAAAGAUGUACAUGACAAUUAAAAAAUGCUCACACACUCCAAAAAUAGGUUUAUGCCAAUUAAUAAAAAAUGUUCAAGAUGUGUAAAUUUUUACAGUGUGUAUUUAGAAAAAUGGACAUGUAUUGAGAAAGAAAUAAAAUCCAUAAAAAACACAUAAGACAUAAAACCAAAAAAAAAGAUGAAAAUUGGCCCAGGAAACACACAAGACGAAAAGGAAAAAAACUCUGCAGGAACCCGGUCCCGGGAACCCAUAUUGGGAAAACCCAUCUAGGGUCCGCCUACUUCAUACAGCAGGCGAGAAGGACAUAGUAAAGAUGACAUGCUUUUCUCAAAAAAACAGGUAAAAAUGACAUGCCAUUAAAAAUAAAAUUGCCAUGCUCUUAAUAGUUAUUAGAAUGAAUCAAGUCUCUUCUUUAUUAGAUGCCAUAUGCUAUUUAUACAAGGGAAAGGACACCACUGGAAAAGGUGUCUGAUCAGAGGAGGUGCCUGUUCGGCGAGAACCGACGCGGCCGUUUUACAACGGCCCGCGGUUAGUACAAGCAGGGAUUAAUCCCAUAAUUAACACAUGGUUAAUUAAUUCUAACACUCCCCCUAAUCAAUGCUUGAUCUUGUGAGCAGACGUCAUCUUGAUAAAGUUUCCUCCAAAAACCCUGUGGGGAAAAAUGAGGAUAGAGGUGUUUGAUAUGUUGCCAAAACUCCUUCAAACCCAGUAGGAAAAAUAAGGAGAAAAUGCCGUAACAUAUAAUGAUUAUUGUCUGUGUAACUCAAUAUGAGAAAAACCCAUAGAGUUUAGAGGACAUUAAAUAUGUCUAAUAUACUUUCUUAAAAACCCCGGUGGGGAAAACAGAAAAUAUGACAUAUGGUCUUGUGUUGAUAUUACCUCAUUAAAAACCUUUAUGAGAACCUAUAAAGUAAACUCAUGAAGGGAAAAAGAGUAUAAUAUGAUGCUUUCAAUAGGAACAAUUCAGGAAGAUACUCCCCCUGAUUCUUGCAUAUUCCGAAGUCGUUAUAUACCAAUUCCAUGAACACAUUUCUAGAACAUAGAAGUUGGUAGAGACCUGGUGAACAAAUCAGUCACAUGAUUUAACUUGCAAGAUAUGCAAUAUAGCGAUAUUGCUUAUUAUGUAACAUGUUUGCAUCCGGGCAACACAAGAAACAUUAUCCUUGAGAUAAUGGUUGGUGGAUGUAGCCAUAAGGUCUGUCUCGAAGACUCUUCAUGAGAGGGCUACCACACCUAGUAGGAACACUAAGCUUGUCUACGAUCUGAUAUAGUGGGAUCUCAUCGAUGUAUCCAAUGAUAUCGGUGUUCACAUUUCUGUGAAACUGAAAAACCAGGAAAAGAUGUUUGAUGCCUUGAAGAUAUCGAAAGAUAUUCUUGAGUACCAACCAAUUGUGUUUGGUGGAUCCAAUGGCAUUAAGGAACAUUGAGUCCCAAUAUUUCAUUUCUAUCAUCUCUUGGUCUAAAUAGAUCUUUCUCUACGUCUAGAGAAUGAACCACCAUGAGAGUUAUGGAUGUAUAAGACUUGUCCACAAUGAAUUUCUCCAAUAUAUUUUGGAUAUAGACAACAUAGUGUACCAAAAUGUAUGAGUGAAGGUGCUCAAGUUGUAGUAACGAGCGGUAUCUUGGUUUUACCCAAAUCCUUCAUUUAAACUCUGUCGUUUAGAUGAUUACAUGUAUCAUCAUUGCAGGAGUAAUCACUGUGUAUGACAGACAAACAUGGAUAACCAUCAUUGUAGGAGUAAUCCUUGUGGAAAGGAACUCACUAAGUCGGUUGUACCAAAUGUACCGACAACAAUAAGUCAUAUGGUGACUUGCUAAUUUUUACACAAUGUAUGUUGCAUUUUGUAUUUCGAUUCAGAAUUGAGAUUCCAUUGGAAAUCAAUCAUAUAUGUCUGAAUCUAGUGAGCCACAUGGAUAUGUGAUCACUACAUCUAUCAAUUGCAGAGAUAGAUGAUUUUGUACUGCCAAUGAUAUAAGUUAUCGAAAUGAGAUUCCACCUCUGGAGAAUAGUUAGGUAUCUGGGUAAACCCUUGUGCUACAAUACUUGCUCUUUGUUUACCACCUCGUUGUUCUCAAUUUUGUUUCCAGAAGAAAACUGGUCUAGGUAUUUCUUAUGAAUACCUUCCCAUUAUUGAGCAAGAUCAUUUCUUCCUAGAUUAUACCCUUUGCUUGAGUUCAGUCCGAGUGUUUUUCACACUUUGCCAUGGCCAUGGUCUUUGGACCUGAAUCAUGUGAAAGGUUUUGCAAUCUAGUUGAGAAAUGUAUGUUGACAAUUGUAGACAUCCGGUUAUAUGUUUCUCCAGAAUCUAUAUAUCAAUAUAGAGUUGAUGGAAAUAUCGUUACCCAAGGUGACUGCUCGCUAUUUCCCAAUGCGGCUAAGUCGGGUAUUCCAAUAUCCCGGUCAUUGUGUGCACUAUGACCUGGGUUGGUGGAGGAUUCCCGUCCACCGGGUGUAUACUACCCAUUAGGUGUCUGCCAACAUGAAGUUGACUUGCAUUUACUGAUUCACAGGCCUUGAUAUCCUUGCUUGCGAGAAGCUGAAUCCUGAUGUACUUCUGCCAUACAUCUCCCCCUGUUGCUUUGAACGGGGAGUGGAGUGGAUUUUGUUGGUACCUCCACUCUUUCAGGCAUACUUUGCAGGAUUGUAGGAUUGUGUGACACCUUUAUAGUCAGUAAAUGAAUCUGGCAGGUUAUUUGCAAUAUGUUGCAAAUCUUCUGAACACAUGGUUCAACUCUUUGAUUACGGGGAUAUGAGGCAGAAAUGUGUUGAACAUUCCACUAAUUUCCUGGCAUUCUUUAUGGUACUUGAAUUCUCCCCCUAAUGCCUGGAAAUAUUCCUCAUUGAAUCAACAUACUGGCCUUGAAUAACUCCCCAUGUGAGGGGCUUGAGGUAUUGACGGUAAUACAGUUAUUCCUCACAUAGAUCCCAACUAUAUGUUGAGGGGCCAAUGAUGUAUGUCGGGGUGAUGAUAUCGGUGUGUAACCAAAUUACCGCAGAUAGGAAAUACUUGGUAGAUUUCCACGUAUCAAAGAUAGAGGGGAAUAAAAUUAUGCAGUUUGGUCAUGAGCGUGUAAAACUCCAUGACUCCAACGUAAAGUUGGUAAGUUGCAAUUUCAAAGUAAAGAUCAUGCAAUGAGCUCAAUUUUUUGGAUGGGAUUCUACCAAACCAUUUCGAGUCUAGACAUUAGGACAAAUUACUAAACUUCAAUCCGAGGACCAUUGAAAAAGGCACUCAAGGAGAAUUCUGCAAAUGCUAUCCAUUCGAUUUGCUUGAAAUCGAUGUCAGGAUAAUGAGUCAAUGGUUUCGUGUGAAUAAAGCACACUUGAGACCAUCAUAUAGAUGUGUCUUUGGAAAAACCAUGGAUACCUGAAUAGUCUAGUCAAUGGUUGGGAAAAACCACUUACCUCGACUUGAUGCAUUCAAGGAGUCUGAGUGGUUCAGCGUAAACUUUAAGGUGCGCAAUCCUUAAAAUUAGCUUCUCUGUGUCAUAUGUAGUGCACACAAAAUCCAAAUAUUGUUAGAAUUUAGCAUCAUAAUAAUCAUAAAACCAAUGGAAUUGCUGAUAGUUUCGGUUUCAACCCAAUGUCUCGAUGACCAAAGGCGAGUAUGCCAAGUUUGUCAUGUACAAGAUGUUGGGUUUCGUAGUAAUUUCAAAAAAAUUCCUACGCACACGCAAGAUCAUGUGAUGCAUAUUAACGAGGGGGAGAGUAUUGUCUACGUACCCAACGCAGACCGACUGCGGAAGCGAUGACACGACGUAGAGGAAGUAGUCGUACGUCUUCACGAUCCAACCGAUCAAGCACUGAAACUACGGCACCUCCGAGUUCGAGCACACGUUCAGCUCGAUGACGAUCCCCGGACUCCGAUCCAGCAAAGUGUCGGGGAAGAGUUCCGUCAGCACGACGGCGUGGUGACGAUCUUGAUGAACUACAGCAGCAGGGCUUCGCCUAAACUCCGCUACAGUAUUAUCGAGGAAUAUGGUGGCAGGGGGCACCGCACACGGCUAAGGAACAGAUCACGUGGAUCAACUUGUGUGUUUCUGGGGUGCCUCUGCCUCAGUAUAUAAAGGAGCCAAGGGGGGAGAGGGGCGCCGGCCAGGGAGAGAGGCGCAGGAGGAGUCCUACUCCUUCCGGGAGUAGGACUCCCCUUCCAAUCCUAUUCCAACUAGGAUUCCCCGAGGGGGAAAGAGGGAGAGGGGUGGCCGGCCACCUCUCCUAGUCCUAAUAGGACUAGAGGAGGGGGGAGGUGCGCAGCCCCCUUGGGCUGCCCCUUUCUCCUUUCCACUAAGGCCCAUGAAGGCCCAUAUGGCUCCCGGGGGGUUCCGGUAACCCGGUAAAAUCCCGAUUUCACCCGGAACACUUCCGAUGUCCAAACAUAGGCUUCCAAUAUAUCAAUCUUUACGUCUCGACCAUUUCGAGACUCCUCGUCAUGUCCGUGAUCACAUCCGGGACUCCGAACAACCUUCGGUACAUCAAAAUGCAUAAACUCAUAAUGUAACUGUCAUCGUAACCUUAAGCGUGCGGACCCUACGGGUUCGAGAACAAUGUAGACAUGACCGAGACAUGUCCCCGGUCAAUAACCAAUAGCGGGACCUGGAUGCCCAUAUUGGCUCCUACAUAUUCUACGAAGAUCUUUAUCGGUCAGACCGCAUAACAACAUACGUUGUUCCCUUUGUCAUCGGUAUGUUACUUGCCCGAGAUUCGAUCGUCGGUAUCCAAUACCUAGUUCAAUCUCGUUACCGGCAAGUCUCUUUACUCGUUCCGUAAUACAUCAUCUCACAACUAACAUAUUAGUUGUAAUGCUUGCAAGGCUUAUGUGAUGUGUAUUACCAAGAGGGCCUAGAGAUACCUCUCCGACAAUCGGAGUGACAAAUCCUAAUCUCGAAAUACGCCAACCCAACAUCUACCUUUGGAGACACCUGUAAUGCUCCUUUAUAAUCACCCAGUUACGUUGUGACAUUUGGUAGCACCCAAAGUGUUCCUCCGGCAAACGGGAGUUGCAUAAUCUCAUAGUCAUAGGAACAUGUAUAAGUCAUGAAGAAAAGCAAUAGCAACAUACUAAACGAUCGGGUGCUAAGCUAAUGGAAUGGGUCAUGUCAAUCAGAUCAUUCGACUAAUGAUGUGACCUCGUUAAUCAAAUAACAACUCAUUGUUCAUGGUUAGGAAACAUAACCAUCUUUGAUUAACGAGCUAGUCAAGUAGAGGCAUACUAGUGACACUUUGUUUGUCUAUGUAUUCACACAUGUAUUAUGUUUCCGGUUAAUACAAUUCUAGCAUGAAUAAUAAACAUUUAUCAUGAUUAUAAGGAAAUAAAUAAUAACUUUAUUAUUGCCUCUAGGGCAUAUUUCCUUCAGUCUCCCACUUGCACUAGAGUCAAUAAUCUAGAUUACACUGUAAUGAUUCUAACACCCAUGGAGCUUUGGUGCUGAUCAUGUUUUGCUCGUGGAAGAGGCUUAGUCAACGGGUCUGCAACAUUCAGAUCCGUAUGUAUCUUGCAAAUCUCUAUGUCUCCCACCUGGACUAGAUCCCGGAUGGAAUUGAAGCGUCUCUUGAUGUGUUUGGUCCUUUUGUGAAAUCUGGAUUCCUUUGCCAAGGCAAUUGCACCAGUGUUGUCACAAAAGAUUUUCAUUGGACCCGAUGCACUAGGUAUGACACCUAGAUCGGAUAUGAACUCCUUCAUCCAGACUCCUUCAUUUGCUGCUUCCGAAGCAGCUAUGUACUCCGCUUCACAUGUAGAUUCCGCUACGAUGCUUUGUUUAGAACUGCACCAACUGACAGCUCCACCGUUUAAUGUAAACACGUAUCCGGUUUGCGAUUUAGAAUCGUCUGGAUCAGUGUCAAAGCUUGCAUCAACGUAACCUUUUACGGUGAGCUCUUUGUCACCUCCAUAUAUGAGAAACAUAUCCUUAGUCCUUUUCAGGUAUUUCAGGAUGUUCUUGACCGCUGUCCAGUGAUCCAUUCCUGGAUUACUUUGGUACCUCCCUGCUAAACUUAUAGCAAGGCACACAUCAGGUCUGGUACACAACAUUGCAUACAUGAUAGAUCCUAUGGCUGACGCAUAGGGAACAUCUUUCAUAUUCUCUCUACCUUCUGCAGUGGUCGGGCAUUGAGUCUUACUCAACUUCACACCUUGUAACACAGGCAAGAACCCUUUCUUUGUUUGAUCCAUUUUGAACUUUUUCAAAAUUUUGUCAAGGUAUGUGCUUUGUGAAAGUCCAAUUAAGCGUCUUGAUCUAUCUCUAUAGAUCCUAAUGCCUAAUAUGUAAGCAGCUUCACUAAGGUCUUUCAUUGCAAAACUUUUAUUCAAGUAUCCCUUUAUGCUAUCCAGAAAUUCUAUAUCAUUUCCAAUUAGUAAUAUGUCAUCCACAUAUAAUAUCAGAAAUGCUACAGAGCUCCCACUCACUUUCUUGUAAAUACAGGCUUCUCCGAAAGUCUGUAUAAAACCAAAUGCUUUGAUCACACUAUCAAAGCAUUUAUUCCAACUCCGAGAUGCUUGCACCAGUCCAUAAAUGGAUCGCUGGAGCUUGCACACUUUGUUAGCUCCUUUUGGAUCGACAAAACCUUCCGGUUGCAUCAUAUACAACUCUUCUUCCAGAAAUCUAUUCAGGAAUGCAGUUUUGACAUCCAUCUGCCAAAUUUUAUAAUCAUAAAAUGCGGCAAGCGCUAACAUGAUUCGGACGGACUUAAGCAUCGCUACGGGUGAGAAGGUCUCAUCGUAGUCAACCCCUUGAACUUGUCGAAAACCUUUCGCGACAAGUCGAGCUCUGUAGACAGUAACAUUACCAUCAGCGCCAGUCUUCUUCUUGAAGAUCCAUUUAUUCUCAAUUGCUUGCCGAUCAUCGGGCAAGUCAACCAAAGUCCAUACUUUGUUCUCAUACAUGGAUCCCAUCUCAGAUUUCAUGGCUUCAAGCCACUUUGCGGAAUCUGGGCUCACCAUCGCUUCUUCAUAGUUCGUAGGUUCAUCAUGAUCUAGUAGCAUGACUUCCAGAACUGGAUUACCGUACCACUCUGGUGCGGAUCUUACUCUGGUUGAUCUACGAGGUUCAGUAGUAUCUUGUUCUGAAGUUUCAUGAUCAUUAUCAUUAACUUCCUCACUUAUUGAUGUAGGUGUCGCAGAAACAAUUUUCUGUGAUGUACUACUUUCCAACAAGGGAGUAGGUACAGUUACCUCGUCAAGUUCUACUUUCCUCCCACUCACUUCUUCCGAGAGAAACUCCUUCUCAAGAAAGUUUCCGAAUUUAGCAACAAAAGUCUUGCCUUCGGAUCUAUGAUAGAAGGUGUAUCCAAUAGUUUCCUUUGGAUAUCCUAUGAAGACACAUUUCUCCGAUUUGGGUUCGAGCUUAUCAGGUUGAAGCUUUUUCACAUAAGCAUCGCAGCCCCAAACUUUCAGAAACGACAACUUUGGUUUCUUGCCAAACCAUAGUUCAUAAGGCGUCGUCUCAACAGAUUUUGAUGGUGCCCUAUUUAACGUGAAUGCGGCCGUCUCUAAAGCAUAACCCCAAGAUGAUAGCGGUAAAUUAGUAAGAGGCAUCAUAGAUCGCACCAUAUCUAGUAAAGUAUGAUUACGACGUUCGGACACACCAUUACGCCGUGGUGUUCCGGGUGGCGUGAGUUGCGAAACUAUUCCGCAGUUUUUCAAAUGUACACCAAACUCGUAACUCAAAUAUUCUCCUCCACGAUCAGAUCGUAGAAACUUUAUUUUCUUGUUACGAUGAUUUUCAACUUCACUCUGAAAUUCUUUGAACUUUUCAAAUGUUUCAGAUUUAUGUUUCAUUAAGUAGAUAUACCCAUAUCUGCUUAAAUCAUCUGUGAAGGUGAGAAAAUAACGAUAUCCGCCACGAGCCUCAAUAUUCAUCGGACCACAUACAUCGGUAUGUAUGAUUUCCAACAAAUCUGUUGCUCUCUCCAUAGUACCGGAGAACGGUGUUUUAGUCAUCUUGCCCAUGAGGCACGGUUCGCAAGUACCAAGUGAUUCAUAAUCAAGUGGUUCCAAAAGUCCAUCAGUAUGGAGUUUCUUCAUGCGCUUUAUACCGAUAUGACCUAAACGACAGUGCCACAAAUAAGUUGCACUUUCAUUAUCAACUCUGCAUCUUUUGGCUUCAACAUUAUGAAUAUGUGUAUUACUACUACCGAGAUUCAAUAAGAAUAGACCACUCUUCAAGGGUGCAUGACCAUAAAAGAUAUUACUCAUAUAAAUAGAACAACCAUUAUUCUCUGAUUUAAAUGAAUAACCGUCUCGCAUUAAAUAAGAUCCAGAUAUAAUGUUCAUGCUCAACGCUGGCACCAAAUAACAAUUAUUUAGGUCUAAUAUUAAUCCCGAAGGUAGAUGUAGAGGUAGCGUGCCGACCGCGAUCACAUCGACUUUGGAACCGUUUCCCACGCGCAUCGUCACCUCGUCCUUAGCCAAUCUUCGCUUAAUCCGUAGCCCCUGUUUCGAGUUGCAAAUAUUAGCAACAGAACCAGUAUCAAAUACCCAGGUGCUACUGCGAGCAUUAGUAAGGUACACAUCAAUAACAUGUAUAUCACAUAUACCUUUGUUCACUUUGCCAUCCUUCUUAUCCGCCAAAUACUUGGGGCAGUUCCGCUUCCAGUGACCAGUCUGCUUGCAGUAGAAGCACUCAGUUUAGGCUUAGGUCCAGACUUGGGUUUCUUCUCUUGAGCGGCAACUGGCUUGCCGUUCUUCUUGAAGUUCCCCUUCUUCUUUCCUUUGCCCUUUUUCUUGAAACUAGUGGUCUUGUUGACCAUCAACACUUGAUGCUCUUUCUUGAUUUCUACCUCCGCAGCUUUCAGCAUCGCGAAGAGCUCGGGAAUAGUCUUGUUCAUCCCUUGCAUAUUAUAGUUCAUCACGAAGCUCUUGUAGCUUGGUGGCAGUGAUUGGAGAAUUCUGUCAAUGACGCAAUCAUCCGGAAGAUUAACUCCCAAUUGAAUCAAGUGAUUAUUAUACCCACACAUUUUGAGUAUAUGCUCACUAACAGAACUGUUCUCCUCCAUCUUGCAGCUACAGAGCUUAUUGGAGACUUCAUAUCUCUCAAUUCGGGCAUUUGCUUGAAAUAUUAACUUUAACUCCUGGAACAUCUCAUAUGCUCCAUGACGUUCAAAACGUCGUUGAAGUCCCGAUUCUAAGCCGUAAAGCAUGGCACACAGAACUAUCGAGUAGUCAUCAGCUUUGCUCUGCCAGACGUUCAUAACAUCUGGUGUUGCUCCAGCAGCAGGCCUGGCACCCAGCGGUGCUUCCAGGACGUAAUUCUUCUGUGCAGCAAUGAGGAUAAUCCUCAAGUUACGGACCCAGUCCGUGUAAUUGCUACCAUCAUCUUUCAACUUUGCUUUCUCAAGGAACGCAUUAAAAUUCAACGGAACAACAGCACGAGCCAUCUAUCUACAAUCAACAUAAACAAGCAAGAUACUAUCAGGUACUAAGUUCAUGAUAAAUUUAAGUUCAAUUAAUCAUAUUACUUAAGAACUCCCACUUAGAUAGACAUCCCUCUAAUCCUCUAAGUGGUCACGUGAUCCAAAUCAACUAAACCAUGUUCGAUCAUCACGUGAGAUGGAGUAGUUUCAUCGGUGAACAUCAUUAUGUUGAUCAUAUCUACUAUAUGAUUCACGCUCGACCUUUCGGUCUCCGUGUUCCGAGGCCAUAUCUGUAUAUGCUUGGCUCGUCAAGUAUAACCUGAGUAUUCCGCGUGCGCAACUGUUUUGCACCCGUUGUAUUUGAACGUAGAGCCUAUCACACCCGAUCAUCACGUGGUGUCUCAGCACGAAGAACUUUCGCAACGGUGCAUACUCAGGGAGAACACUUCUUGAUAAUUUAGUGAGAGAUCAUCUUAUAAUGCUACCGUCAAUCAAAGCAAGAUAAGAUGCAUAAAAAGAUAAACAUCACAUGCAAUCAAUAUAAGUGAUAUGAUAUGGCCAUCAUCAUCUUGUGCCUGUGAUCUCCAUCUCCGAAGCACCGUCAUGAUCACCAUCGUCACCGGCGCGACACCUUGAUCUCCAUCGUAGCAUCGUUGUUGUCUUGCCAAUCUUAUGCUUCCACGACUAUCAGUAUCGUUUAGUAAUAAAGUAAAGCAUUACAUCGCGAUUGCAUUGCAUACAAUAAAGCGACAACCAUAUGGCUCCUGCCAGUUGCCGAUAACUUGGUUACAAAACAUGAUCAUCUCAUACAAUAAAAUUUAGCAUCAUGCCUUGACCAUAUCACAUCACAACAUGCCCUGCAAAAACAAGUUAGACGUCCUCUACUUUGUUGUUGCAUGUUUUACGUGGCUGCUAUGGGCUUAAAUAAGAACCAAUCUCACCUACGCAUCAAAACCACAACGAUAGUUUGUCAAAUAGACUCUGUUUUAACCUUCGCAAGGACCGGGCGUAGCCAUACUUGGUUCAACUAAAGUCGGAGAGACAGUCGCCCGCAAGCCAUCUCUGUGCAAAGCACGUCGAGGGAACCGGUCUCGCGUAAGCGUACGCGUAAGGUUGGUCCGGGUCGUCUCGUCCAACAAUACCGCCGAACCAAAGUAUGACAUGCUGGUAGGCAGUAUGACUUGUAUCGUCCACAACUCACUUGUGUUCUACUCGUGCAUAUAACAUCGACAUAAAUAACCUGGCUCGGAUACCACUGUUGGGUUUCGUAGUAAUUUCAAAAAAUUUCCUACGCACACGCAAGAUCAUGUGAUGCAUAGCAACGAGGGGGAGAGUAUUGUCUACGUACCCAACGCAGACCGACUACGGAAGCGAUGACACGACGUAGAGGAAGUAGUCGUACGUCUUCACGAUCCAACCGAUCAAGCACCGAAACUACGACACCUCCGAGUUCGAGCACACGUUCAGCUCGAUGACGAUCCCCGGACUCCGAUCCAGCAAAGUGUCGGGGAAGAGUUCCGUCAGCACGAUGGCGUGGUGACGAUCUUGAUGAACUACAGCAGCAGGGCUUCGCUUAAACUCCGCUACAGUAUUAUCGAGGAAUAUGGUGGCAGGGGCACCUCACACGGCUAAGGAACAAAUCACGUGGAUCAACUUGUGUGUUUCUGGGGUGCCUCUGCCUUAGUAUAUAAAGGAGCCAAGGGGGGAGAGGGGCGCCGGCCAGGGAGAGAGGCGCAGGAGGAGUCCUACUCCUUCCGGGAGUAGGACUCCCCUUCCAAUCCUAUUCCAACUAGGAUUCCCCGAGGGGGAAAGAGGGAGAGGGGUGGCCGGCCACCUCUCCUAGUCCUAAUAGGACUAGAGGAGGGGGGAGGUGCGCAGCCCCCUUGGGCUGCCCCUUUCUCCUUUCCACUAAGGCCCAUGAAGGCCCAUAUGGCUCCCAGGGGGUUCCGGUAACCUCCCGGUAACCCAGUAAAAUCCCGAUUUCACCCGAAACACUUCCGAUGUCCAAACAUAGGCUUCCAAUAUAUCAAUCUUUACGUCUCGACCAUUUCGAGACUCCUCGUCAUGUCCGUGAUCACAUCCGGGACUCCGAACAACCUUCGGUACAUCAAAAUGCAUAAACUCAUAAUGAAACUGUCAUCGUAACCUUAAGCGUGCGGACCCUACGGGUUCGAGAACAAUGUAGACAUGACCGAGACACGUCCCCGGUCAAUAACCAAUAGCGGGACCUGGAUGCCCAUAUUGGCUCCUACAUAUUCUACGAAGAUCUUUAUCGGUCAGACCGCAUAACAACAUACGUUGUUCCCUUUGUCAUCGGUAUGUUACUUGCCCGAGAUUCGAUCGUCGGUAUCCAAUACCUAGUUCAAUCUCGUUACCGGCAAGUCUCUUUACUCGUUCCGUAAUACAUCAUCUCACAACUAACAUAUUAGUUGUAAUGCUUGCAAGGCUUAUGUGAUGUGUAUUACCGAGAGGGCCCAGAGAUACCUCUCCGACAAUCGGAGUGACAAAUCCUAAUCUCGAAAUACGCCAACCCAACAUCUACCUUUGGAGACACCUGUAAUACUCCUUUAUAAUCACCCAGUUACGUUGUGACGUUUGGUAGCACCCAAAGUGUUCCUCCGGCAAACGGGAGUUGCAUAAUCUCAUAGUCAUAGGAACAUGUAUAAGUCAUGAAGAAAAGCAAUAGCAACAUACUAAACGAUCGGGUGCUAAGCUAAUGGAAUGGGUCAUGUCAAUCAGAUCAUUCGACUAAUGAUGUGACCUCGUUAAUCAAAUAACAACUCAUUGUUCAUGGUUAGGAAACAUAACCAUCUUUGAUUAACGAGCUAGUCAAGUAGAGGCAUACUAGUGACACUUUGUUUGUCUAUGUAUUCACACAUGUAUUAUGUUUCCGGUUAAUACAAUUCUAGCAUGAAUAAUAAACAUUUAUCAUGAUUAUAAGGAAAUAAAUAAUAACUUUAUUAUUGCCUCUAGGGCAUAUUUCCUUCACAAGACACUCUGAAAAACUAUCUCGUACGAACCAUAUGCUACGGGUUGUGUCGUAUGUGUAGUACAAUCCAGAUGAUACACAGAGAAUGUGCUUGCCAUAUCCGUUGCAUAUAGUAAAGAGAAAUUAUUUCUCUUUGUUGUCAUCAUAAGUUUCGCUAUGGAAACUAUUUUGACGGAUACCUCCAUAGUUUAGUAGGGUACGAAUUGAACCUGAGAAGCAAUAAAGCAUCCCGACGUUACUCGAGUACCCACAGGGAUAGUAAAUAUGACUCAGGUUGAGCCAACAAAUACUUCAUCACGUCUAGUGAUUUUAAAAUAUCCCUUUUCUCUCAACGAGAGUGGAAAUAGUUCACUUCCCUGAGUAUGGAGUUCGUGGUGCAUAUGUCCACAAGGCACAUAUGAUCUUUCAUCAGAUUGACCCCCGUAGAAAUCUAUAUAUAGAUUUGAAGAUUCUCAAUAUGAAAAUCACUCAGAUAUAUAGAAUACAUACAAAUGUGUUGUACCAAAGUGCUGAUACAAUAUAUUGUGAUACACAAUAUAUGAUGAUAACAAUAAUCAUGUUCGUAUUAGAACAUCAAAAAUGGACAUAGAUUAACAGAUCACUAAGGAGAUUGAGGGACUAAAUGUAGUCUCCAAACAUGUCAGUUGAUGCAUAUCCAACCUUCAUGUUCUCCAUGCUCAUAGGGUCCCGUGACAGCUGGAUAGUCAUUUUAUUGCUCGGUUCUAGAAGAACAUCAUGCAAACAAUUGACUUUCAUGAUGGUGUCAGGUUGAAGGUUUGAAGUGAGCUUCAAACCUUUACCCUUGAGGUAAUUUGUGUCCCGGUGGCGUGGCUUAGAUUACACGCGCUAUCCCAUGAGAGGCAAGACUGAUCUUGAUGUCCAUGACCCACUUAAGCAAGUUCUGGCCAUUGAGGGCAAGAGCCUCAAAUUACUUAGCCAUCAAUUACUUAAAGGGGCAAACCAGAGAUUAUUAAUUUACGAGUAGUAAAUUAAAGACCAUCAUGGUUAGUGUUGUAAUGAAUUUUGCAAAAUUGAUGGGUAUUUCAAGAAGUUAUCUUGAAACCAUUAGUGUGAACAUCAAAUUGCUAAGUAUGACAUCUUGAAGAUAAUCUUCGAAAGGGAGUAGAUCUCGCAGCACUAGGGAGUAUAAUCUGAUACUCACUCCUAAUGCCUUAUGUCAUGACUUAGUAAAAUGCAUGGGAGUGCACAAUGUUGUGCAAUCAUAAUGUCAAAUAUGACAAAAUAUAGGCUUUAUCAGUAGUCAUCAAUAAUCUGCGUAGGCAGUAGAUCCAUAUGACUACCUUGUGAUCCCAAGCAUCAUUUUGACGAAUCACUUUGAAUUUUGCAUUUGUAUUUGCAAGGAAUUGAAAAUCUCAAUUGCAAAUAGAAGUAUUAAUCUCGACAUGUGUUUAACAUGGAAAUAGAUACAUCAUCGAAAUAUUUUACUCAACGGAGAAACAGUACUGUAGAGGUACUGAAUUUAUCUUUGCAAGAGAUGAGAAAUCUCAAUUGCAAAUGAACGUAAUUAAUCUCAACACGUGGUAAACGUGGAAAUAUAUUACAUCAACUUAAUAUCUGGAAUACAUCUCGGUACUCAACAGAUACACACUACUAUCGUAAUGAAUAGUAAUGAUGUUGCAAACUUGAUGUUCAAGUGAAAAACUUGAAUUGUAUGGACCUCAAAUUAAAAUGAGAUGAUCUUGUAUCAAGUUGCAAGAUAAUUCAGCAAGGUGAAUUAAUAAUUUGCGAGAGAAAAUUGAUCUCAAUUGCAAUGAGAUUGUUUUGCGAGAAAAUGAUAAUUCUCAAUCGCAAAUCUAUAUUGUUGUGCGAGGAAACUUAAUCUCAAUCGCGGAAAGCUUGUUCUAGAAUUUUAGAGCGUAGAUUCACUCAUUUUGCUCCGUAUGUAGUCACUUGUUGAAACCUCUAGAAAGACAAGUAUUUAGGAACGGAGGGAGUAGUACUGUUAGCAUUGUUCAAAAUUAGCCUGGACCACUGUUUUACCCAUUUUGCAAAUUUCGCAAAAACAGGGACCUGCAUGCAAAAAUGGCAAAGGGAUAAGGUUGCCUCUACUCUCUCUCCUGUGCGGUUCCGCGUUGGGGAUUUUUCUACCGCCGUCUCGAGCGGCCUCGAGGGCUCGCCGGAGAAAGGAGAGGGAGGAUCUUGCCGUGCCGGAAGUCGCCGUCGCAGGGCGCUGGAAAGCGCCGUCACGGGCUUGAGACGCCCAGACGCGGCCGCUUCGGGCUGUGCGGGAGGCCGCCCGGUCGCUAUGUCUUGCCGCGACGUGCCGCCGGAGAGCGUCGUUGGUGGCGGCAGGACUCAACGCGGAGGUGUGAUCCGGCGGCGCGGCAGGAGACGAAGCCGCUGGAGCCGGCGUCUUGGUCCAGCGGGAACUGAAACCAAGCGAUGUCUCUUGCCGUGGAUGCCUUCGUCCUUCGUCAAGCGUAAGGCAAAAUUCUGUUCAUGGUAAAGCAAAUUUGUGUAGCCAUGAAGAAAAUUGGAAAAGUAGCACCUUGUUUCUCUGUAGCAAUUAGAUGAAGUUGGUACUCCAAUUUGCGUGGUGCUUGACUCCAGUCUCCGAUUCUCUUCCCAUCUUGGAGUUUAUUCGUCGGAUUUGCUGGCGCUCUCCAUCGGGGACGCUGCUAUUCGCCCCGUUCUUCUCCAGUGGCAUCUCUCUCGGGAGAGUUGUGCGCCUGUUUUCUCACACGCGCAGCGAGCGUGUUGGAGUUGUGUCGAAUAUACUGUACAAGGUAGGUUACAAUUGGACUUGUAGUAGUAUUGUGUGUAGACAGGGUAGGAGUUGUGUCUUAAUAGGACACCUGUAUCCUAGACCUCUCAUAUAUAUCGGGGGUAGACACACGAUGUAAUCUAUGCCAACAUAAUAGCACGGGCACGCGGGGAAGCCGGCGGCAUGUGCCGGCGGCAUGUGCCGGCGCCCGGGCGGCCGGGGUGCGGUAUUAUAGCGGUGUCAUGAGGAGGAGCGCCCGUAGUCAUGCCCCGGGGAUGUAGCCAUAUCGGUGAACCUCGUUAACAAAUCUCGGUGUCGUGCCUCGUGUGAUUGCUUGGUCCUCGGUAGAUCGACGGAGCGCCUCGGAUUUAUUCUAACAAGUGGUAUCGUGAGCAAGGUUCAAAGAGGUCGUGGAUUGCAGAGGAGAUUGUGGUUGUGGAAAAGGUCGAUGACAGGCAGCGCGAUUGGGUGGCAGCGGAUGUUGCGGGCAGUUUUCAUGUCGCGGAGAAGUCUCGGCCAGUAUAGCAAUAGCGGCACUAACCGGAAGCAGUCGGGAAGCUACAGGGCAGCGGUAUCGCAGCAGCAGUUGGUGUCAGCGGAGUCGAUCGAUCCAGAUCGGUCCUGGCGGCGCUUGUGGCAACCCUAGGCGAGAACGGAUUACAGCGUUGGCGUUCUCGCGCUCGAUCCGGUCGAGCGGGGCGGCAGACGUAUGCGCGCGGUUGCCUGUGACGUGGACAAGUCAAGGCCAAGGCCGCCUAGUGGGCUGGGCCAGCGGCGUCUGGGCGGCGAUGCAAGCCUGCAGGGCCAGGCCCAAGCGAUGGGCGGUUGGUGACUUGUGGUGUUCAGGCGUGCGCGUGCGUUGAGCGCAAGGGAGCUGUGUAGUGCUUUGGAGCCGAAGGAAUCAAGACAUCGUGAGGUUUGUUGUUUGAAAAAAAAGAGCAAGUCCCAAGGCGCAUAGUGUGCAGGAGCAUUGAAGUGGAGUAAAAGGGAAUUGAUACAUACAUGCUAAAGGUACACGAAAGGUUGCAGGAAUCUUGUGCACUGGAUAAGCUUGAUUAUGAUCUGCUCCUCGUCUGAGAAUAAGGUGCUCCAAGGGAAAUCGAUGGUCAAUUGGUUUAUUGGAUGCAAAGGUUUUUCAGAACUGUGUGCGAGGCCAGAAGUAAUUGUGAAGCUGUCAACAUUGUGGGCACAAGUUUGAAGGGGACUUGGAGCAUGCAGAGCCACGCGGGCGACGUGCGUAUAUGGCUCGGAGGAGUCUGGAGCACGUCGUGAUACAGAUCAUGCAUACACAGGGCGUCAAGUUAUGCACGGAGAUGUGCGGGGCAGACACGACGCAGGGUGGAGCAUGGUUGCAGUCGGUUAAUUUCGGCUGGGUCGGACUGGACUGUCUGAUGGAUCGACGGGGAUGCCGAUCAAAGCAGAAGAUGGCGGUGAUUUCAGCGACGACGACAUAGGAGCGUGAUGCUGAUGGUGGCCAAUUUCUGGGAUGUGGAAACACGUGGUGCAUGCCUGAGGGCUUGUGCGGCUUCGACAGACUAUGGCGCAGGGUUGAUUCAAGAUGGUGCACACAUCAGAGAGCUUGAAGUCGACAGGGCGCAAGGUAGCAUAGCGCAGCUACAUGGAGUCAUGUUGAAGGUGGAGCUGGAGUCUGAUGGAUGACUACACUCUGAGCUGAUGGAGGGGCUACGGUGUAAAUGCAUGGAGAGUCGGAGCCUAUUUCAGCGGGAUAGCGAGAGACACGUGGAUCGGACUGGGUACCAGUGGUCUGAUGGUGACGUGAUACUUGGCAUCGGUCGGUGAUGAUCAGUGGUUCUCUACAGUGGGGGUUGAGGCAGUGGGGGCUAGCUACCCGGGAGACUCGACCAGGACAGCAGAGGCUCGACGCGGUGAUAGCGGCGAGGCGUGCGGUAAGCACGGGACACAGCAACAGGCCAAGGCACUGGUGGUCAGACAUGUGGUCAGGCAAGUUCUGCAGGGGUGCUGAAGCAGUGUUGACGAGUAUCAGAUUCGAGUUGGUGACUGGGUCUAUCGGUGCCGGUUGAUGGACAAGAGUUGACCAUGGAGAAUCUGAGAAAGUGGCAGGAAGUCUGGAAUUGUCAAAACAGAAAGUACAUGGCCGUAUAUUCUGUGGUGUUCAGUGCACAUGGUAAAGUGCGGAUGACAAAUACAGAAGGAGGCGGAGUGCUAUAGCUGUGAGACAUGCCAGAGACUAUCCGGAAGAAGGGUGAGACUGUUGGGUUUCGUAGUAAUUUCAAAAAAUUUCCUACGCACACGCAAGAUCAUGUGAUGCAUAGCAACGAGAGGGAGAGUAUUGUCUACGUACCCAACGCAGACCGACUGCGGAAGCGAUGACACGACGUAGAGGAAGUAGUCGUACGUCUUCAUGAUCCAACCGAUCAAGCACCGAAACUACGACACCUCCGAGUUCGAGCACACUUUCAGCUCGAUGACGAUCCCCGGACUCCGAUCCAGCAAAGUGUCGGGGAAGAGUUCCGUCAGCACGACGGCGUGGUGAUGAUCUUGAUGAACUACAGCAGCAGGGCUUCGCCUAAACACCGCUACAGUAUUAUCGAGGAAUAUGGUGGCAGGGGGCACCGCACACGGCUAAGGAACAGAUCACGUGGAUCAACUUGUGUCUUCUAGGGUGCCUCUACCUCAGUAUAUAAAGGCGCCAAGGGGGGAGAGGGGCGCCGGCCAGGGAGAGAGGUGCAGGAGGAGUCCUACUCCUUCCGGGAGUAGGACUCCCCCCCAAUCCUAUUCCAACUAGGAUUCCCCGAGGGGGAAAGAGGGAGAGGGGUGGCCGGCCACCUCUCCUAGUCCUAAUAGGACUAGAGGAGGGGGGAGGUGCGCAGCCCCCUUGGGCUGCCCCUUUCUCCUUUCCACUAAGGCCCAUGAAGGCCCAUAUGGCUCCCGGGGGUUCCGGUAACCCGGUAAAAUCCCGAUUUCACCCGGAACACUUCCGAUGUCCAAACAUAGGCUUUCAAUAUAUCAAUCUUUACGUCUCGACCAUUUCGAGACUCCUCGUCAUGUCCGUGAUCACAUCCGGGACUCCGAACAACCUUCGGUACAUCAAAAUGCAUAAACUCAUAAUGAAACUGUCAUCGUAACCUUAAGCGUGCGGACCCUACGGGUUCGAGAACAAUGUAGACAUGACCGAGACACGUCUUCGGUCAAUAACCAAUAGCGGGACCUGGAUGCCCAUAUUGGCUCCUACAUAUUCUACGAAGAUCUUUAUCGGUCAGACCGCAUAACAACAUACGUUGUUCCCUUUGUCAUCGGUAUGUUACUUGCCCGAGAUUCGAUCGUCGGUAUCCAAUACCUAGUUCAAUCUCGUUACCGGCAAGUCUCUUUACUCGUUCCAUAAUACAUCAUCUCACAACUAACAUAUUAGUUGUAAUGCUUGCAAGGCUUAUGUGAUGUGUAUUACCGAGAGGGCCCAGAGAUACCUCUCCGACAAUCGGAGUGACAAAUCCUAAUCUCGAAAUACGCCAACCCAACAUCUACCUUUGGAGACACCUGUAAUGCUCCUUUAUAAUCACCCAGUUACGUUGUGACGUUUGGUAGCACCCAAAGUGUUCCUCCGGUAAACGGGAGCUGCAUAAUCUCAUAGUCAUAAGAACAUGUAUAAGUCAUGAAGAAAGCAAUAGCAACAUACUAAACGAUCGGGUGCUAAGCUAAUAGAAUGGGUCAUGUCAAUCAGAUCAUUCGACUAAUGAUGUGACCUCGUUAAUCAAAUAACAACUCAUUGUUCAUGGUUAGGAAACAUAACCAUCUUUGAUUAACGAGCUAGUCAAGUAGAGGCAUACUAGUGACACUUUGUUUGUCUAUGUAUUCACACAUGUAUUAUGUUUCCGGUUAAUACAAUUCUAGCAUGAAUAAUAAACAUUUAUCAUGAUUAUAAGGAAAUAAAUAAUAACUUUAUUAUUGCCUCUAGGGCAUAUUUCCUUCAGUCUCCCACUUGCACUAGAGUCAAUAAUCUAGAUUACACUGUAAUGAUUCUAACACCCAUGGAGCUUUGGUGCUGAUCAUGUUUUGGUCGUGGAAGAGGCUUAGUCAACGGGUCUGCAACAUUCAGAUCCGUAUGUAUCUUGCAAAUCUCUAUGUCUCCCACCUGGACUAGAUCCUGGAUGGAAUUGAAGCGUCUCUUGAUGUGUUUGGUCCUUUUGUGAAAUCUGGAUUCCUUUGCCAAGGCAAUUGCACCAGUGUUGUCACAAAAGAUUUUCAUUGGACCCGAUGCACUAGGUAUGACACCUAGAUCGGAUAUGAACUCCUUCAUCCAGACUCCUUCAUUUGCUGCUUCCGAAGCAGCUAUGUACUCCGCUUCACAUGUAGAUCCCUCUACGACGCUUUGUUUAGAACUGCACCAACUGACAGCUCCACCGUUUAAUGUAAACACGUAUCCGGUUUGCGAUUUAGAAUCGUCCAGAUCAGUGUCAAAGCUUGCAUCAACGUAACCUUUUACGGUGAGCUCUUUGUCACCUCCAUAUACGAGAAACAUAUCCUUAGUCCUUUUCAGGUAUUUCAGGAUGUUCUUGACCGCUGUCCAGUGAUCCAUUCCUGGAUUACUUUGGUACCUCCCUGCUAAACUUAUAGCAAGGCACACAUCAGGUCUGGUACACAGCAUUGCAUACAUGAUAGAGCCUAUGGCUGAUGCAUAGGGAACAUCUUUCAUAUUCUCUCUAUCUUCUACAGUGGUCGGGCAUUGAGUCUUACUCAACUUCACACCUUGUAACACAGGCAAGAAUCCUUUCUUUGCUUGAUCCAUUUUGAACUUCUUCAAAAUUUUGUCAAGGUAUGUGCUUUGUGAAAGUCCAAUUAAGCGUCUUGAUCUAUCUCUAUAGAUCUUAAUGCCUAAUAUGUAAGCAGCUUCACCGAGGUCUUUCAUUGAAAAACUUUUAUUCAAGUAUCCCUUUAUGCUAUCCAGAAAUUCUAUAUCAUUUCCAAUUAGUAAUAUGUCAUCCACAUAUAAUAUCAGAAAUGCUACAGAGCUCCCACUCACUUUCUUGUAAAUACAGGCUUCUCCGAAAGUCUGUAUAAAACUAAAUGCUUUGAUCACACUAUCAAAACGUUUAUUCCAACUCUGAGAGGCUUGCACCAGUCCAUAAAUGGAUCGCUGGAGUUUGCACACUUUGUUAGCUCCCUUUGGAUCGACAAAACCUUCUGGUUGCAUCAUGUACAACUCUUCUUCCAGAAAUCCAUUCAGGAAUGCAGUUUUUACAUCCAUCUGCCAAAUUUCAUAAUCAUAAAAUGCGGCAAUUGGUAACAUGAUUCGGACGGACUUAAGCAUCGCUACAGGUGAGAAGGUCUCAUCGUAGUCAAUCCCUUGAACUUGUCGAAAACCUUUCGCGACAAGUCGAGCUUUGUAGACAGUAACAUUACCAUCAGCGUCAGUCUUCUUCUUGAAGAUCCAUUUAUUCUCAAUUGCUUGCCGAUCAUCAGGCAAGUCAACCAAAGUCCAUACUUUGUCUCAUACAUGGAUCCCAUCUCAGAUUUCAUGGCUUCAAGCCACUUUGCGGAAUCUGGGCUCACCAUCGCUUCUUCAUAGUUCGUAGGUUCAUCAUGAUCUAGUAGCAUGACUUCCAGAACUGGAUUACCAUACCACUCUGGUGCGGAUCUUACUCUGGUUGAUCUACGAGGUUCAGUAGUGUCUUGUUCUGAAGUUUCAUGAUCAUUAUCAUUAACUUCCUCACUUAUUGGUGUAGGUGUCGCAGAAACAAUUUUCCGUGAUGUACUACUUUCCAACAAGGGAGUAGGUACAAUUACCUCGUCAAGUUCUACUUUCCUCCCACUCACUUCUUUCGAGAGAAACUCCUUCUCAAGAAAGUUUCCGAAUUUAGCAACAAAAGUCUUGCUUUCGGAUCUGUGAUAGAAGGUGUAUCCAAUAGUUUCCUUUGGAUAUCCUAUGAAGACACAUUUCUCCGAUUUGGGUUCGAGCUUAUCAGGUUGAAGCUUUUUCACAUAAGCAUCGCAGCCCCAAACUUUCAGAAACGACAACUUUGGUUUCUUGCCAAACCAUAGUUCAUAAGGCGUCGUAUCAACGUAUUUUGAUGGUGCCCUAUUUAACGUGAAUGCGGCCGUCUCUAAAGCAUAACCCCAAAAUGAUAGCGGUAAAUCAGUAAGAGACAUCAUAGAUCGCACCAUAUCUAGUAAAGUACGAUUAUGACGUUCGGACACACCAUUACGCUGUGGUGUUCCGGGUGGCGUGAGUUGCGAAACUAUUCCACAGUUUUUCAAAUGUACACCAAACUCGUAACUCAAAUAUUCUCCUCCACGAUCAGAUCGUAGAAACUUUAUUUUCUUGUUACGAUGAUUUUCAACUUCACUCUGAAAUUCUUUGAACUUUUCAAAUGUUUCAGAUUUAUGUUUCAUUAAGUAGAUAUACCCAUAUCUGCUUAAAUCAUCUGUGAAGGUGAGAAAAUAACGAUAUCCGCCACGAGCCUCAAUAUUCAUCGGACCACAUACAUCGGUAUGUAUGAUUUCCAACAAAUCUGUUGCUCUCUCCAUAGUACCGGAGAACGGUGUUUCAGUCAUCUUGCCCAUGAGGCAUGGUUCGCAAGUACCAAGUGAUUCAUAAUCAAGUGGUUCCAAAAGUCCAUCAGUAUGAAGUUUCUUCAUGCGCUUUAUACCGAUAUGACCUAAACGACAGUGCCACAAAUAAGUUGCACUUUCAUUAUCAACUCUGCAUCUUUUGGCUUCAACAUUAUGAAUAUGUGUAUUACUACUAUCGAGAUUCAAUAAGAAUAGACCACUCUUCAAGGGUGCAUGAUCAUAAAAGAUAUUACUCAUAUAAAUAGAACAAUCAUUAUUCUCUGAUUUAAAUGAAUAACCGUCUCGCAUCAAACAAGAUCCAGAUAUAAUGUUCAUGCUUAACGCUGGCACCAAAUAACAAUUAUUUAGGUCUAAUAUUAAUCCCGAAGGUAGAUGUAGAGGUAGCGUGCCGACCGCGAUCACAUCGACUUUGGAACCGUUUCCCACGCGCAUCGUCACCUCGUCCUUAGCCAAUCUUCGCUUAAUCCGUAGCCCCUGUUUCGAGUUGCAAAUAUUAGCAACAGAACCAGUAUCAAAUACCCAGGUGCUACUGCGAGCAUUAGUAAGGUACACAUCAAUAACAUGUAUAUCACAUAUACCUUUGUUCACUUUGCCAUCCUUCUUAUCCGCCAAAUACUUGGGGCAGUUCCGCUUCCAGUGACCAGUCUGCUUGCAGUAGAAGCACUCAGUUUCAGGCUUAGGUCCAGACUUGGGUUUCUUCUCUUGAGCAACAACUGGCUUGCCGUUCUUCUUGAAAUUCCCCUUCUUCUUUCCUUUGCCCUUUUUCUUGAAACUAGUGGUCUUGUUGACCAUCAACACUUGAUGCUCUUUCUUGAUUUCUACCUCCGCAGCUUUCAGCAUCGCGAAGAGCUCGGGAAUAGUCUUGUUCAUCCCUUGCAUAUUAUAGUUCAUCACGAAGCUCUUGUAGCUUGGUGGCAGUGAUUGGAGAAUUCUAUCAAUGACGCAAUCAUCCGGAAGAUUAACUCCCAAUUGAAUCAAGUGAUUAUUAUACCCAGACAUUUUGAGUAUAUGCUCACUAGCAGAACUGUUCUCCUCCAUCUUGCAGCUAUAGAACUUAUUGGAGACUUCAUAUCUCUCAAUUCGGGCAUUUGCUUGAAAUAUUAACUUCAACUCCUGGAACAUCUCAUAUGCUCCAUGACGUUCAAAACGUCGUUGAAGUCCCGAUUCUAAGCCGUAAAGCAUGGCACACUGAACUAUCGAGUAGUCAUCAGCUUUGCUCUGCCAGACGUUCAUAACAUCUGGUGUUGCUCCAGCAGCAGGCCUGGCACCCAGCGGUGCUUCCAGGACGUAAUUCUUCUGUGCAGCAAUGAGGAUAAUCCUCAAGUUACGGACCCAGUCCGUGUAAUUGCUACCAUCAUCUUUCAACUUUGCUUUCUCAAGGAACGCAUUAAAAUUCAACGGAACAACAGCACGAGCCAUCUAUCUACAAUCAACAUAAACAAGCAAGAUACUAUCAGGUACUAAGUUCAUGAUAAAUUUAAGUUCAAUUAAUCAUAUUACUUAAGAACUCCCACUUAGAUAGACAUCCCUCUAAUCCUCUAAGUGAUCACGUGAUCCAAAUCAACUAAACCAUGUCCGAUCAUCACGUGAGAUGGAGUAGUUUCAUCGGUGAACAUCAUUAUGUUGAUCAUAUCUACUAUAUGAUUCACGCUCGACCUUUCGGACUCCGUGUUUCGAGGCCAUAUCUGUAUAUGCUUGGCUCGUCAAGUAUAACCUGAGUAUUCCGCAUGCGCAACUGUUUUGCACCCGUUGUAUUUGAACGUAGAGCCUAUCACACCCGAUCAUCACGUGGUGUCUCAGCACGAAGAACUUUCGCAACGGUGCAUACUCAGGGAGAACACUUCUUGAUAAUUUAGUGAGAGAUCAUCUUAUAAUGCUACCGUCAAUCAAAGCAAGAUAAGAUGCAUAAAAAGAUAAACAUCACAUGCAAUCAAUAUAAGUGAUAUGAUAUGGCCAUCAUCAUCUUGUGCCUGUGAUCUCCAUCUCCGAAGCACCGUCAUGAUCACCAUCGUCACCGGCGCGACACCUUGAUCUCCAUUGUAGCAUCGUUGUCGUCUCGCUAAUCUUAUGCUUCCACGACUAUCACUACCGUUUAGUAAUAAGGUAAAGCAUUACAUCGCGAUUGCAUUGCAUACAAUAAAGCGACAACCAUAUGGCUCCUGCCAGUUGCCGAUAACUUGGUUACAAAACAUGAUCAUCUCAUACAAUAAAAUUCAGCAUCAUGCCUUGACCAUAUCACAUCACAACAUGCCCUGCAAAAACAAGUUAGACGUCCUCUACUUUGUUGUUGCAUGUUUUACGUGGCUGCUACGGGCUUAAGUAAGAACCAAUCUCACCUACGCAUCAAAACCACAACUAUAGUUUGUCAAAUAGACUCCGUUUUAACCUUCGCAAGGACCGGGCGUAGCCAUACUUGGUUCAACUAAAGUUGGAGAGACAGUCGCCCGCAAGCCACCUGUGUGCAAAGCACGUCGGGAGAACCGGUCUCGCGUAAGCGUACGCGUAAGGUUGGUCCGGGUCGUCUCGUCCAACAAUACCGCCGAACCAAAGUAUGACAUGCUGGUAGGUAGUAUGACUUGUAUCAUCCACAACUCACUUGUGUUCUACUCGUGCAUAUAACAUCAACAUAAAUAACCUAGGCUCGGAUACCACUAUUGGGUUUCGUAGUAAUUUCAAAAAAUUCCUACGCACACGCAAGAUCAUGUGAUGCAUAGCAACGAGAGGGAGAGUAUUGUCUACGUACCCAACGCAGACCGACUCCGGAAGCGAUGACACGACGUAGAGGAAGUAGUCGUACGUCUUCACGAUCCAACCGAUCAAGCACCGAAACUACGGCACCUCCGAGUUCGAGCACACGUUCAGCUCGAUGACGAUCCCCGGACUCCGAUCCAGAAAAGUGUCGGGGAAGAGUUCCGUCAGCACGACGGCGUGGUGAUGAUCUUGAUGAACUACAGCAGCAGGGCUUCGCCUAAACACCACUACAGUAUUAUCGAGGAAUAUGGUGGCAGGGGGCACCGCACACGGCUAAGGAACAUAUCACGUGGAUCAACUUGUGUCUUCUAGGGUGCCUCUACCUCAGUAUAUAAAGGAGCCAAGGGGGGAGAGGGGCGCCGGCCAGGGAGAGAGGCGCAGGAGGAGUCCUACUCCUUCCGGGAGUAGGACUCCCCCCCCAAUCCUAUUCCAACUAGGAUUCCCCGAGGGGGAAAGAGGGAGAGGGGUGGCCGGCCACCUCUCCUAGUCCUAAUAGGACUAGAGGAGGGGGGAGGUGCGCAGCCCCCUUGGGCUGCCCCUUUCUCCUUUCCACUAAGGCCCAUGAAGGCCCAUAUGGCUCCCGGGGGGUUCCGGUAACCUCCCGGUAACCCGGUAAAAUCCCGAUUUCACCCGGAACACUUCCUAUGUCCAAACAUAGGCUUCCAAUAUAUCAAUCUUUACGUCUCGACCAUUUCGAGACUCCUCGUCAUGUCCGUGAUCACAUUCGGGACUCCGAACAACCUUCGGUACAUCAAAAUGCAUAAACUCAUAAUGAAACUGUCAUCGUAACCUUAAGCGUGCGGACCCUACGGGUUCGAGAACAAUGUAGACAUGACCGAGACACGUCUCUGGUAAAUAACCAAUAGCGUGACCUGGAUGCCCAUAUUGGCUCCUACAUAUUCUACGAAGAUCUUUAUCGGUCAGACCGCAUAACAACAUACGUUGUUCCCUUUGUCAUCGGUAUGUUAUUUGCCCGAGAUUCGAUCAUCGGUAUCCAAUACCUAGUUCAAUCUCGUUACCGGCAAGUCUCUUUACUUGUUCCGUAAUACAUCAUCUCACAACUAACAUAUUAGUUGUAAUGCUUGCAAGGCUUAUGUGAUGUGUAUUACCGAGAGGGCCCAGAGAUACCUCUCCGACAAUCGGAGUGACAAAUCCUAAUCUCGAAAUAUGCCAACCCAACAUCUACCUUUGGAGACACCUGUAAUGCUCCUUUAUAAUCACCCAGUUACGUUGUGACGUUUGGUAGCACCCAAAGUGUUCCUCCGGUAAACGGGAGUUGCAUAAUCUCAUAGUCAUAAGAACAUGUAUAAGUCAUGAAGAAAGCAAUAGCAACAUACUAAACGAUCGGGUGCUAAGCUAAUGGAAUGGGUCAUGUCAAUCAGAUCAUUCGACUAAUGAUGUGACCUCGUUAAUCAAAUAACAACUCAUUGUUCAUGGUUAGGAAACAUAACCAUCUUUGAUUAACGAGCUAGUCAAGUAGAGGCAUACUAGUGACACUUUGUUUGUCUAUGUAUUCACACAUGUAUUAUGUUUCCGGUUAAUACAAUUCUAGCAUGAAUAAUAAACAUUUAUCAUGAUUAUAAGGAAAUAAAUAAUAACUUUAUUAUUGCCUCUAGGGCAUAUUUCCUUCAGAGACAACUGCAAAUUUGACUCAGGGUGAUACAGAGCGACGGUGAAAUUCCUUCAAGUUUCAGACAGAUGGUCAAGAAAGAGCUGUGAUGUUGAGUUCAGCUAACUCUUAUAUGUGGCGUCCAAUACGUGAGUUGUUCACUUUCACGCAGACAGUGGUCAGUGUGUGAUGGCGUUGAACGGAUUCUCCAGAAGUUGGGAGCACGGACUAGAGUAACAAGGAACUUAAUUUUGCUCGAGUGUUGACUGUGGUCAAGAAAAGGAGGGACUACAAGUUGCAGAUGGAGUCACAUGGAGUCUGGGAGUAGCAGCGGUGCUCAUAGCGUAACUCAAGUCCAAUGUACAUGGAAGUUUGACGCAUGGACAAAUCCAGGGCGGUGGAGUAUAUUCGCCAAGGUGGAGUUUGUUAGAGUUGUGUCGAAUAUAUUGUACAAGGUAGGUUACGAUUGGACUUGUAGUAGUACUGUGUGUAGACAGGGUAGGAGUUGUGUCCUAAUAGGACACCUGUAUCCUAGACCUCUCAUAUAUAUCGGGGGUAGACACACGAUGUAACCUAUGCCAACAUAAUAGCACGGGCACGCGGGGGAGCCGGCGGCAUGUGCCGGCGCCCGGGCGGCCGGGGUGCGGUAUUGUAGCGGUGUCAUGGGGAGGAGCGCCCGUAGUCAUGCCCCGGGGAUGUAGCCAUAUCGGUGAACCUCGUUAACAAAUCUCGGUGUCGUGCCUCGUGUGAUUGCUUGGUCCUUGGUAAAUCGACGGAGCGCCUCGGAUUUAUUCUAACAGAGCGGAUGGCUGGACGAGAGUCGUGGCCUCGGACGCCACCGCCCGGGAAGUGCUCUCCAUGCACAUCCGCCUGGAUGCGGCCUGGACGUGCGCCAAAGCCGUCGUAGGCAGGGCGCCGCUAGAGUUGUCACGCGGGAGCGUGCUGAUAACGUAUUAGAAUGAAUCAAGUCUCUUCUUUAUUAGAUGCCAUCUGCUAUUUAUACAAGGAAAAGGACACCACUGGAAAAGGUGUCUGUUCAGAGGAGGUGCCUAUUCGGCGGGAACCGACGCGGCCGUUUUACAACGGCCUGCGGUUAGUACAAGCAGGGAUUAAUCCCAUAAUUAACACAUGGUUAAUUAAUUCUAACAAUAGUAAAGCUGCCAUGUUUUGAAUAAUGAGAUCUCCAUGUUAUUCAUAAUAAAAUUGCCAUGUGGAAAAGUAGGGAAAAAAUCCCAAAUUCGCCAAGAAAAUUGAUUAAAAAUCCCAUCGUUUGCCACAAUAACAUUACAAAAUGACUUAAAAUUGCCCUGUUUGAAAGACAAAAAGUUAUGAAUUAUCCCCAUCAUGAGAUUUUUCUUCUUCGGAAAAUUUUGCCAUGUGUACAAAAUACCUUGGCGUGUGAACAUUAAAAAAAUUAUAAAUCUGGCGUGUUUUUUUUUUAAUUGGCAUGUACCUAAAAACAAAAAAAAGUUGCAUAUUUUUGCCACAUAGUAAAAAUGUGGAGUGUUUGGAUAGGAUUGUGUUGGCCUUUCUUUUAUUUAGCAAACAACCUUUUUUUUCUGUUUUGCGAGGGUUUAGGAACUCAGACAUGAGUAGCCAACAUUGUAACGCCAUGUGCGUAUUUCUUUUCCAUAUGGGGAAGUAGUCUUCGGCCGUUGUUUGAGGAAUUGUAUUUUGGCUUAUGGAGCGUUUGUUGGGCGGAGCGUGUGUAGCAAGGAACGUCGCCAACUUUUGGCUGAAGGAACCAGGCGUUUUGUUAUAUCCUUGUCGCCACACCAUCUUCAUCUCCAUCCUUACUCACAUUAUUAAUUCAAUUCUAUAUAUAUACUACUCCCUCUCUAAAGAAAUGAUAAUCCAACGUUCUUAUGUUUCUUUAUUUACGGAGGAACUACUACUUGCCAAACCGGUUAGUGUAAAAAUAAUCAUCACUUUAUAUGUACAAGGUGAUGUUUUGUUUAUGGUAUUUGCAAAGCUUUAAUCAUGGACACUCACAGAUCCCUCCGUUCCUAAAUAUACAAAGUUUUAAGAGAUUUCACUAGGAAACUACAUACAGAGCAAAAUGAGUGAAUCCACAUUCUAAAGUAUGUCUAUAUUCAUCCGGAUGUAGUACCUCUUAAAAGACUUAAAUUUAGGAUUUCUUUUCUAACAUACUAUAUUCUUUUGGCAUACAUUCCCCAAAAAGAGCGAAUACCUCCAUGCGACUGUACAGCAAAACACAGAAUGGAUGUAUCUCACAAAAAAAAACUGAAAGUAAUUGCAAGUUGUACCCUACUAGCACAGAAUGAGAAAACACUACCCAAGAUACAUAUCAUUUAAAAUCCAUCAAUAACACAUCCAAACAUAAAGGAGGAUCCAAGAAAUACAUGGCAACAUUUGAUUCUAAACUGUUUGCCACGCCCCUAAGAAAUACUCAUCACAACAGCCUAGAGCUUGCUGAUAAGUCUACUCAUUAGAAUCACGGAAACGAACCGGGGUCUCCAACACAUUGGUGACCAGCUGGACCAUCCACGGGUGACGCACCCGAAGCCAGGCAAUGUCGCAAUUAUAUUUGAGUACAUGAUCAGCAGUAUCCUCUAGCACUAAGCUCAGCUCUUCGACUAAGGCUGAGACCAGAUCCUCCUCGGCAAGCAAUACGCCCAAGGCAUCCUUAAAGCACUUACUCAGAUGUAAGAGCGUAAUUGCUGAGUUCUUCAUGAGUAGGAGGGCUUCCAGGGCGCCCCGUUCCAGCUUGGCCUCCUGAACCAUGAGCUGGGGCAACACAUCAUGCUCGAGCUUUUGGAUUUCCAGCGACAAGCCUGCCACGACCGAGAGGGAAUCCAGCUCCGGGCAUGCCCAGGACCUCGACUCCAUGAUCAGCGGGCAGAGGAGUGCAUACGACUUGCGCGCUAUGCACACCGACUCCAGAGAGACAAGAUUCACAAGCAUGGACUUAUUGGAGUGGCCCAGCUCAUCGGCGCGAGCCUGCAGGUCUUGGAUGUGGGCAUGGGAGUGGAUUUUGUAGACCAUCAUUUCCUUUUGCCGGACUGCAGCAGAAGAGUUGCUGCUACCAGCUGGUACAAACAGCACAAACAGAGGAGGAUUUAAUGUCAGGAAGAGACCAUACAACACCAAUCCAAGCUUCUACUUAAUUAGUUAGGACAGCAUCAUAUUUGCAUUGUGCGACAGAAUAGUUAUUAAUAUGAAGUGAAAGCAAUUCAACCAUGUAUACUGAUAGGCAACUAAACAAAAUGAAUGAAUAACCAAAACAGAAAAAUAAUUAACAGAGGGAAUAUAAUAUAAUUUGGUUCAAAGUAGAUAGAGAUCCCAUCAUUCAUUGUAUUAUUGUGAGCAAGAAAAUUGCAUCUCCAGAAUUAAUGCCUCACCAUCAAAGGAAACAAUAAACUAAACAGCUGGGAAAUAAAAAAUUGCAUCCCAUGUGCAAGGGCAUAGUGAGGACAGAAAACCAAACCAGCAUUUACAGUCCUCAAGAAGAAGACUAGAGAUUGGUUGGCAAAAGAUACAUCAUCAUUGGCAAAUAUUAGUAACACAUAUAAUAAAUAAACCCAAACGAUAACCAAAUACCUAUCCAAACAACAGAGCUGGAAAGCAGCACAUACGACUACAACAUUAAUCAGCAGCUGCACGUCAAGUGCUGUGCAUAAAUAUUUUAGGAUCCCAAAAAAUAUUGUUACCUAUCCAAACAGAGCUAGAACAUGAAUAUGCAACAAAUCUACUACGCUCAAACACAGUUGAUAAAUUUUUUUAACAUUCUGGCAUAAACUGAAAUCAAACAACAUAGCAUGAACUCCAUCCAAAUUAAUAUUCGAUUUCUAGCUUGAUUUUGUUGUUUUUCCUCCUAAUUCGAAAUUUCCCCACCAAAAAUAGCCAAAAAUUUUAUUUUUUUUGUGAUUUGUUGGCAUGAUGAAGUUUUGUUUAUUUUGAUCCAUGGAUUUGCUUGGUUUCAAGUGGAUCUAGCAUUUCCCCAAGUUUCCCAAUCUUUCAUCCACAAAAUCCCUCCAAUUUUGCCCCAGAAAUCAUCAAUUUCCGCCCAAAAUCGCGACAUGCACAAUUGAGAAACCAAAAUCUGAAGCAAACCCUAACUAAAACGUCAGAUUGAUUCCUUAUUACGGAUAAUCGAACAAACCCUAACUAGGUGGUGUUACCAAACAAACCCUAACUAAUUAAUAAUUAAAUCCUAUCCUAGUCGAGGUAGGUUCCUCAUACGAAUAGAAUAGGAUACAAGACGGCGCUGGCUGGAUCCGAGACCUAUGAACCCGCGCCGCGCCGCGCCUACCAACCACAAUCGGAACGAGCAACUCCGGAGGGAGACCACGCUGGCUGGAUCCGAGACCUACGAACCAGACACUACCAACCAAUCGGAACAAACUCCAAGCUGAUCGGGAUGUACAAGNNNNNNNNNNNNNNNNNNNNNNNNNNNNNNNNNNNNNNNNNNNNNNNNNNNNNNNNNNNNNNNNNNNNNNNNNNNNNNNNNNNNNNNNNNNNNNNNNNNNNNNNNNNNNNNNNNNNNNNNNNNNNNNNNNNNNNNNNNNNNNNNNNNNNNNNNNNNNNNNNNNNNNNNNNNNNNNNNNNNNNNNNNNNNNNNNNNNNNNNNNNNNNNNNNNNNNNNNNNNNNNNNNNNNNNNNNNNNNNNNNNNNNNNNNNNNNNNNNNNNNNNNNNNNNNNNNNNNNNNNNNNNNNNNNNNNNNNNNNNNNNNNNNNNNNNNNNNNNNNNNNNNNNNNNNNNNNNNNNNNNNNNNNNNNNNNNNNNNNNNNNNNNNNNNNNNNNNNNNNNNNNNNNNNNNNNNNNNNNNNNNNNNNNNNNCAAGAGGGGUAAAAGCACAGAGAUCCCUAGGGCUGCCGUAUCCGCCUCGCAUUCUCUGAUUCUUUUUUACCAAUUUAUUUACGGAAACACUAACCCCACAUGUGUGGGCGUCUGCAUCUCGCCCACACGCGCUAAUCAUCGUUGAUUUGCAGUGCGUGAAUCUUACAAGAAUCAGCCGGCAUCUUUCGUGCCACGUAGGCAUAGCGAGGCGGGUGCUGGUGGUAGAGCGUUCGCCCGAACGUGUGGCAUUUGACGCUUUUGCCCGGACGAGUUAUCCAUUCGCAGCUCCACCGCUUUUUCCAACCCAUUCCCCUCCCCACUGCCUUCUCUCCUCGUCACUCUCGCCACUCCCCACUCCAAUCUCCAUCACCGCGCGGGACCUUGCCGACCGCCUCCGCUUCGCCGAGGUUGGUGGGGGAGGCCGGUUCCUGUUGCUGUUUCCAGAGACGACGACGGCGGGAAGCAGAGAUUGCGCCUCAAGGUCUCCAACCGCCGUGCUGGAGAGUUGGUUGGGCGCGCGCGGCGGCAGGCCGGGAGUCGACACAUCGCCGUCCGCCUCCACAUCAUCGAGGUUGGAGGGGGAGGCCGGGGACCAGCUGGUCGUCGUUGACGACGGGCAUAUUCAUGGUGCCCUGGCGCAUCUGCAGCUCCGCCGAUCUGCAUCACGCGCCGGACCCGAUGGCCAUGGAAUGGCAGCUCACGCGCCUCCGCCUCUGUCUAUAGGUACUCGCCGGCCUCUGCUCAUCUUCUACUUGCCUGCUCUGAAGCAACGCCACCCUCACCCCUCCAUCCUUGGAUUCUUACUCACCAGUCGGCAAUCCUGUUGUUGGUCGCUCGCAUCAUCGGCGUGAGGAGCGGGGAUCCUGGCUCGCCAGCGUUAGGCGCGGCAGCCUGUCAAUGGAGGCUUGCAACACGCCUGGCGCGAGCGUCGUGGUAGCGGGUCGGUGCUCCCGCCUGCGUGCUCCAUGCCGUUCAUGCUCCAACCAGCCCAAAGACACGGAUCUAGUGCAGAUCCACGGCGGCGUAUCAGCGGCGGGCUGCUAGGUAAGUGAGUUCCAUGACUCCAUCCGUCAUUUGUUUCCGGCGACUGGCAGAGGUGGCAGUUAUGGCUUUGGGGAGAGCGUGGGUAGCGGACUGUUCGUGUUAGCCAAUCCUUUGGUGUGUGGUAGAGCAGUAGCAUGACAUUUUUCUGAUAAAUCACACUUUCUAGAUGUCUAGGUCCUCUGACUCACAAACAUGGCAAAUUCUAUCAUGUGUGUGUGGCAACUUACAUCCACUGAGCCAUGGUUACUUUUUAUGUCAUUUUUGCCAUGUUUCAUCACAACUAUCCUUUUGAAAUUACUCCCACAACAUUAAAACUGUAUGAAAAUGGCAACCAUGAUUAAGCUCAGAUGUUGUUCAUCAAUUUCCAUGGCUACAAUCGUUAAGCUCAGAUGAUGUCUAUCUCUACUGUU
rnacentral:lncRNA from 1 species